rnacentral:lncRNA from 1 species
CACGGGUUCAGACGGUCGCUGCCGCAUUUGCGCACGGGGAGCUGGUUGCCGCUGCGGCCGCCUGGAAUUGUGGGGUUUGUGUCUGCCCCUCGGCUGCCGUGCUGGAAGCCGAAGGUAGGGGCGGUGAGGGCUGCCCGGCCCUGGAGCUGGGCGGGAGGGCUAAGGACGCUGUCCCGGUCUCCUCCCGCCAGUGGCCUCGGCUCCUUCCCUAUAGUGUUUGGGGGCCCUAACACAUUCCCCGCUAGCGUUUCCAAAACGAAAUGUCCAAAAGGGUCCUAGAAAUUCUAGCUGCAUUCUCUGCCUUUACCAUUGAAAACGUCUCCAGGAGAUGAGGCAGUGGGAGACCCAGUCUGGCUUUUGGCUCUGCAUCUUAGUUUAUUUGAUCCCUAUCCUCUUUGUCCCGGUCUCAGUUUUACUCAUCUGUCCCAAGGAAAGGGUGGAUUAGGUGUUGAUCUCCAAGGCCCCUCCAAGUAUUGACAUUUUGGUUUUUGACAGAGACCUCUAUGUGUCUUCACCCUGUGAAGUUGAGCCUUGUCAGCUUAGUAUUUCUACUCUCCUAUUGCGUGAUUUCCUUGGUCCUGGCAGUUGGAAGAUCUGUCUUUAACGUAGAGGUUACAGACUUUGGUGUGUUUGAAAUCACCUAGGGAAUUUGUGCAUAAUCCCUGUGUUUUACCUUAAGGCACUUUGGAAAAGAUGGUUCAUGGGCAUCUGUAGUCCCCAUCUCAGGUGGUUCUCAUUCAGGUGGUCCUGGAAUCCUUGCUUUGAGAAACUCUGCUUCAAAAGCCAGGAGAUGAGCUGCUGGAAUGAGUGUCAGGAUGGGAAAGGCCAGGCAUCAGGAAAGAAGGCCAAGAAGCCAGGAAGGGCUUCCUUUGCACUGGAAGAGCUGGAAGACUGAUAUCUUUAAAAAAAAAAAAAUAUAUAUAUAUAUAUAUAUAUAUAUAUAUAUAUACACACACACACACACACAUAUAUACACACACAUAUAUACACACACAUGACUCAUCUCAUGUAAGGUCACACAUAUAUACACAUAUAUAUACACACACAUAUAUGUGACUCAUGUAAAGUCAGUUUUCUAAUGUUUUAAAAUGCCUGGCUUUGAUUGAAGUCCAGCUGGCUUUCCCAUCUCAAUAAAACAAAGCAGAACUGCAGCUGCUUUGAGUAAUGGAAGGAGGUUAGAUUAACCGAGACUAAGUAGGCAGGAGGAAAGUGAAUCCUCCAUAUUUGCUGAGAAGAAACUGCUGUGUUUACAGAUAGUAACAGUGUUUGUUGUGACAGUGUGAAAGAUGUUUUGUGUGUCUUUUUAGCUUUCCCUGAACCCCAGUUUUUUUUCUUUUCCCAUGGAAGCAUAUCUGCACUUGGGGACUGGAUAAAUUUAAUGGAAGCCAGGGUGUACUGAUAUUAAGAUUGAUAUUUGUGGGCUGGGGUUAUAGCUCAGUGGUAGACUGCUUUCCUGGCAUGUAUGAGGCACUGGGUUUGAUUCUCAGCAUCACAUAUAAAUAAAUAAAAUAAAGGUACAUCAACAACUGAAAAAUAUAAAAAAAAAAGAUUGAUAUUUGUGUAACAUGGGUCAGAACUUGGUCUGUGGUUUCACUUGAGAACAUGGCCUUUGGGUUUUUUUUUUUUUUUUUUGGUAGGGGGUAGAGGGUGGAAUCCAGAGCAAUUCUACCACAGAGCCACGGUCCCAUAUACUUUUUUUUUUGAAGAUGGGCUUACUAAAGUUGUGAAGGUUGACUUUGAAAUUGUGAUCCUUUUGCUUCAGCAUCCCAAGUAGAUGAGAUUACAGGCUACUCAUCUUUGGACCUUUAUAAAAAAAAAAUUUUAAAAAAGGAUUUUUUUUUAAAAGUUGUUGAUGGACAUUUAUUUAUUUAUUUACUUAUAUGUGGUGCUGAGAAUUGAACAUGUUAGGUGAGCACUCUACCACUGAGCCACAACCCCAACCCCUUGCUUUGGAUUUUUAAAGAUAGUUUUGCCACACCAGAUUUAUCUUAACUUUUUUUCAAAUAUUUAGUGAGUUUAAUUUGCUAAUUAAUACAUAUACCGAUGAAAUUGGCAAUAAAAAAGACUGUCCCCAUUUUACAGAUGAUGGGAAUGGGGAAUGUGUUAGACAUAUGGCAAACCAUGAAUGAAAAAUUGUUUGGUACUUUGAUAUCUGUUUUCUACCUCUUUCCUGCUGUUUUCUGAAGGCCAGUUGUUAACUUGCUUCUCUUCUGGUGUCAACUUUGAGUACUGGUGUGUUUCAUCAGCAGGAAAAAAGACUGAGUAAAGCUGAAAAGUAACAAUGGAUUUUAUGAUAACAAAUACACCAGAACUUAAUCCUCCAGUGUUGCUCUCCUUUAGAGUGAUGUGGGUUGUGAGGGUUAGAGGAGGCAUCAUUUAAGGGAUAGGGCCAUUUUCCGAAGUAGUAGCUCACCUCUGGAAUUGUUUUCAGAGAUAUUUUUUGCUUUAAAUUCCAAAUGACAUGGUUAAUCAAUCUUGUCACCUGACUUGUCUUCAGAUGAAUUAACCUUUUUUUUUUUUUUUUUUAGAAGUGGACAUAACAGAUUUCUGGAGUGUGGUGAACAUGGGUUUUAGUUCUGAGUCUACCGCUUAGUAGCCAUAAGAUCUUGAGUAAGUUACUUCACCCCUUAGCAGCAGUUUUCUACUGCAUAAAGUGGGAAUACUUAAAAAGACAGUUAAAUGGGGCGUUACAUAUGAAAACUCUUGGGACACAGGAAUGCAAUAAAUGUUUGUUUCCUUCUCAAAGAAUAAGGAGUUGCUAUUAAUUCAGAAGAACGUGACAGUCUCUAAAGGGAAGUUGUUAUACCUUUUCUCAAAUAGGUCGAUUCUCUUUUGCAUGUUUAUAAAUUAAUACUCUGACCUGCUUAUCCUGCCUCUUGCCUUUUUCUUUAUUUUCUGUCUUUUUCUAAGUGAAGCUGUGUUGCAGAGGCUGUCUGCUAGUCUCUUGUGGAGUAAGCCUUUUUGUUUUGGAGAACUAAUCCAGAACAUUCUUACAAUGGUCAUGUAUUCCUGAGAAUUUUUCUCUGGCGCCUCUACUGGUGCCCAGAUCAUGCUCUGUAGCACAGGCAUCUCUAAUUCCUGGAUUUGGUGUCAAUUUGGAGACCUGUCCUUGUGGAGCUAAUCUUUUCUAAGCAAGGAUGAAUACUUUAUCCUUCUCUGAGUCGGCAUUAAGCUGCAAGCCUUAGUCUUCUACAGCAGAGAGCAUCAUAUUUUAAUUAUAUGUGGUUUAAAGAGAGGAUGUCCUACCCUUUUCUUCAUUUACUUUUACCAGGAGUUUCAGUACUAUGUAGGGAAAGAGGCAAAUAGUCUCAUUCAGGUGAGACUUUGGGUAACCCCUGAUUUCUAGCACCAAAAAUAACUGAGUUUGGGGGGCUGGGGAUGUGGCUCAAGCGGUAGCGCGCUCGCCUGGCAUGCGUGUGGCCCGGGUUCGAUCCUCAGCACCACAUACAAACAAAGAUGUUGUGUCCGCCGAUAACUAAAAAAUAAAUAUUAAAACUCUCUCUCUCUCUCUCUCUCUCUCUCUCAAAAAAAAAAAUAACUGAGUUUGGGACAAAAACCUUAUCAAAGAUUCUAUCUGUUUAGAUGCAUGUGGAGACCUCAUGGAGUAUUCCUAGGUUGUGAGGAGUUUAUAACUGGGUUCUCAUUUAUGCAGUUUUCUACCCUGGUUAUAGGGAGAAUCCAGCAGCAACAGAACAUCCUUCAGCCCAGUCUUGUAGUUCCUUCGGGUUCCACCAGGAAGCUCAUAGACAAGGAUGUGAUCCUGCUGGUUGACUGGCUGUGUCUGUCCUUAUUCUCCUAAUAUUGCCCUUGGACUUGGUGAUAAAAAGGAAGUGGCGUAGACAAUGGACAAGUAACAUUCUAUUCCAAAACCUUGGGGUUCAGGGGGAAAGAGCUCUGUGCAUAUAUCUGGGCAAUUGGAAAAUACCAGUCUUAGGAAUGCUGCUGAAGUGCUUUGAGUCGUUCAUGACAUCCACCAGGUUUCUUGGUGAUCUCAUUUGUGAAAUGGGAAUGCCUUCAUUGAUAUUUUCCAUGGGAAAGGUGAACAAUUCCAGGAUAGAGGGAUUGCCCAGAUGUGAGACUUUCUGUGCCUGUACCAGGGAAGUCCAGGGAAAACUGAGACAAAUUGGUCAUCCUAUCCAUGACCAUUAUACAAAUUAAUGAACUUGAUCACUAUGCACUGUUGGAUCAAUCCUUUUGAGCUCAUCUAAGCAAGUGUUUCCUUUUUCAAUUUUUUAGUUGUAAAUGGACAUAAUGCCUUUAUUUAUUUAUUUGUAUGUGGUGCUGAGGAUUGAACCCAGUGCCUCACACAUCCUAGGGCAAAUGCUGUAUCACUAAUAACCCCAGCCCCUAAUCAAGUGUUUCUUAAGCUUUUGCUCAUUAUCAUUUUUUCAGACCCCCCCACCCCGCAAUUGCCUAUCCCCUCCAUGAAAUUUUACUACCAAAGAUAUGCUGUGUAUUUGUUUGUGUAUUGUGGCCCUUUUGAUGGCCACACACUAUUAUGAUAUCUAAUAUUUUUUUCUACCAAGAAUCAAUUUUUACUAUCUUCAUUAUGAUAUCCUAUAUUAUUUCUCUAACAUAAUCAUCAAGGCCUUUUUUUCACCUAGAAAUAACUCUCAUUGUAAGCUUUUUCAGUGCUUCAAAUAGCAAACUAGUGAAAGCAGAGGAAUGUUAUCUAUACUUUUUAACCUACCUUAUAUGUCAGUUGGUAUUAUUCCUCAUUUUAUAGAUGAAGAAACAGAUUUAGUGAGAUUAAGUGAUUUGUCAAGGUUAAAAAUCUUGCUGCAGGGCUGGGGUUGUGGCUCUGUGGUACGUGCGAGGCCCUGGGUUCGAUCGUCACAUAAAAAAAUAAAUAAAAUAAAGAUAUUGUGCUCAACUACAACAACAACAAAAAAAGCUUGCUGCAGUCAGAAUUUAAACCUAGCUAUGGCUCCAAAGUUCUUUCCAUUGCAUGGUGUACCACUCCAUGAGUGCUCCUAUAUUUCCACCCUGUGAAAUUGCAUCAUUAGCAGGAUAUUUGACCACUUCGCUCACUUUUCUUUUUUCUUUCUUUUUUUUUUUGUACCAGGGAUUGAACACACAGGCACUUAACCACUGAGUUACAUUCCCUAUUUUAUUUUUUGAGACAAAAUUUCACUAGGAGGCUGGCUUUGAACCUGUGAUUCUCUUGCCUCAGCCUUCCAAACUGCUGGAUUAUAGGCAUGCGCCACUACACCCAGCUCACUCACUUUUCUUGAGGCCCUAGUAGGUGCCAGACCCUGUGGAAGAUGUUGGGAGAUACUAAUUCAAAAGAGAAUCCCUGAUUUUGAAGAGAUGACUGUGUUUUCAAGAGUGGAGAUACCUUGGGGCUAGUGCCUUUGUCACCCUUUGCUGUCUGGGCCUUUUUGUUAGAUGGCUAGUGUAGCUAAGGGUUGUCAUGGAAAGGAUUAAGCUGCUUGCCUUUAGGAGGGUCAAAGCUGUGAGUUUUCCCCUGCUUGUUCCAUUUUCCAACUUGCUGAGUUGUUUGUAAUCACUGAGUACGUUUUCUACAGGGUAAAACCAAAAAGGUCUGGUAAACUUAGCUUUUGGAUGUUUGUGAUUAUUGUAUGUGUAUUAUUGUGUAUUAUGUGUAUUAUUAAGAGUGACGCUUAUCUUUGCAUAUUGAUGUUCCUAAUAAUUCAAAAUAAAAGUUUUCUCUUUCUGGAGUUAUUCUUUAAACACUAAAGCUGUGAAGGGAGUCAGAGAAGAAAUGAAAUGAAAAUGGAGGGGGGAGAGAUGAUUUUUACUCUUUGAAAAAGAGGCUGGAAUUGCCCUCAGUUGAACUGAGGGGCACUGUACUUUUUUUUUUUUUUCCUGAGGUGCUGGGGAUUGAACCCAAUGCCUCGUGUAUGCUAGGCAAGUGCUCUACCACUGAGCCAAAACCUAGGCCCAAGGAGGGGUAUGUUUCUGGGGCUGCUUGAUGGCCCUGUUGUGACUGAGAAGUUCUUGAUUAUGCCUUUUUAAAAAUAUCUUUAUUUUUUUAAUGUGGUGCUGAGGAUCGAACCCAGUGCUUCACAUGUGCUAGGCAAGCACUCUACCACUUGAGCCACAACCCCAGUUCCUUGAUUAUGCCUUUUAAUUACCACUUUUUAUCAUUAUAGGCAGAGAACUAUCAGCAUUCGGUGAACUGAUCUCCACAUACAGACACUUUUCUCUCCACAAAUAAUUUGCCCUUUCUGUCUUGUGAGGGGAAAUAAUGAUAGAAACUGGAAGAAGAAUCUGAGGUGCAUACAAAAAAAUUCUGGUAAGGAAGACUGAUGCCAGUGGAUUUUUAUUUAUUUUUAUUUUUUUUGUGGUCCUGGGGUUUGAACUCAGGGGUGUUCUACCACUGAGUAAUAUCCUCAGCCCAUUUUAUUUUAUUUUUUAUUUUUUUUAGUAUUCUAAAUUUUUCUUUUUUAAUUAAUUUUUAAAUUUAUAUAUGACGGCAAAAUGCAUUACAUUUCUUAUUACACAUAUAGAGCACAACUUUUCAUAUCUCUGGUUGUAUACGAAGUAUAUUCACACCAAUUUGUGUCUUCAUACGUGUACUUUGGAUAAUAAUGUGCAUCACAUUCCACCAUCAUUUCUAACCCCAUGCCUCUUCUCUUCCCUUCCUUUCCCAGCCCCCUUUUUAUUUUGAAAUAAGAGUCUCACUAGGCUGCUGAGGUUGUCCUUGAACCUGCUAUCCUCCUGUCGCAGCCUUCUGAGUUGCUGGGAUUACAGGAAUGGAACAUUGUAUCUGGCUUUCCAGUGAACUUGUUAAGUUUUUUAUUUUGGAGGUGGGGGUACUGAGCCACAUCCCAAGCCUUUUAAAAUAUAUUUUAUUUAGAGACAGGGUUUCACCGAAUUGCUUAGGGCCUUGCUAAGUUGCUUAGGCUAUCUUUGAACUUGCGAUCCUCCUGCCUCAGCCUCCCAAGCCUCUGGGAUUUCAGGCUUGUGCUAUGACCUGGCCUCCAGUGAACUUUUAAACAGAUUUUUUUCUUUUAAACUUUGGGGAUAGUCUCAUGCUUAAAUGUUUCUAAUUUCUGUGAGGCUCCUAAGGCGGCAGCAGCUGUCUGACCAAGUCCUAGAAAAUGAGCAGGCUUUAGUCCAAUAGAAGUAACAAAGUAGGACAAUCAAUACUGACAGUAUUGAUUGGUCAUGCUUCAAGUCCAGUGGGUAGUAGGUAUUGGAAGCUUUAGGGGCAGCUUUUCAGCAAGGUAUUUAAGGUUGACUUCAUGCUUACUACCUUCCCAGUCUCAUACUCAUGGGGAGUUGAUUUUGACUGUAUUUAUGAAGUGAAGUCUCCAUCCUCAGGCCCAGCUGCUACAAGGUGCUUUGUGGCUGGAAGAGAUCAUCAUAGAAGUCUUUAUUCCUUCCAAACAUUAAAACUGGGUAUGGUUCUGCACCAAGGAAUGGCUGUUUAUAAUUUUUUGAGUGAAAAGUCAGGAGAAUACCCUUAUAAUUUGUUCACUGCCUCAGUUUUGCAUUUGAUGGAUUAUUAUUAUUUUUUUUUAAAAGAGAGAGAGAAUUUUAAUAUUUAUUUUUUAGUUUUCGGCGGACACAACAUCUUUCUUUGUAUGUGGUGCUGAGGAUCGAACCCGGGCCACACGCAUGCCAGGCGAGCGCACUACCUCUUGAGCCACAUCCCCAUCCCGGAUUAUUAUUUUUUUAACCGAUGUCAAAACUAAGUCACUAAGAAGUGAAGGGCACCCAUAUUAGUGAGACUUUAUUGUUAGAGUUAGAUACAAGAUAGCGGGCUCACAGAAGAUGGAUGUAAAAGUUGUUAGAAUUGUUUAAAGUGAUGUAAAGAAACAAGAUGCUUUUUGCAGCUAGAAAUCACUAGGGGAAUGCUGGAUGCAGUGGUGCAAGUUUGUAAUCCCAGCUACUUGGCAGGGUUGAAAUAGGAGGAUUGCAACAAUGUUUGAGGUUAGCCUGGGCAAUUUAGUGAGUCUUUGUCUUAAAAAAAAAAAAUAGGGCUGGGGAUGUAGGUCAGUGUUAUAACACCUCUGGGUUCAAUCCCUAGUAAUGGAGUGGCAGGGUGGGCUCCUGUGGAGGCAUCUCCAGGGUAGGCAGAGCAGCCCUGCUUUCCUGUUUUCAAGAUGCAAAACUUAUGUUGAAGUGUCUUUCUUUUCUUCUUCUUUUUUUUUUUUUUUAAUUUUUUUAGUUGUAGAUAGACACAAUACCUUUAUUUAUUUAUUUUUAUGUAGUGUUGGGGAUUGAACCCAGUGCCUCAUGUGUGCUAGGCAAGUGCUCUACCACUCUGAAGUGUCUUUCUUUUUGCUCUUACCUCAGGGGAUUUGAUGUCUUUUAAAACAUUAGAAACAAAGAAAUAAUACUCAGGCCAAAUAACUGGUUUUUUUUUUUGUGAAAAAAAAAAAAAAUGGGGCCAUAUGUACAAGUGGAUCUUAUCUGGUGACUCAAGCAAACCUUGAAUACAUCUCUGAAGAAAAAGAAUGAAUAUAUGUCAGCCCGGUUUAAAAACACUUUGGAGCCAAACUCACUUGGGUUCAUCUCUUGCUAACUACUUUCUAGCUCUCAGAUUGUAAGGCUUAUUUUCUCUGAGCCUUAAUUUCAUGAUUUAGAGAACAGGAAUACCUAUUUUUGUAUCUGUCUUAAGAAUUAAUUGAGAGAAUAUAUGUGGAAAGUGCUUCCUCUAGCACAAUGUAAGUGCUUGCUGUUAUCAGUAGUGAAUAGCAUGGAACAUUGUAGCUUUCCUGUCAUCUUCUACUUGGGUCAGUUCUUACCUUGCCUGGGUUCUCUCUAAUGGGUAUGUAAGCUAGCAGGCUCUGUUUCCUGGAUAGUGACUGAUACGGGGGUUUUAUUGGAACAGGGAUGGCUGGUUCAGAGCCUGCAUGGGACCCUCUGAUACUGAGUAAUUCUCCUUGUCUCUCUUUUCUGUUCUUUAGCCGGUUGGAAAGCACUUGGAUCAUUAGGGGAACUUUCACUUCUGUUCCAGAUUUCCUCUGAUUUGUAUGCCCAUUUCUUCUGGUUCUUGUGCAAGAUCAGGGAGGCACAGAUAUACUGAAAUGGGUUUUAUGUGAAAGUUGACUUUCUCUUUAAGAGAAACUGGUGCAGUGGGAAUGGGGGUGGGGAAAAAGUCCCUGAAGCCUAUCCCAUUACACUAAUCUCAAACUGAAUUUUUACAAAUCUGAGCACCAUAACUAUAGCCUUUACAUAUACCUUAUUCCUUUGAAUGAAACAAAAAUGUAGAAGUUCAUUAUUUUGUGGGAAUGCCCAUCUGAUUUGGUAAAAAGUAGAAAUUAGAGUGUUUUCAAAGAAAUACCAUUGUCUUAUUAAUUUUUUUAUAAGCUCUUUAAUAUAUUUCUUGGUCUUAUUACUUCUGUGCUGUGUUUGUAGUCACUUUUUCCUAUUUCCCACUUCAGAUUCCUCUAGGACAGUGUAUAUAAACUGCCACUUUAGGUCUUCCUAUAUUCGGUGCUUAAUACUCUUAGGCUUGGAAGAUUCUUUGGUACCCGCUAGUUCCUGAGCUACAUCCCCAGCCCUUUUUAUUUUGAGAGUCUUUGUCUUUAAAAAAAAAAAUAGGGCUGGGGAUGUAGGUCAGUUGCUAAGACUGUCCUCAAACUUGCAAUCCUCCUGCCUCAGUCUCCCGAGUCACUGGGAUUAUAGGUUUGUUCCAAUGCCCAGCUUGAAUACAUUUCAAAAGUGUCAGAUUAUCUUGGUGUUCCAAAGCCUAUAGCAGCAUGUCCCUUUUCUGCCACUUUAAUUAUAUUCUGUAUUGUUACUCACGUGUCCCCUUUAUUCCUGAUAACUGUUACAUGUGGUCCUCUUAAGCGUGCUUCAUGUUUGUGUCUCUGCCAAUUCUUUUGCCCACAGGAUUCUCAUCUUGUACCCUACUUUUUGCCACAUCUACCUUCUUGAGUGAACCUUGAUACCUACCAUGUCUCCAUAGCAACACCUUGAUUAUAGAAUUCAGCACACUGUAUUCUGGUUAGUUGUCUUGUAUUAUAUGAGCAGCUCAAGGACAUGGGCUAUGUUUUAUUAUGGGUUCCCUAGCAUAAAGUAGGGUAUAAUAUAGAUACCAUAAAUUCAUGAAAAAAUGAGAAAUGGUAAUAAUUCUGUUGAAAUCUUACUUUUUCCCUGAAGUAUUCCUUGAUCCCUAGCCAUAGUGAAUUUAGCAUGAGAGCCCUUCAUAUCGGAAGCAAUUGAAUGCCUUAGAAUAUAUCUUAUGCUCUUAACUGGAUUAGAAGUUCUUGGAAGACAGAGAUGGCAUACCUCUUUUCUCAUUGGGUACCCAUUCCCUAGCACAGUUCUUGGCAUGGAGAGGGUGUUUGGUAAGUGCUUGUAAAUGCAAGAGUCCUGCUAUUUGGUUAGCUUAUGUACCUGCCAGUUGUUCAGCCUCCUCUGUCACUCACUGGCCUGUGGGUCUCCAACUCAGAUGUUUUCAGGGCUAAGUGGUGAACAUAGAGUGUAAAGUAACAGGAAAUGGUAGACCUGUGUCAAACUUAAGUGCUCAGUUGCUUCAUGGGGGGCAUCUGUUACUAAGCCUGUCAUUGUCCUGAGUGAACAUGGCUCUAGUGGCCUUGUAAUUUCUUAUUAUAAGAGAAGCCAAAAAUCUAGAUUUUUGUGAGAUACUCAGGGAUAACCAAAGCAUGUUUAUGGCCCAGAUUAGACCUAUAGACUACCCAUUUGCAACCUAGAAUUUUACAUAUUUGAGUUCCUUGUGGAAGAUAAAGAGAUAUAACCUGAAAGUUUUUGAGGGAGUUUUGGCAAAAGUUUGGCUCUGGUUGAGUGUAGAACAUCAUCUAAGGACUGUGCUUCAUUCUAUUCUCCCUUGUUUUUCACCGGUCUGUGAAAAGUGACUUUUUGUCCCUAGAAAGAUGGGGAACCUAGGAUUUCUGUGCAUUUUAUCCUUCUUCCUAGUCUCUGCUGAGGUAGAUUUGGUGGUUGUUACUGUUUCUGGUUACUCACAGCAACAUGGUGGUCAGGUUGAUAUAGCAUAAGCUCCCAAAGAUCAUUCCUGUUAAUAUCAUCUCUGAGACAGAGCUCUGCGUGAACAAAUGCAACUGAAAGGGCAAUAUAUUAUAUAAAAUUACCAUCCAUAUGUGGCCAGCCAGAGAUUAUAGCAGUAUAAUAACUAGAAGGGAGUCUGUACCUCCACAGAACCUUUUGCUCUCUCAUUCUUUGGCUCUCUCAUUCUUUUCUUAGUCCCAAAGUGCCCCCAGCAGUGCUUAUUUGCUUGGCCUUACCUUCCAGGUCUGAGAGCAUUGUCACCAGUGGAAUUCCCAUCUGAGUCAGAAACUAGCCAACUAGAGUAUCUCUGGAAGAACAUAUGAGAAACUGAAAACAGACUUUCUCUGGUGAGAGGUUUGGGAAGAAAUGGGGGAUGAGGGAGACUGAUUUUUCACUGAUGUACCUUUUCAAAUUUGAACCAUGAUUAUUAUUAUUAUUAUUAUUAUUAUUAUUAUUAUUAUUAUUAUUUUGAUUCUGAGGAUUGAACCCAGGGCUUCACAAACGCUGUAUUUUAUUUAGAGACAGGGUCUCACAGAGUUGCUUCGUGCCUUGCCAUUGCUGAGGCUGACUUUGAAUUUGCAGUUCUAUUGUCUCAGCCUCCUGAGCCAUUGGGAUUAUAGGUGUGUGCCACCGCACCCUGAUUAUUAUUAUUAUUAUUAUUAUUAUUAUUAUUAUUAUGGUACUGGGGAUUGAACCCAGGGCCUUGUGCAUGCAAAGCAAACACUCUACCAACUGAGCUAUGUCCCCAGCCCUCAUUAUUAUUUUUUUAACAUACUUGUACUGAUCUGUGUAUGGUCUCCUCUUUAGAUUUCACUGUGUCCUCAUUUUACUCCUCUGAGGUGUUAGUUUCUCUGUAAAUACCUUCCCUCAGUCACUAGAUUGCUUCUCAGAGGUGACAGCUUUGCCUCGCCAUUUCCAUGAAGAGUCUAAGGGUUUCUUGCCAGGGGUCUUUGGAAUAAUUAUCAGCCCUAACGUACAUUCAAACAGUUUCACUGUUUUCAAACUAUACUAUUUACAAAGGGCUUUCAAAUACAGUAUUUUUUUUUAAAAUUUAUUUUUUAGUUGUAGUUGGACCCAAUACCUUUAUUUAUUUAUUUUUAUGUGGUGUUGAGGAUCAAACCCAGGGCCUUGCAAGUGCUAGGCGAGCGCUCUACCACUGAGCCAUAAUCCCAGCCCCAUCAAAUAUAGUGUUUUAUCUUAUCCUUACAACAUCUCUAUUUUAUAUUAAUAAAUCAAGGGUUGAAGAGUCUAAAUGACUCUCUUAGGAUCAUACAGAUAGCCGGGGUAGGGUUGUGACUAAUCAAGGUAGCCUUACCUUAUAUUCUUGCUCCUUUCUCUUAAUUCUUUUGGCAGGAAGGUAGUCUUCUCUGUUUGAUUUUUUUUUUUUUUUUAAAUUUCUGGGUUUUAGAGAGGUUUUAGUUGGAAUAGAAAUGGAGCUCCUAUGUUGUCUCUUUUCUCUUUUGGGUUGAGCCCACCACUUUUUGGUACUCUAAAUUACAUAAGCCUAUCUUCUCUGGAAAAACGACAAAAACAAACCGAGGGAUCAAUAAUAGGUUUCUCUGUUUUCUAGAUGGGCUAAAGCUAACGCUCCAUUGGGCAAUAUCUUUUAGGGGAGUUUGAAUUAACAAUCUGGUUUCCUAUUCUUUGCUGAGAAUUAUUGCUGCUAUUAGGCAGAGGGCUUUGUUUCCAGGUUACAAAUCUUUUUAGCAAAGAAGUAAGUGUGGAAUAGAAUUGGAAGGACUCAUGUAGUCCUUGGAUAUAAUUUAAUGCUCUAUGUCCCAGAGAGUAAACAUUGUAAAGUGUGCAAGAUGGGUUUGGAUUAAUAUCCUGACAACAUAUGGCUUGGCAUGUAGGGCAUUCCUUAGAGACCCUCUUCACCACACACAGCCUGCCUUUGCCGGGUGGCCCCUUCCCAUAGGUCUUCCCAGCAGCUGUUGUGCACCUGGGUGAAUUAUCAGCUUCCCUAGGUUUAAAAAGAUUUUUUUUAGACUGGUGAAAGUUCUCAUUACAGGAUAUAGACAACCUUGUGAGACAAUGUGUUUUAGUCCUACUUGGUUUUCCCUGAGUUUGUCCAGGGUAUUCACCUCUCAGAGGAGCACUAGCUGAGCCUCAUUCCUAUUACUUUGGCUAUAACAUUGAAAAUUGCUGGGAUUAUGGGUCAGUGGUGGAGUGCUUGCCUGGCAUUUGUGAGGCAGUGGGUUCAAUCCUUAGCACCACAUAAAAAUAAAUAAGAUAAAGGUAUUGUGUCUAUCUACAACUAAAAAAUAUUUAAAAAAAAGAAAAAAAAAGAAAAUCACUUUCCCCUUUAUAACUCUGCUGUCCCUGAGGUCAAGGGUAUAGAAGGUCUCUGAAAACUUCAGGGAAGCAGUGGUACCAUGGAGGGAAGGCUCAUUUGCUUCUCAAGACUAGGCAGAAAGCUAAGACUUUUUACCUUUGCAAUGUGUACUUGAAUCAGAAUUUAGAAGUCUUUAAGGAGCAGUCUGUGCAUUACUGACACAUCUCUGAGUUGCGGAGGCUCUUUUUCAAUCUCUGAAGAAAACUUGAGCAUGUAGAGGUUGUAUUCCAUUCUUUCCUUUCCCACCCCUGACCUGUGCUGUGCCAGAGAGAGCUAUAGAUAUACUAGCUGUUGGCUUACUCAGGGCCUUCAGGUGGGCAGUUUUCUAGCCCUGGAAAUGCAGCUGGUUUACCCAGAUUUAAGUUCCAGGAGAUUUCUCAGAAACUAGAAUUAAUAAGAACCCAUCAAGGCAUACUUCCAGUUAACUAACUCACUCUAAGGACCAUGACUACCAAGAUGAUUGUGUGGAUGGGAAAGAACAUUCUGUCCUGUACAGAAGAGGCUAGGUGGGAAGCCAUCUUAUCAAGGCAAAAAUGGUGGAAAAGUUUUGGGUAUUAGCAUCAUCUGCACUCAAAUUUAAGUACUAGCUGUGAGAUUUCAGAAGCUUAUUUAACCUCUCUGUUCCUGUUUCUUCCUUCAGAAGCUAAUUUAGCCUCUCUAUACCUAUUGCCUCCUGGGUUUUCAGAUGUAGUGAUAAUAAUACAUCUAAUAUAUGUAAGCACUCAAUAAAUGUUUUGCUCUACUUGUUUUUCCUCUUUCUUUCUUUUUCCUCUUCUCUCUGUAUUAUCCUUCUAGGGCUGUAUCUUUAACCUGACCAGAAUAUCCUUGUCAUUCUGUAAGGGAACUAGGUAUUAGAGAUGCUAAUUUUUAUUUUCUAGGUUCCUCUGUAUGUAUUUUUUGCAGAAGAUGAUUCCCCCCCACUUUUUUUUUUUUUUUUGGUAGUAUUAGGGAUUAAACCCAAGGGUUCUUUACCACUAAGCCACACUCCCUUCCACUUUAUUUUUUCAGAGAAUGUCUUGCUAAAUUGUCAAGACUGGUCCAAACUUGCAAUCCUCCUACCUCAGCCUCCCAUGUUGCUAGGUUUAUAGGCAUGUCACCAUGCCUGGAUAGACCACAGUCCUUCUUCUAUCCCAGAUAACAGAUUCUAGCUCUCAUCAGUGAAUCCCAAGCCAGGGAGUCUUUCUGGUUUCCAUUCAGUUUAUAGUUAUUUGCUAAGCCAAGUCUUGUUUAUCCAUGGGAAUAUGGUGGUGAAUGAGACAGAUGUGGUUUCUGACUUUAGUAACUCCUCUCUCAAACCCUAUCCUCAGAUAGGUUAUUUCUGUGGGUGACUGGACUUGUUCAUUCUGUGCUGCUUCAUGUUAAUUUCCUUCUCAGAGAGCAAUCUUCUCCCUAGACCUAGGGGACAGUGCCUCUUUGUGCUGCAUGGGCCUUGCCUUCUGGCUUGCCUACUCCCAAAUGAUGAGAGCAGCAAGCUGAGGAUGAAGGAGAAAGCUCUUAGGGCCACUACUGCCUUGGCUACACAUGUCCCAAGAGCCUGUGCUUGGCACUCCUGAAUAUUCCUUUUCUCCUUGCACACAGAUUAUAGUGUUCGCUAGUAAUUUAAAUUCAAAUAACAUUCUGCCCCUUCUCUGCCUUAAAAAAAAAAAACCAAAAACCUGUGUAUUAUAGGGUAGAGAACAAAGCAGGGCAGCCCUGGUCUCCUGGCAGGGUUUGUUUUAUCAUACGUGUUUUUUAUGUAGCCUCACUGUGGGUUGCUUUUACUUUAAUAGGGCUAACAUGUAAUUCAGGUAUAUUGAUAUUCUGCAGUAAUAGAAUCAUGUCUUUCUCAAUCUUGUUUGUCAUAAAUAGUGGGACAGGUAGAUUCACGGGCUGGAGGUGUCCUGACUUGCUUUCUGCUUUGGGUUCCACACUUCAUUUUGGCCCCUGCUGGGCUCUGUAUAAAGGAGUCCCUGUAGCCAGGAUGAUGAUUUCUCAGCUUCAAAAUAGGGGCCUAAGAUAGCUUUCUGUUCCCUGCUCCUGUGCCUAUUACCAAUUUUGCUGGCAUUUGCCAAGAGAUGUGUGUGGGGAAGAAGGCAGAAUGGCUCUCUGGGAACCAUUUAUUUGAAAAUUCCCAAUGGAGAAAUACAUUUUCCUUUCCUCCUCCUCUUUCAGCGGUGUAUGACAUUGUGAGUUGGUACUGCUUGUACCUCUGCAUACUGAGACCUGUGUAUGACUCCUUCAGCCCUGUUGGAGUUUUCAACAAUAAAUUAUUUGUUAAUUGGUGUUUCCUCAAAAUCCUGUCACCUUCCUGGGAGGGUGGGGAAAUGUGCUAACAAUUAGGGACCUAGUGGAGCCUGUUUCUGGCACUGAGACCAUCAAAGGCAUGGUGGUUAAGCCAGAUGAACCACAUAUCCUACUGCUGCUGGGACUGGGCAUUUGUUGCAGUUGAAUUUAGUGUUAAGAGUCACGCUAGAAGCUUGGUUGGAAAGGAGAAAGCACUGUAUAAUUAUUGCUUAUGAACCAGUUAAACCUAUCAGCCAACAGAUGUCAAGUGCAGGAAAAAAGCAUAAUAAUGUUAUUAUAAUGGCAUAAUAGUUAUCAUUAUAAUAAUCAUCUGGCAUAGUUUUUGAUAAGAGGCAGAUCCUGAAAUGAGUGUAGGGGGAAGGGUUAACCCUGAACUGUAGCACAAUGAAUGGGUGCUAUGCUUUGCAUAGAUGCUGGUGUUUCAGGUAUGGAGGUGCUACCCUCUCUACAUAGCUAAAAGAGCUAUGGAGUCUUCAGCUGGUAUUAUCUACCGUGUAGGUGCUUUCUUUCUGAUGGUAUGAUGGAGCACACCAUCUGUCAGUUCAAGGUGCUCAGACUGCAGGAUUAUCAUACCAGUGUCCAAAGACUUCUGGGAAAGGUAGAGACUUCAUUUCUGUGGGCUCAUUUAGAAUUUCUAGGAAAUUCAGUCUUAUUUUUUUUUUAAUUUUUAUUGUUGGUUGUUCAAAACAUUACAUAGUUCUUUUUUUUUUUUUUUAAAAUAUAUUUUAUUUACAUUUUUUAGUUCUCGGCAGACACAACAUAUUUGUUUGUAUGUGGUGCUGAGGAUCGAACCCGGGCCGCACGCCUGCCAGGGGAGCGCGCUACCCUUGAGCCAUAUCCCCAGCCCCAUUAUUACAUAGUUCUUGAUAUAUCAUAUUUCACAUGGAAAUUCAGUCUUAUCCCUCUGUGAACUGUGAUUUGUGUACCUAGGAAGUGGUAGUUCAUGUCAGUUACAUCCAUUUGUAUGAGAAAAGAGGAGAAAAGAGGCUUUGGAUUCAGGGAGACCUGGGUUUGACAACUGCCUGGCCAUUUGAUAACUAUUGAAGAAGUUGCUUAACCUAGCUGAGCAUCAGCUACCUGUGCAUGUGCUCAUCCAUUUCUUGUUUGCUUUUAACUGACCUAUCUUUAAAGUACCUGUCACUAUGCUCAGCAUUAUGUGAUGCUCAGUAAAUUCUUUUGCUUCUCCUCAUCCUGCCUCCACUGCCUAUUCUAAAGAAUAGAAGGGCAUGGAGAAGGUCCUCUUGCUUCUGUAGGGGAGAAUUUUGUCCUCAAUUAGAGCUUUAAGUGAACUUCUUCAGGUACUGAUGUUGUUUCUGUGAGCCAUGAUCUGUAGACCAACUCUGAAGCUGCCUCAUCAGGGGAGACUUUGAUAUUUAAUAUUUGGGUACAUCUCUUCUUUAUCCAAGGAGUAAAAAAAAGAGGAUUUAAAAUCUCUUCAGGGAGCAGUACACCUACUUCUGUCUCAGACCCCUGUGGCCUCCUUCCCCUUUAUCCUUUGGGUGGGUCAUUUGGGAGCAAUGUGUACCUUGAGGAUCAUUCAUUCCUUGCAUGGGCGGCUGGUUGUUUGGCUCUGUGUCUUUACUGGGUAAGUUUUGUGUUUCUAACUAGGCCUUUGCUGUGGACUUUUAUUUUGGAAGCCUGGCGCACUCAGACAAGGUGAUAUCUUUUUAAACUAUUUUUGGCAGUUGGCCAGCUUGUCACUAUGGCUACCACCUGCCGGAAGAAUGACUGGACAUAGAAAGUAACUUCUGUGAGAAUUUUGGGAAAGAAGAAGGGAGAAGGGGAAAGAAUAAUUUGGCUUAAGGUCACAUAGGGAGAACAGCUUCUCGAAGUAGAACCAUUUGAUUUGGACAGAGCUUCAUUUCCUUUCUCUCUGAAACUUUGUUCUUCCAAUCAACAAAUGUAUAUAGAACAGCUAUUACAUUCCAGAUACUAUGCUAGGCCCUGAAAUACAGUCGUCUUUUCCUUCUUACAGUGCAUUGAUGAAUAUAGACAUUAAUAAAAUUAUAAUCAUGCACAUAAAUAUAAAAUUACAAUUAUAGUAAGUGUAUUAAAAUAAAGGAAUGAAGUACCAUGAGAAUAUUUGAUAGGGAUUUGACUUGGUCCUGGGGCCAAGAGGAUAUGAACAAGACUUCCUGGAGGAAGUAAUGUUUGAGUUAAAUUGUGAAGAACAAGCAAAUAUUUAUUGAGCAAGAUGACAUAAGGUUGAAGAGUGUUUCAGGCUGAAGGCCCAGCUCUGCAAAGGCUCCAGGGGCUCAGUGGGAGUGGGGAUCUCUAAGAGGAACUGAAACUGUUGGAGCAUAGAGAAUGAGAGAAGAUAGGUUGCAAGAUGAGGUUGGGGGGGGAUUGGCGGGGCAGGCCUGGUCAACCCAGGCAAGGCAUUUUGUAUUUACCUGGGGAACAGGGAUAUCUUUAAAGGAUUGUUUGUGGUUUAGGUGGUGAGAUAAUUGAAUUUGCAUCAUGGUCAACUCUCUUGGAUAGUACAUUGGGUGGAUUUUAAUGAGCGAGUAAGAAUGAAGAUCAGAAAAAGAACAUUUCUGUAAUUACUUGUCAGCUAAAUGGACUUCAGACUAAAGACUGAAGGUGCUACCUUUGAAAGUAGCACCUUUUGCUUCCUAAUUCAAGUUCUCUCUCAGUGCCCAUAUUCAGGAUACUGUUGGGGCUACCUGGCUACUCAGCAGACAUAGUGGCCUAGGCUGCCAGCUUUUGGCAUCUUUCCACCUGCCUAGAAAAAGGACUGGAGGUUUCAUGCCUGUCACUUGUUCACAUCUGACAGCUCCAGAAUCCUUUGUAACUUGCUGUGUUGCAGUUCCUCUGUUGGCUGUCAUUAUUGCAUAGGAGUUGCCCCUUUCACCUUGGAUCCCUUUAGCCACUGACAUUGACAACUCCCUGAGAUACAGUGUGUCAGGUUAGCAAACCUAGCACCUGUGGUUUGUGUAACAUUUCUGGUUCUGGUUAUUAUAGCUGUGUACAUGUUCUCUCUUGGCAGUAGCCCAUGUCUGAAGGGAUAGAAAUUAGCUAGAGUUGUUUUUCCCAAUGUGUAGCCAGGAAGAUUGAGGUACAGGAGGGGCCUAUGAUAUAAAAAAAACUAGGUUGACGUCACAUGCUGCCAAACAGCUGCAAGAUGGGUGGUUCAAACCCUAGACCAGUGACCUUGCCCACUUCCCCUUUCAUUUACUCAUCUGGAAGGCUGUGCUGCACAGGCUUCCAUAGUGGUUAGGAGUAUGGCCCUUGGACUUGAGUUGACUAGUUAUAAUCUCCGCUUCACCACUUUUAAGUUGUGUGAUAUGGUUAAGUUACUCUAUUUCUCUUACACAUAGUUUUCUCAGCUCUAGAUGGGGAAUAAUGAUAAUACCAUGGUCUGAGUAUUUGUGUCCCUCCUAAAUUCACAUGUUGAAACCCAGCUUCCAAGGUGAUGGUAUUAAGAGGUAGGGCCUUUGGGAGGUGAUAAGGUGAUAAGGCUCUGUCUUAUGAAUGGGAUUAGUGCCUUUAUAAAAGAACCUGAUGGAGCUUCUUUGCUCUUUUUGUCUUAAGGACAUAGGAAGAAGGUGUCAUCCAUGAAUCCAAGAGCCCUCACCAGACACUGGAUCAGUUGGCACUUUGAUCUUAGAUUUCCUGGCUUCUAGAAUUGUGAGCAAUCAUUUUUUGUUAUUUAUAAAUUACUCAGUCUAAGGUGUUUUGUUAUAGCAGCCCAAACAGAUUAAGAAAUUGGUAUUGAGAAUUGUGAUGUUUGGGACUUGGUCAGCUAGUUGGGAAAUGUUCAGUGCAGAAAUUCAAAUACAAGAAAAGGUACAGAUUUCCACAGGAAGGUGUUGAGUUUGGUUCUAAACUUAACUGUCAAUGGGAUAUCUAGGUAGAGUUGUUAAGCAAGUAAUGAGAUCUCCUGCAAGAGGGAGUCCUUCCUUGGAAGAAUUUGUUCCAUGAGAUGUAAAAAUUUAAAGAUUUAUGUGAUUGGAGGAGAAACCAGAAUAUAUGUUGCAUAAGAUGUGAUGGUCUGUAAUAGGAACCAGAAGGAUGAAGCCAGUUCAGAAGAUGAGGAAGGAAACCUAAAGAUGAUGAGAAGAAUGAUGCCAUUGGCAAAAGGAAUAAGAAAUGACUAAAGCAAUCACAGGAUGUGAAGAUGCAAUCUAGCCUUCCAACCAUGCCACUGCCCCUGACUAUUCAAGGCUAAGAACCAGCUCAUUUACACCAAAAACAUUAACUAGUGGCACAAGCCAUUUGUCUGCAACCUUGGAUGGUGCUGCCUUGCUGCUCAGUGGCUUUGGCAGUAGGCCUUCCUCUUCUCUGAUUAAUCAACAGCUGGGGGCUGGGGCUGUGGCUCAGAGGUAGAGUGCAUGCCUAGCAUGCGGGAGGCACUGGGUUUGAUCCUCAGCACCACAUAAAUGUAAAAUAAAGAUAUUGUGUCCACCUAAAAAAAAAAAAACUUAAGAAUUUAAAAAAAAAAAUCAACAUCUGCCCUCAGCCUAUGGUAACUAGCAAGCUGAAACAGUUCCUUACCACCUUGAGGCAGUUUGUGCUUUGUAGCAGAUUAGAGAAAGAGGCAACACCCUUGUGCUAGGACUGAUGAACUCUGACAAUUGAAGAAUUUCAUUCCAAACUGCUAACUUCCCACUACAACCUUUUGUCAUCCCAUUUUUGAAAGCCAACCUGCUUCUGUUGCAGUGUGAGCUCCUACACUGCACAAGGCUGGCCGAAUAGAACCCUGCCAAGUACCUUGCCCAGCAUGAACAGCUGGAUGCCAGUACUACCUCCCCUGUUGACUCAGAGCUGCUUGAUUGAGGAAAGGAAAACAUGAAGAGGUGAAAUCCAGAUGGAACCAAAGAAAAUGGCUUUGACAGAGAGCCUUUGCACUAGAACAUCCAAGGAAGCAACCAUACACUAUUAUCCCAGACCAGCAGUACAGUCCAAAUAAGAGCUUAUCCUACCAGCUAAAUGGCCUGUCUCAUCCCACCUCACCCCCCCCCCACCUUAGCAUUACUGUUUGGUUGAUAUGGCUAUUGCCCACCACUACAGGGACUCCUCUAGACAUUCCAGCCACAGGAACUUCAGGGACAGAAAUAGACCAAUGGGGUUGCAUGGCAGAUCUCAAGAAAAAAUGAUUUAUCGCAGACUGACUGACAGAUGAGCAGAACAAUGGGCAGAAGAAUGGGAACAUCCUGAUCAUCUGUUCAACAGCACAAUGGACAUAAUAUAAAAAGAAGGUGAUUACUCACUGUAUUAAGGUGAUGUCAAGAAGUGGACCAGGAAGAAUUGAGUUACAGGUCAAGUGGUACAGUAAUGCCUACGUCUUGAAAAAGAACAUCAGCAGUAGCAGCAAUCACUACAGGCAGCAGAGUCCUGUCAACCCUGACCUGGUUACAUUAGGUAUCUUUGCUUCAGAUGACCAUCUUGAAUAGUUAUUUCUUUUUUUUUUUUUAAUUUUUUUUUGUAAUUGUGUAUGGACAGAAUGCCUUCAUUUUAUUUGUUUAUUUUUAUGUGGUACUGAGGAUCAAACCCAGUACCUCACACAUGCUAAGCAAGUGCUCUGCUACUGAGCUAUAGUCCCAGCCCUGAAUAGUUAUUUCUUAUGCUAUUAUUAUUAUUAUUAUUAUUUGGUACUGAGGAUUGAACUCAGGGGCACUCGACCACUGAGCUACAUCCCUAGCCCAAUUUUGUAAAUUAUUUAGAGACAGGGUCUCACUGAGUUGCUUAGGACCUUGCUAAAUUGCAGAGGCUGGCUUUGAACUCGCAAUCCUCCUGUCUCAACCUCCAGAGCUGCUGGGCUUACAGGCAUGCACCACCAUGCCCGGCUGUUAGUAAUACUAUUUUUUAUCAUGAUUUUUAAAAUAAAGGCUGCUCAGGGAACAGAAAUACUUACAUAUCCUUAAAGAGAGAGAGAGAGAGGGGGGUAUUAAGAUGUAGGAUGCCGUAAUAACGAAUACUUAAAAUAUGGAAGCAACUUGUGAACUGAGUAAUGGGUGGAGGCUGGAGUUUGGAGGUGCAUUGCCAUGAGAGGAACUUUAAGGGUGAUUCUGUUGGGGGCUUAGGAGAAGAGAAGAGCUGUAGAGAUAAUUUUGAUUUUCUUGGAGAUUACCUAAGACAAACAUUGAUAGAAAUGUGGAUGGUAGUGUUAUCAGAAUCUUAGGCCAGAGGCCUGACUCUGUGAGUGCCAGUAAACCUGAUCCCUUCCUCCCUGCCUGCCUUAAUAUCUUCUUUCCUAUACUCUCUUUUUGCCUUCUGUGUUCUGGCCACAGUGAACCUCUUUUCUGCUCCUUGAGUAGAGAGUCUUUGUUCCAACUGUACCUUCUUCUUGGGAUACUUUUCUUUCAUCUUAAUUGGCUUCUUAUUCAUUCACAUUUCAGAUCCAUUAUUAUUUACAAGAAGGGCCUUCCCUUUCAUCUAGCAUAAAGUGACUACUUAAGUUAUGAUCAUAACAUAACUAUUUGUCUUAGUCCAUUUUCUGUUGCUAUAACAAAAUACCUGAGACUAGGUAGUUUGUAAAGAAUAGAAGUUUUAUUUGGCUUAUGGUUUUGGAGUCUGGGAAGUCUAGGAACAUGGUGCUAGCAUCUUCUUGGCUUCUGGUGAGGGCCCCACGCUACCUCAACUCAUGGCAGAAGGUAUAAGGGCACACAAGCAAGUAGACUUGUACAGAGAAGAGAGGGCAAAGGGAGCCAUCACCUCUCAAUACCAUUACAGUGGGGACCAAGUUUCAACAUGAGUUUUGGCUGGAACAAAUCAUAUACAAACCAUCACUAUCUGAUAUUUUUCUUGUUUGAUUGCUCCUUGUUGACUGUGUUUUUCCUCUACUUGAGUAUAAGUUCCAUGAGCAGAGGUACUCUGUCUCUCCUGUAUAUAGUUGUAUUCCUAGUGCUAGGAACAGUACUUGGCAUAUAGUAGAUGAUUAAACAUUUGUUGAAUGAAUGAGCUUGUGAAUGAGAAUGUGUUCUUUUAUUACUUAGAACUUGGGUGCACAGGUGUUCAUAUUCAUAUUGCUUUGUUUCUUAAAUAAAUGUAAUCAAAAUGAUUUUCUUUCCUGUUCAUUAUUUAUUAAGUGCUCUCCCCCAGCCCCACCCCUCUAGUAUUUGGGAAAUUCUGAGGAGAGGCUGUUUUUCCCUUGCUUCAUUUUAUGUAGCUCUUUUUCUUCUUGGCAUUUUGUUAUUGGAAAGAGGAGUUUGUAGUUGCUGGGCUUUAAGCAUUGAUUUUUAGGUUUUCUGUUAUAAGGAGGCAAGUUUUAAUGCAUUUGCUUGGAAUAAAACAAACACAAAAGCUCACCAGGACAUGGCAAAUUUAUCUCACUUUGUUUUUCUACCAACAGUUUUUGCAAUACUAUCAAAGUUCUUAUACACGGUCAUUAGCCAAGAAUUGACAAAUUGACAAUGGCCAGAUGGAAACAAAUUCACAAAAUGUGAAUGGGUGGCAAGGUGAGACAUGAGGGGACAGUACUUCUUUUUUGACAGUGACCUGUUUUUUUCAUGACAAAUAUUGGCCGUGUGAGACAGACCCUGGACCUGCUAAACUAGUCUCUUUUUGACAGGGCCAGUAAUCUUGGGAACCAUAGAGACUGAAGGUGGUGCUGCUUAGUGCUGUUGUGGCCACCUGGCAAGGCCAAGGCAAUCCUUUUUCUUCCCUUUGCUAGGGAAGUGCUCUAAGCUCCCUGGAGGAAGUAGGAGGUGGUAUUCUAGCCACUUUUGCAAAUAUCUGUGUCCUAAAUGUUACUGGCACUGAAAACCCUGGUCUUUAGAACAUAAAACCCCAGGGAUACAGAGGAGCAAGAGAGAAUAUCUGGAGCAAGGUUAGACAACAGGGCCAUUGGUUUGAUUUUCUGAAAAGGUUGUUUUUCGAGACACCACUCAUUUCUGUGUUUCCCAUCUAUCAUUGAAGACUGCCUUCUCCUUUUCUUUUUCUCAAAGCACUUAGUUCCCCUAACCUGACUGAGUUAUUGUUGACUUGUCACUACUUAUAAGUCUUUCAAGUGAAUAACAUCAGGCAGCAUCCCUGUUAACUCUCUCCUUUGCUUAUUUCCCUUCUUUGAAAGACUUAGCUUUGGGGGUGACUGACAAUACCUGGCCACUCUUGCUUCUACUCUAUACUGGAUCUUUAUUGCUGUAGUUAGGUUGACCAUCCUCUGUCCAUCUGGAAUAAUCUUUAGCUUAUGUUUAAACGUAUCUAGAAGUCUACUUGUAAUGAAGCUCCCCUGCUCUUUUUUAUGCCAAAAUUUCAGUUGUGAUCUACCAAGACAAAAAGCUUCUGGGCCCCAAAAGUAGAGUUUUGGAAGAGCAUCAAGUGGCUUUCUUAAAUAACUUUCUAUGAAUGUAAAAAUCAUUAUUUAGCCUCCUCUCACCUUCCCUCUUUAGUCUUUUCUAUGCUAAAUGAUGAUUCCUAUUCCUUUAAUCUUUUCUCAUAUGCUGUGUUUCCUGGCCCCUAUGUUGUUCCUGCAAUUUCUCUUCAAAGAGUAUUUUCUUUUAGAAAAUUUCAUAGCUGUCUUCUGGUCAGGUGGUAGGUAGUAUGUUUUGUUCCAUCUCUUCCAGGCUAUUAUUAUUAUUAUUAUUAUUAUUAUUAUUAUUAUUAGUGAUAGUUGAAAGACGGUUGGGGUGGAUAAGAUGUACUAUUACACUCUUCUACUCCAUUUGUGUAUCAUUUAUGAUUCCAUGCCAUGUAAAGGCACAUCAGCCAGACUCCAAAACUUGAGAUGCUUCUGACCAGGGGGUUGAUGGCCCAAGUUUUGAUAAUGCCUAAUUAGGCUUCCUAUUUAAAACAACUUAAAAAAAUAUCUAUCUAUUUAUUUAUUUAUUUAUUUUGUAGUCGUGGAUAAUAACUUUAUUUAUUUAUUUAUUUUUAUGUGGUGUUGAGGAUUGAACUCAGGGCCUUGCAUGUGCAAGGCGAGUGCUCUACUGCUGAGCCAUAACCCACCCCUAAAACAAAUUUUUUUAGUUGGGUUUUUUUGUCAUUAUUAAAAAGUGAACAGACUUGCACCAAAUUUUGGCUUGCAUUGGUUUCCUCUUUACUUAAAUAUUGAGUGAGAACUUCUUCACAAUCAGCUGCAAUCUUUAUGUUCACAAGGAUUUGGUGGAUCAGGCCUUCCAGUUCUGGACCCUUAUCCUUCACCUAUAUAUUGGAUGGGAUAGUAGGCUGCUAUGGGAACAGCUUUGGGAUAUGCCUCCUACACAUGCACACAUAAACACAAUUCCAAGGACUAGGUACUUCUUUGAGAAGAACUUAUCCUGUUUCUUGCAAAUGCCCUCCAUUGCAACAAAAUUUGGAGGCUUUCAGAGAGAAUUAGUGACUUUUUUUCCCCCCAAGCAGGCUUAAAGUUCUUAAACUUCAAAAAAUCUGACACUCAGAGACUUGGCUUUGAAAUAAGACAAAUUGCAAACCUAGUACAGUAAGACUCUUUCUCUCCUUGAUCUUUUUCCGUUCUCUCUCUCUCAAUUUAUUUUAACUUCCCCUUUCAUAGUCUUACCUUUCAGAAACUUGAUUCAGGCCUUCCUUGCCAGCUCCUGGCAGGAGAAGCAGCAGGGCUUCUAGCCCUAAUUUAUGGUUUACAUUUCUUCUCCAUUCCCUUGCUUUGCUGCCCUAGUUCUUUACCUCCCAGCAUCCUGCUGGUCAUUCCCCCAUCAGUAAGAACAGUGUUGUAGAGUGACAUGCAGGUUUAGAUUUUGAUGGCGUCAGUGCUAGUCUAGUGAUCUGGGUAGAAUUUGGGAACCUGUUUUGUGCAUAUGCUGCUAAAUGAGGAGAUCUCUCCAGCUUAAUACCAUCUUUCUUGCUGCCCCCACCCCUGCCCUCCAGGAACCCUGUUGCCAGGGAAAAUGGAGAAUUCUUUAUCAUGAUUAAUUCUGGAGUAUUAUCCUAUGAAGUUACAAAAUAGCAUUUCAGAGCAAGAUGUCAAGAAAUCUCCCUAAAGUUCCCAUGGAACAAGUUGACCUUUCAAUUACAUUUUUCAACAUCAUUGGAGACCCAUUUGAAGAAAAUUCAAGCAACAAUUAAGACUAAGCAAAGAAAACUAAUUUAGAGCCAGAAUAUUUAAGAAGCAUAAAAAAUCAGAACUUGCAGGUACAUAUUAAACAGGAGUUGAGCUUUGUUCUCGUAGUACUUUUUCCUUCCCUUUUUUGCAUUAUUUUUGGUUUUCUCUCCCAGACUUGAGGAUUUCCAUUAUUUGCCUGGUGGUGGAAUGAGGAUCCUGUUGGUGACAGCCUGCUGAGAUUUAGGCAGGUAUAGGGAGUAGUGGGUGGGCUGCCUUUGGUACUGCUAAAUCUGGGAAUUUGGGUUCAUCUGGGGAAUGGGUAAGCUUGCCUUCAUUUCUAGAUCCAUUUGCCUCUCUCAAUAAUUUUUAGGGAUCAUUAAUAUUUUCCAGAUGAUUCUUUCUGAGAAUGGAAGGCAUUUUUUUUUUUUUUGACAAUUUUUUUUUUUUUUUUUUGGUACUGGGUUUGGAAUCCAGGGGCACUUAACCACUGAGCCACAUUCCCAGCCCUUUUUAAUUUUUUAUGUUGAGACAGGAUUUUGAGACAGGGUCUUGCUAAGUUGCUUAGGGCCUUGCUAAGUUGCUGAGGUUGGUUUUGAACUUGUGAUGCUCCUGCCUUAGCCUUCUGAGUUGCUGGGAUUACAGGAGUGCACAACCAUGCCCAGCUUUCUGGACAGUUCUAAGAGUAUCUUUGUCUUUCUGAAUACUUCGAAGACUCAAACCAAAGAUUUGUUGAUUUUUAUCCUUAAGGUCUUUUCUAGGUGACAGUAGUAAGUACCAGCCCCAGUUCAUUUGGGAGACAGGAAGUUUGAUAUAUUUAAGAGUUUGGGCUCUGGAGUCAGAUCUGCUUUAAUUCUGGCUCUGCCUUACCUUGGGAAGGUGGCUUAAUGUCUCUCAGUCUCAGUUUUCUCUGUAAUAGGAUAAGGAUGUUAUCUAUGAUGCAGAUUUGGUGUGAGCCCAAUACCUAGUAAGUAACUAUUUUCUAAAUGGUAGCUAUAGUUUUUAUUUGGGGAUACUAAUAGAAAAUCAAAUUGAACUUUGUUGUGGUUUGACAUGUCCCCCAAAGUUGAUGUGUUGGAAAUUUAAUCCCCAAUGAAACAAUGUUGAGAGGCAUGACAUUUAAGAGAUGAUUAGAUCACGAGGGCUUUGUUCUUCUCAAUGGGUUAAUGCUGUUAUUGUAAGGAGUGGGUUCCUGAUAAAAGAAUGAAUUUGGCCUUCCUCCCAUGUGGUGCUUUCUGCCAUGUUGUGACACAACAAGAAGGCCCUCAUCAGAUGUUUGACCCUCAAUCAUGGACUUCUCAUCUUCCAAAAUAUGUAAGAAGUAAAUUUCUGUUCUUUAUAAAUUAUCCAAUCUUGGGUGUUCUGUUAUAGCAGCACAAAAUGGACUAAUAGCAUCCUUUUUGGCAAGAGCUAAGAAGGUGGAAAGUAGCUAGAAGAACCAUGAAGGAAGAUUAGGGUUGAGGGUGGGUGGAACUAGCAAAAUGGAAAGUAGGAGAACUUCGGGUACUUUAACAAGUUACCUGUUGUUUUAUUAGAUUACUGAAUUCUGUCUUCCCUUUUGUGAACCUAACACAUUGAUUGUUCUCCUAGGAGCCUCAAACUGGUCCUGUUAGCUUCUCAGCAGCCACAAUGUCCUCCAUCACCAAGAUAUCAUAAUUUUUACAAAACACACUGCUGUGUUUUGCCAUCUGAACUUUGAAGUGCUGUAAAUAAUUAAAACUGAACUGUACUUGUCAGAAUAGGUUCAGAAAGUGCAUUUUGAGAUGCUGUACCUUUGUCCUGACAAUGUGUUUAUUAGCUUGCUUGUUAAUUUCAGAAUUGGUUAACUCAAGGCACCUCUGCACCAGCUUACGCAUACUAGCAUUUGACCUGAAAGCUUCCAGAGAGGGGUGCAGAAUGGCUUGCUCCUUCUCCUUCUGUUCCUGGGAAGUCAUAUGAGGUGAAUGGCAUUUCUUCUCAGGGGCAGAAGGGAAACUGAGGUACUUGUGGGCUGAUACUCCUCCAUAAACAUUUCUGUAUGGAAAAGAGUGAAUUGUGGAUUGAAUGGAGCAGAACUGCAGAGGUUAGGAACUUCUUGAUGAUUUGGAAAACAAUUAAGUGCAAAUAGUUAGAUGAAAACCUUUGUUGAACAAUUUGACUUGUGUUCUCAUGAAGACAUUGAAUUCUGGACUCUUUGUACCUGCUCAUUAGAACGCUAAAGGGUGGUUCAGCCUCAGAUGAGGUUUCGUUGUAAUGGUGGUGGAAGAAAGGAGAGGCUCAUCUGAAGGUCUUGCAGCAGAGGAGCUGUCAUUAUCAGCUGCUUCAGUUCUUGUUGGGGUUGCUUGUCAGAGAGUGGUGAGGUCAGGCUUGGGGAAACUGGGUGUAGAAAAGGAGCAUGGCAUAACACUUAAGAGUGCAAGCCUGGAGUCAUACGGACCCAGGUUCAAAGCCUAGUUUUGCUGCUACUAGCUGUGAUAUUAGACUCCUAUAGCUGUUGUAACAAAUUAACAUAAAUUUGGUGGCUUAAGGGGACUGAGGUUGUAGCUCAGUGGUAGAAUUCUUGCCUAGUAUGUGUGAGGCAGUGGGUUCAAUCCUCAGUACCACAUAAAAAUAAAUAAAUAAAAUAAAGGUAUUGUCCAUCUAAACUAAAAAUUUAAAAAAAAUCUUUAAAAAAACUUGGUGGCUUAAAACAACAGAUUUAUUCUUUCAUAGCUCUGGAGAUCAGAAGGGACACUAACUCUAUGGGAUCAAGUGAAUAAGAGGUGCUAUAACCUCUUUGAAAAUAUAACAGAAUUAGGAAUAUUCUUUUUGGGCCCAUGAUGCCAUGAUGAGUAUCAGUGGACUGAAAUCUAGGUCUUGGCAGACUGUACUCUCUUCAGAGCCUUUAAGGUAGAAUCUUUGCUUUGCUUCUUCCAACUUCUGGCAGCUGCCCGCAUUCCUUGGUUUAUGGCUGCAGUACUCCGUCUUGGCAUCUUCAGAUCUCUCUUUGCUUUGCCUUCAUUAUUACCUUUCUCUGUGUCUAUGUCAAAUCUUACUCUGCCUCUUUCUUAUAAGGACAUUUGUAUUGUAUUUAGGAGCUAAAUACUUGGAUAACCCAAUAUAAUAAUUUUAAGAUCCAUAACUUAGGAGCUGGGGUUAUAGCUCAGUUGUAGCGUGCUUGCCUAGCACAUGCGACACCCUGGGUUCGAUUCUCAGCACCACAUAAAAAAAUAAGUAAAUAAAAUAAAAGUAUUGUGUCCAACUAAAAAAAAAAUCAAUACUUAAUAAAAAAGAUCCAUAACUUAAUCAAAUCUGCAAAGGCCCUUUUACCUUUAUAAGGUAACUUUACAUCUUCUAAAAGUUAGAACUUACCACAUUGGGUGACCUUGGACAAAUGACUCUUACCAACUUGAACGUACUUUCUUAUUUGUAAAAUAAAAAUAGUAAUUAUAGUAAUUAUCUUCCAUACUGAAUCAUUAUGAGAAUCAAGUGAAAUCUUGCAUGGUAAACACUUAGUGAAAUUCCAGGUAUGUAGUUACUAUCAUUAGGUAUCCUAUAUGUAUGUAUGUGUGUAUAUGUGUGUGUGUGUGUGUGUGUGUGUGUAUAAGAGAGAGAGAGAGAGAGAGAGAGAGAGAGAGAGAGAGAGAGAGAGAAGAUAUUAUGGUUAUUACUUGGCCAUCAUCUGAGAAAUGUUCCUUAAUGGGUUUCUUUGUAUUGGAAUAGUUCUCUCUUAUAUCCACCUGGGCCCCCUUUGCUCUGAAUGUUUUACGAUUACCUGUCCCCCACUAUGGUCAGCAAAUAUCCCUAAGGUCACCCUCUUACCUAUUUCUAUCUUUACCUUUUGCAGUGUGUGAGCUGCUCUUUGGGAACAUGUCUCUUCCUUCAGGGGAUGUUGUGGAUUGAAUGUUUCUGUCCUCUCAAAAUUUAUAUGUGUGGUCCUAACCCUAGUUAUGGCUGUAUUUUGAAUAAGGAAGUAAUAAAGGUUAGAUGAGGUUGUAAGGGUAGGACCUUGAUCCCAUAGGGUUAGUGUCCCUUUAAGAAGAGUUACCAGAGAGCUCUUUCUCUGUUUACAUGUUGAGGAAAAGCCAUAUUAGGACAUUGUGAGAAGGCACCUGUCUGUAAGCCAGAAUGAGAGCUCUUACCAGUAACUGGAGUAUGGUUGGAACCUUGAUCUUGGACUUCUAGCCUCCAGAAUUGUGAGAAAAUAAAUUUCUGUUGUUUAAGCCACCAAUCUAUGGAAUAUUCUUGGGGCACCUCGAACAGACUAAAACAUGGGGUACAACUGACUAUAUUCCCCUUGUGCCUAGACACUUAGGAGUAAGCUUAGAAUCUGGAAUUAUUCCCAGUUAUCAUUCAAAAUAGUUUGCUGUGUUGCUGCUUCUUAUGGCUAAUUGUAACUUCAUAAUGAAGGAGGAAAGAAUAUUAUUUUUACAGUGGUAUUUAGUAUCUGAUAGCUAUUAGCCAAAAGGUAUGUGUCCCCAGCGAGGUACUGUAAAUGCAUUUUAUCUGUUCUAUUACCUGCUGUUUCACAAAUACAUCCCUGAAGCAUUUUAAUCUUGUUUUUCAUACUUGUCUUCAAGUGAAGAAUUGUUCUGAUUUGCAACUUUGGGGGAUAAUUACUAUGUUCAUUAAUUUCUGUUCUUCCCUUCCAUUUAUUUCUGGUUUCUUGAGAAAUUUUUUCCUCUUAAUCUACACUAACAAAAGACGUCAUUAGAUUAAAGGAUGUUUUACAACACUGGUUUCUCUGGCUCCCUUGGCAUGUUGGUAAAAGGGCUGUGUCAGCAUCUCAUUAGCUGGGUAAGGUCUCUCUCCCCUGGUCUUGGCUUACAUGAAUAAGAGGUGUGGUGGUGGUGGCUCUUGGCUCUUGAUUUCAGGCUACAUUAAAGAAUAUAUUUUGCCCUGGAAUAUUCUUGAGAUUGGAGCAAGGAGAGGCUCAUCUGGUUUUCUUAUUACCAGUGAUUUAUUCAGUCAUAGACUUUAAUCUAAUAUGCUUAUAUAUGGAACAAUAUGUUCAGCAUUGAAAGAACAUGGUUCUUGGCUUACAAAGAUAUUCAGUACAGUUGAUUAAGUGAAUGUGUGACUGGAUAGAAUGACCUUUACCCUCAGAGAUACCAAAGGGGCAGACUAGUGCCUGGCCACUAGUGAAUAAGAGGUGCUAUAACCUUUUUGAAAAUAUAACAGGUGUUGUAUGAAAGGAGAGAAGGUUAGCACUCCCCUUGACAAGGAUGGAAGAGGCCCUCGGGCCUGACAACACGCAUACGGUUAAGGCAUUGCCACCUACUUCGUGGCAUCUAACCAUCGUUUUAAAAAUAAUAUAAGGGGGACAAACGAAUGUCAGUAGAGGGAGCAGAGAGAGAAGAGGGGAGGGGAGGGGAGGGGAGGGGGGAUAGUAGAGGAUAGGAAAGGCAGCAGAAUACAACAGACACUAGUAUGGCAAUAUGUAAAUCAAUGGAUGUGUAACUGAUGUGAUUCUGCAAUCUGUAUAUGGGGUAAAAAUGGGAGCUCAUAACCCACUUGAAUCAAAUUGUGAAAUAUGAUAUAUCAAGAACUAUGUAAUGUUUUGAACAGCCAACAAUAAAAAAUUAAAAAAAAAAAAUAAAAAAAAGAAAAUAUAACAGAAUUAGGAAUAUUCUCUUUGGAGCCAUGAUGCCUUAGCACUUUGAUCUGUAAGAGAAAACAGUAGAGGAAAAAGCUAUGUUGAUAAUGGUUUAUUUUGCAUUUAAUUUUUCUGAUAUUUUGAUCCUGUGAGUUCCUUCUUUGCUGUAGAUGGGGACUAUUACAUAUGUUCUGUGUAAAUGCAGAUGUCUUAUAAAUGCCAGUUGACCAUUCAAGACAGUUGAGGGAGGAGAUAGAAAACAAUAGUUUGGACGAGUUGGCUCAGGGUAGGGCAGAGGCAGGGAUGUAUGUGAGUGAGAUGCCUGUGUGUGCAGGGGGUGGACCUGAAGAAGGUGAGAAAGCAGAAGGCAGAAAGGAUUUUAAUUAAUCUGGAACAGAAUGAGAGUCUAGCUUGGAGAAAUGUGAUCUGGGCUUCCCCUGGGUACCCAUGGGAAGAGCACUAGAAAGAUUUGUCAGUAAGAAUGAGGGACAGAGUGUAGUAAACUUGGGAUAGUAGGGGAAGAAGAGCACUGGGAAGAUAGGCAUAAUUCUGAGGCUUCUUUAUCUGCCCCAGCUCGCCCAUAUGUCUUUUCAUUAUGAAACCUGUCAUACUUCAUGGUGGUUAUUUGUUUAAAUAACAUUUUUGUCUACUAGAAGGAAGGAGAGGGGCCUCAGUCACCUGUGUAUCUUAGUUACUGAACAUUGUCCAUCAUAUAGCAGAAAAUGCUGCAAUGGGUUACUGAUGAACAUGCAUAAGGUUAAGGCCUAUGCAAGCUAUCCAGUAAAAACUGUGAAAUGUGAGGGGUUGGGGCUGGAGUGGUGAUGGGGAUGAUGGCAGCGAGUAUACAACUGGCUUUGGGAAGUGAAUCUAGAACUGAGAAGUAAGCCUAAACAGACUCUAAACCAUCCCUCAAUAAUUUUAUUUAUUUAUUUAUUGUAGUUCUAGGGAUUGAAUUCAGGGGUGCUCUGUCCCUGAGCUACACUUCCAGCCCUUUUUAUUUUUUAUUUUGAGACAGGGUCUCACUAAGUUUUGGAAGCUGGCCUUGAGCUUGUGAUCCUUCUUGCCUCAGCCUUUUGAGUCACUGGAAUAGAGGUAUGUUAUGAUGCCCAGCUCAGAAUUUAUUAAACAUCUGUUCUGUGUCAAGUGUCAAGCUAGUCAGGACUUUUGGGUAUGUUCUGUGUAAAUGCAGAAUGUGUAUGUGGUCCCCAUCCGUAUGAUGCUUAUGGUCUAGCAGGGAGAAGGACAGGCUAUCUAAGAAAGUAAAGUAAGUGCUUUGAUAAGGGAAAGAUGGGUUCUCUGGCAGCACUAAGUCUGCUCUAGUGGAAAGGAUUGGGGAAAGCCUCCUAAAAGUAUCUCUUAAACUGAGUCCUUUAGUAUGAGUAGGAAUUUGUCGGAUAAAGAGUUUGGGAAAUGGUGUUCAUGCAGAGGGAAUGACACAUGCAAAAGCAUGGAGUGGGAGACAAAAUGACUUAGAGCAGUAGGAAAAAAGUUUUAUAAAGACAACUGUAGACAGGGUGAGGAAAGAGAUGAAGCUACAGUCAUUGAUCAGGGAUGGAGAGUGGAGGGUUUGGGUGUAGAAUCUGGCGUCUAUCCUGAGGGUCCUAGAAAAACAUCGAAUGGUUUCUAGCAGGGGAGGACAGGGUCAGACUCACGCUCUGGCUAUAGAUUAAUCUCUCUAACAUUUAGUCAUGGUAUGUACUUGUAAUUUGCUGAUGUUGUACCCCAGAAUCCUUUGACAUUGUGGUGAAGUCUGCCCAUUUGCUCCAAAUCACCAGUCUGACAUGUGGGAGAGUGCAGCCUGAGCACCUGCUGUUUGAUCUCAGACUCACAGCCCAAGGCAACAUUGCUGAGCAUGUGGCUUCAGGACUGCCUCUCCUUCCACCUUUUUGGCAGCUCAGCACAGCAGCUUAAAAUUCCUCAACCACUGCACCUUCCUCUGCUCCAUGCCCUCUACAAAUUGAAAAUUUUUAUGAUAAUGUCAUAUCAAUAGGAAAACUUUUGAAAAGUUGGGCUGAGAAAUAAAGACCUCUUUGCCUUUUCUCCCUGCAAGGGAAUUUGAAAAUAUAAAAAUUCCAAGUUUUAUGUUAAAUAUCCUUGGGGUUUCCUUUCCUUCCCUUUUAAAAGUUUUUUUUUUUUUUUUCAUUUACCAAAAAACCGGCAGAGACGCUUGUGGGAAGAUAAUUCCUUUUGGCUGGAGCUUAAGCUCCACAUUGUGAGCUUUUUAAUUUUCUUUCAUCGGCAGUGGGUUGGGACACAACUGUGCAGUCGCCAGAGCGCAUCUCAGUUCUGGGCGAGUUAUCUCUGUGAAUCAGUAUGUUUUCCCCUUGUACCUACCUAAUGAAAGCCAAAUUAAAUCAAUUUUUAAUCAAGGAGAUGAAUGACGGGUAUUUCCUUAGAAAAGAAACCACAAGGCCCCAAAGUACUGGAUACAGUUUAAAAAGUGAAGUUUUUUAUUUGCAUGUGUUCUGUUAAGUAUGGCUUUAAUGUCAGGCAAAUAGGACUGUUAGAGUAGCAUUUGGAAAGGUGCCAUGCCAGGGAGAUGUAGGAGAGGGCUCUUCCCCCCGCCCCCCCUUUCUUCUCUUUCACAGUUUAUGCACACCUGUGUGUUCCCAGCACUUUGCACAAGUACAUAGUACAUAAUAGGUGCUUGGAGAUGUCUGAAUAAAUGAAAACAGUGGUUUUUGAGCAGGACCUUCUUUCUUUCCUGUUGACCCUCCCUGGAGUUCCUCAGUCUGCUAUUUGUUAAUUUCUUUGUACACUUGUUCAUUAUUCCUUCUGAGCUGUUAUGAGGGACAACUGUAGGCAAUGGGGUGAAGGGAAGGUUUCUGUUGAGUUGAGGCUGGGAGGCAUAGUCAAACCUUUCUUUCCUCUUCAAUUCCUAUUUUGUCGUUUUAUUUUUGAAAAGUAAGAGUUCCAAGGUACUGUCAGCACCAGCAACAUCCUCCUAAAAAUUGCCUUCUUUCAUCUGCUUUUGUGGCACAAAUGUUUCUACCAAAUGAAUUUUAUUAUGGUAAGGGAGUGUUGUAGGGGACAGAUGAGGCAAGGCACCAAAGAUAGCAGGAGCUGUAGCCAGGUUCAGAGGGCACAGCUUUCACUAUAAUCAAUUAAUCCCCUGAACCCUGAGUUCAGGUAGUUUCAGAAUUUUAUACCCAGCAUGUAAGGGGAGGGGCUCAGAAGUUCACAUGACUGCAGAAGUUCACACAAAAGCAGGCUUUACUUCACUGUUUUGGGCAAGUUAACCCUUCAAGGACAACACCUGAGAAGGGUAAAGCUUCCUCUCCCCUUUCUUUCCUCCCCCUGCCGGCUGUUACCAUGGAGCCCAAUUGGUAGACUUCUCUUAUCUUAGAAAUGUAGAUAUCUCUGUGAAGCUCCAGCUCAAGGCCAGAAGCCUUGUUAAAGGAUUUGUCUUUUUUUUUUUUUUUUUUAAAUCACAUUUUGCAUUUGCAAACACACUUCUACAAACUACUAUACUGGAAAAAUGUUUGUGAAAAACAGGUAAAGGGGUGCCCAGCACCUGGAGUGCUGAUUUCUUCCAGAUCAGUGGCCAAAAAACAGAGCAACAGGAAAAUAGGAAGUUUACCUACAUUGAGCUCUUUUGUAGACACUCUUUUGCUGAUAGUCCUAAAAUCAAUUAUGGUGAAGAUUUCUAGAGAAGCUUAGUUAAGAUUUUCUGUGGAGGAGGGUGGCGGAGGGAAUAGGGAUGAAGACUUUUAAGCUCAAUGGUUAUACUUGUAGUUUUUCUUCCAGGGCAGGGAGGGGUGCAGUUGUUGGGAACCAUGAUUGCCUUGUGUGGAAUUUGAUUUUAUAAUUAUAGGUUGGCUUCAGGCUCUGGGCUCCCAAGGUACUGGCAUUUCUAGAGGAUUCAUGCUGGUACCAAACCUUCCCUGUAGCCCACUUUCUAGCUUCUGCUGCUGUUGAAUGAGCUGCCCAAGUGCCUCUCUUCAUCAGAAGAAAAAAGUAACUUUUAUUGAGAGCCAUUCACAAGUGCUUCGGUGACUGGAUGGUGGUGGGUAUUCCAGAAACUCUGGGCUAAGCAAAUAAGAGAUCCAUUAAAGCCGUGAGCCUUCUGCCUCCUCAUUGCACUGAUUUGCUUGGGUUUGGCUUCACUGAAUGUCUGUGGGGACUUCUCUCCCCUGGAGGGUGAGGGUGAUUGGAGCAAUUUGGGCCUGUGAGCAGGCUCACUGGGGAAGGGAGAUAUUUAGUAUACAAAAUUGAUGAUGUAUAGGAGUGGAUAGACUGGAAAUUGGGGAAGAAAGAAGAGGGAUAUUAAGAACUCUUGGGUUUCUGGCUUGUAUAAGAAAGCUAGGCAGCUCUAGUGGAAGAUCAGGCAUGUGGAGCAAGGGCUCACCUUUGGACUUGUUGAGUGUAUAUACAAGAAGAGAAUAUAGCAGGAAUAGCCUUCAGGGAAAGAUGGCUUAAAGGCUGUGUUUUGAAUCUCAAGCUGCUUUCCUGUUCAAAUGAUCCACCAAGGUGGGCCAUUGUUGGUUAGUAAUACAGUCCACUCUAGAUUCUGUUUACUGGAUCCUUCUGUUAAGGGAACUAGAAAUGGAGAGUUUGCAGAACAAACAAACCACUGAACUGCAUAAAAAUUCCCAAAUUAUUGUGACUGACUUCUCCUGAUAGCAGGCUUAUAUUAUAGCAGUCUUCUUUUUUCUCCUUUCUCAUCUCUCCUUCACCAUAAUGUAGUUCUGAAAAGAAGAGAGAUUUGCUAAGAAAGUACAGUGAACUAUAUGUUUGAAACCUAGCUAAACUGUCUGUCAAAGAGGGUUCUAUCAUGAGGUUACUGCCUAUAAAUCCUUUGCUCUAGCAUAUAUUUGUUCCAAUAAGUGCAUGUUCAUAGUUUCACGCCUCCAGGCCUUCAAAAGGCACUCUGGUCUCUGGCUGGGAUGCCUUUCUCAGGGUCUUUGUUUAGCUAAUUUCUCCUUUUACUCUUCAAAGCUUACCUUUUCCAGGAAGUCUUCCCUGACCCCAAUCCCCUAAAGGAAUCAUCUUGUUCUCUUCUGCCUCAGGGGUAUCUCUGACAGGGAUUUUUUUCCCCCCUACUACUGGGAAUUGAACCCAGGACCUCAUGCAUAUAAGGCAAGUCCUCUAUCAUUGAAUCACAUUCCUAGCCCACUGACAGGGCUCUUUAGCUCAAUAUUUGCUAUAUAACUGCUGAUUUGCUCAUCUGUCUCCAUUGCCCUCCUAGAAGCUCCUGGAGGACAAAACCCCUAUUUAUUUAUUCAUCACAUCCCAGGCACCUGGCACAUAUCUGAGAUAUAGCAUGUUUCAACAAAUAUGUGUGAAAGGAUAUAUCAUCAUCUGGAUGUGUUGGGAUGGUGACUGGAUGUUUGUUUCCUAGUAGGCAGUACAGAUUUCUUAAUUUUUUUCACAGUGCACUGAGUUUUGCUCUUUUGAUAGGUCUCUUAUAUGGGAAGGUAUACAGGGUCUUUGCAAAAAUAUUUUUUUCUGGAUUGGCAUGACUGUUAACUGUUCAUCUGCGGUUGAAAUGGCUUUGGCGUGGGUGUGGAAUGGCAGGUAGUAAGUGAACAGCAUGUCUGGGCUGUGUAUUCAUGGUAUUCUCCUUUUUUUUUGGAUGCUCUCCACAUUUCUGUGAGCUACAACCCAAACAUCUGGCUCUUCUGAAGCUGGGGCUCAUGUCUGAUUGUUUGUGGGAGUGUUUGCUUUUCAGGGUAAGAAUCUGCAGUUUUAACCAAGUUUUCUCUACCCAGUGUUUUCUGCUGGCAUCACCAGGGGCUGCAGUGGCUGUUUUAAGGAGAGCUGCCACAAGAGGAAUCCCUGAGCAGUGAGAGAGGGAAUGGAUAAUUGGAAAGAGUCUCCUUCUUUUUGGAAGAGCAAGCCUUUAGGUAAAAUAGAGGAAGAUUUAGGGAGGAGCUGAGUGAUGGACACAAAAAGUAAGGCCAACAGAGUGAUUAUCCUGUAAGGAAAGUAGAAUGAGCUGGGGUCUCUGCUGUAAGAAUCAGGCAAAGGUCCACUUGACAUUUCUCAUACCCUUAUUGCUCUUAAAAUGAUAUUGUACUCAUGACCCACUAGAAUUGGGUUCAGGGAAACGGCUGCCCAAAAUCUAGGCUCCAAAUGCUUCAUGAUCCUUGGCCAGACAUGCUCUGCCUGGAAGCAGUUAGUGAGACAAACUGUUUCCGGAUAUGUUAGAUGAGCAGGUAGCUGGCAUGCCAUUCCCUUUUAGCAAAUCUGGUUGGAUGAGAAGUCUGGCUGGCAAGCUGUCCCCAUGGAGACUAUUGUGGCAGGAGAGACUUCCGGGGUCCUGCUGACAUUCCCAUCACCAGCUCACUCAUUGGAACCCAGAGUCCCUUUGCAUGUUCCAGUCUAGGAUGCUGCUGUUGACUGAGCUGUACCCCUGUCAGUUGCAGGCUGAUGAAUCCUGGCAGGCUGGGAUUUGAUUGGUGGCAUCUUGCAGGGCCCCCUGACUCAACCUGCUGUCACAAAUCCUCUUGUGUACCUUUUGUACACAUGCCUGAAUGUUUCGUGAUGUACCACUCUUAAGAACAGAUGCCAGAUGGGAAAAGUAACUCUCUUAGGUUUAUGAGCACCCCUUUAUAAAAUGCACUUUAAAAAAUAAACUGUAUCCUGGUUUGGCAUUUUUCCAAGCUCAGAAUGUGUUUAUUUGUCAUGUUCUUGCUGCCCUAUGAGGACCAGCAGAAACCAUGAAGAGAAACCACCUCAUUAGGAGGCUCUAGAAGAAAAUCAGGGCUCUCUUGGCAUUUCCCCAGGGAUAUGGGCUGCUCCUCUUCUACAUUCUGCCAAGGCCAUGGCCUGGGAAAAGCUCUAUAGGGUAGUGUGCUCUGUGCCAGUGUCCAAGAGUCUAAGGAAUUUAAUUAAGCAACUAAUAGUCUAAGAGAUGUUUAAAGUUAAAGUAUGAUUUGUUGACAUUAAACAUGGUUAUUUAAAUAUCAGUUAAUUAGUGCUUUUUAAUAUUGCUUCUUGAACUCAAGUUUGGUUACUGCAGUUGACAUAGAUACUUGAUAAAUGCAAGUUCAGUGUGGAGGCGUGGGGCACAGUUGAACAUGGACUUGGAGGAGAGGAAGAGAGAACACAUAAUUUACAGCUGCUGAAAUAAUUCAGCUGUUUCCCUUGCUGAUUGCUCUCCUCCUCUGUACUGCUGAUGCAGUGAAUUGUUAAUGGAAUAGGCUCUUGCUGUGCCAAUCAGGGUUGGGAUGAGGCUGUUUCGAUGGUUGGGAAUAAACUUGGGAGAUUGAGAGGAACACUUAAAGUUUGAAACUAAUGUCACCUUCCCCCGCAACUCCAGCACAGGACCUAAGCAUUAGUGAUCUGAGGGCUGUAUCUUCUUAGGUGAAAGCAGGCUCUAACCUGUGGAAUGUUGUUGAUUGGGUAAUGAGGCACAAUGGUGGGGAUGAGAGUCUAGGGUUAGAGUUCACGUUACAGAGUUUCAAACUCAGUAGUCUAUAGAUUGUAAACACCUCUGUGGAAUGUCUUCUGCUUAGAAAAAGCAGCUUUAUAUGUCUGCCUGGGCAGAUGUCACUAUUUUGGAUUAAGGUGUUCAUCUGCUUGCUUGUUCAUGUUGGCGUUCAUUUAUUUAUUUGUUCAUUGGCCAUGCUUUUAUGGAAUGCUUGCUGUGUGUUAGAUCUGCACUAGCUAGGGAUAGAACAGUGGAUGAGGAAGGAGUCCAUGCCCUCAGGGAGUUUAUAUUUACAGUACAAUUUGAUGGAUCUCAUGAUAGCUGCACAGAGAAUUAUGGGAGUAUACAGAGGAAUUAUAAAAUAUGGCAAAUAAAAUCUGUAAGGAUAUAAAAGUGUCCAUCUUACCACGUUGGGCUUAUCUCAAGAAUUGAAGGAUGAUUUCACAGUAGAAGAUAUAAAUAUAAAAUUUGCCACAUUAGUAGGUUAAAGGUAAAACUGUAUGAUCAUCUUAGAAGCUAUAGAAAGCACACUUGAUAAAAAAUUAAAUACCCAUUCAUGAUAAAACUUCCUGGCAGUUUAGAAAAAGAAGGAGAUUUCUUGACUUUGACAAAGAGUAUCUGAAAAAACUAUAGAAAAUAUAAUUUUUGUUUCUUAAAAUUUUAGAAGUGAGAACAACACAGUGUAUCUAUGUACCAAAUAUCCAGUUUUAGCAAUUACCAACAUUUUUAAUGUGGUAAAUUAUAUAAGCAUAAAAUCUGUCAUUAUGACUAUUUUUAAGUAUACAAUUAAGUGGUAUUAAUUAUAUUCACAGUAUUGUGCAAUCCUCAUCAUUAUAUGCUUGUAAAACGUUUUAUCAUGUCAAAUAGAAACUCAGUACCCACUAAGCAUAACUUUUAUUACCUAUUUCCUCCCCAGCAGCUGUUGGUGAUCUUUCUGUCUCUAUGAAUUUGCCUAUUCUAGAUAGUUCAUAUAAAUAGAAUUAUAGAAUAUUUGUUUUGUUUGUGUUUGGCUUAUUUUUCUUAGCAAAUGUUUUCAAGGUUCAUCCAUGUUGUAGUACAUAUCAGACCUUCAUUUUUUUUGGGUGGCUGAGUAAUAUUUUGUUGUACAUAUGUACUACAUUUUGUAAAAAUCUAUUUGUCAAUGAAUAUUUGAGCAUUUUUACCUUUUGAAUAUUUUGAAUAAUGCUGCUAUGAACAUUCAAAACAGAAUUUGUUUGAUUCAUUGUUUUCAGAUUUUUGGAUAUCUAUCUUGAAAAGUAGAUGUGGCAAUUUUAUACUUAACUUUUUUUCCCAUAAUUUUUAUUGGUGCAUUAUAGUUGUAAAUAAUGGUUGGAUUUGUUGUUAUGUAGUUGUUCCUGAACACAAUAUAAAAUAUAAUUUGGCCAACAUCAUUCCCCAGUCUGCUUAUCAUUUUAAUGAACCACUAAACUUUUUCACAGCAGCUUUACCAUUUUACAUUCCCACUAGUGCAUGUAUGAGGGUUCCAGUGUCUCUACAUCUUCUCCAAACACCUGUUAUUUUUCUUUUCUAUAACCAUGCCUAGUAGAUUUGAAGUGGCUUUGAUUUGAUUUCUUUAAUGACUAAUGAUAUUGAGCAUCUUUGCAUGUGCUUACUGGCCAUUUAUGUUUUUGGAGAAAUGUCUAUGUAAGUCCUUUGACCAUUUUAAAAUUGGGUUUGUCUUUUUGUUGUUAGUUGUAGGAGUUGUUUAUAUAUUAUUGGUACUAUACCCUUAUCAGAUAUGUGAUCAGCAAACAUUUUCUCCCAUUCUCCUAUUUGUCUUACCAUUCUUUUAAUAAUGUCCUCUGCACAAACUUUUUAAUUUUGUUGAAAUUCAGUUUAUCAUUUUUUUUUCUUUUAACACCUAUGAUUUUGGUGUCAUAUCAAGAAACCAUUGCCAAAUAAAGGUUAUGAAGUUUUUCCCUUAUGUUUUCUUCUAAGAAUUUUACUGUAUUAGCUUUUUAGUUUAGAUCUUGAUUCAUUUUUAGUUAAUAGCACCCUUACUAAAAAUCAACUGACUGUAAAUGUGAGGGUUUAAAUCUGUUCUCUCAGUUCUAUUUCUUUGGUUUUUCCUCAUUUCGAUACUAACUCUUUGUGGUAAAUUUUGAAAUUGGACUUUCAAAUUCUCCAACUUUGCCCCUGAUGCCAUUUUGUUCUUUUUCAAGACUGUUUUGAGUAAUUAGGGUCCUUUGAAACGCCAUAUUAAUUUUAGUAUGCGUUUUUCUGUUUCUGUAAAAAGUGCCCUGGGAAUUUGAUAGGAAUUGCAUUGAAUCAAUGUAUUGCUUUUGGUAGUAUUGUUAUUUUAUCAGUACUAAAUCUUUUAAUCCAUGAACCCCAAAUGUCUUUCCAUUUAUUUAGGUCUUCUUUAAUUUCUUCAGCAGUUUUCAUUAUAUAGUUAUUUUGCCUCCUUAAAUUUAUUCCUAAGGAUUUUAUUCUUUUUUGAUGGUAUUUUAGAUAGAACUGCUUUCUUAAUUUCCUUUUCAGAUUGUUCAUUGCUAGUGUAUAGAAAUACAGUAGUAAAUAAAUAAAGUAGUGUUGAUUUUGCACUCUGCAACUUUGUUGAAUUUAUUAGCUCCAGCAAGUUUAUUUAUUAUUUUUUAAGAGUCUUCCAGGGUUUUCUACAUAUAAGACUGUGUCAUCUGCAAAUGUAGAUAGUUUUAUUUCUUUAUUUCUGACAUGGAUGCCUUUUAUUUUUGCUUGCCUAAUUAUUCUGGCUAGAACUUUCAGUAUUAUGUUUAAUAGAAAAAAGUAGACAUCUUUACCUAGUUCCUGAUCUAUGGGGAAAAGCUUUCAGUCUUUUGCCAUUGACUAUGAUGUUAGCUAUGGGUUUUUCAUAUAUGCUUCUUAUUACGUUGAGGAUAUUUUCUUCUUCUUGUUUUUUUUUAGAUGGCAAUUUUUUUUUUAUUGGUUGUUCAAAACAUUACAAAGCUCAUGACAUAUCAUCUUCCAUACAUUUGAUUCAAGUGGGUUAUGAACUCCCAUUUUUUACCCCAAAUACAAGUUGCAGAAUCACAUCGGUUACACAUCCACAUUUUUACAUAAUACCAUAUUAAUGACUGUUGUAUUCUGCUACCUUUCCUAUCCCCUACUAUCCCCCCUCCCCUUCCCUCUCAUCUUCCCUCUCUACCCCAUCUGCUGUUGUUUAAUUCUCUCCCUUGUUUUUUUUUCCCCCUUUCCCCUCACAAACUCUUAUAUGUAAUUUUGUGUAACAAUGAGGGUCUCCUUCCAUUUCCAUAGUUUCCCUUCUCUCUCCCUUUCUCUCCCCCCACUCGUCUCUGUUUAAUGUUAAUCUUUUCCUCAUGCUCUUCUUCCCUGUUCUGAUCUUAGUUGCUCUCUUUAUAUCAAAGAAGACAUUUGGCAUUUGUUUUUUAAGGAUUGGCUAGCUUCACUUAGCAUAAUCUGCUCUAAUGCCAUCCAUUUCCCUGCAAAAUCCAUGAUUUUGUCAUUUUUUAGUGCUGCGUAAUACUCCAUUGUGUAUAAAUGCCACAGUUUUUUAAUCCAUUCAUCUAUUGAAGGGCAUCUAGGUUGAUUCCAAAGUCUAGCUAUUGUGAAUUGUGCUGCUAUGAUCAUUGAUGUGGCAGUAUCCCUAUAGUAUGCUCUUUUAAGGUCCUCAGGGAAUAGACCGAGAAGGGCGAUAGCUGGGUCAAAUGGUGGUUCCAUUCCCAGCUUUCCUAGGAAUCUCCAUACUGCUUUCCAUAUUGGCCGCACCAGUUUGCAGUUCCACCAGCAAUGUACAAGUGUACCCUUUUCCCCACAUCCUCGCCAGCACUUAUUGUUGCUUGACUUCAUAAUGGCUGCCAAUCUUACUGGAGUGAGAUGGUAUCUUAGGGUGGUUUUGAUUUGCAUUUCUCUGACUGCUAGAGAUGGUGAGCAUUUUUUCAUGUACUUAUUGAUAGAUUGUAUGUCCUCCUCUGAGAAGUGUCUGUUCAGGUCCUUGGCCCAUUUGUUGAUAGGGUUGUUUGUUAUCUUGUUGUUUAAUUUUUUGAGUUCUUUGUAUAUUCUGGAUAUUAGGGCUCUAUCUGAAGUGUGAGGAGUAAAAAUUUGUUCCCAGGAUGUAGGUUCCCUAUUUACCUCUCUUAUUGUUUCUCUUGCUGAGAAAAAACUUUUUAGUUUGAGUAAGUCCCAUUUGUUGAUUCUAGUUAUUAACUUUUGUGCUAUGGGCGUCCUAUUAAGGAAUUUGGAGCCCGACCCCACAAUGUGUAGAUCGGAGCCAACUUUUUCUUCUAUCAGGUGCAGAGUCUCUGAUUUGAUAUCUAGCUCCUUGAUCCAUUUUGAAUUAACUUUUGUGCAUGGCGAGAGAAAGGGGUUCAGCUUCAUUUUGUUGCAUAUGGAUUUCCAGUUUUCCCAGCACCAUUUGUUGAAGAUGCUAUCCUUUCUCCAUUGCAUGCUUUUAGCGCCUUUAUCAAAUAUAAGAAAGUUGUAAUUUUGUGGAUUGGUCUCUGUGUCCUCUAUUCUGUACCAUUGGUCCACCUGCCUGUUUUGGUACCAGUACCAUGCUGUUUUUGUUACUAUUGCUCUGUAGUACAGUUUGAAAUCUGGUAUCGCUAUACCUCCCGAUUCACACUUCCUGCUUAGAAUUGCUUUUGCUAUUCUGGGUCUUUUGUUUUUCCAUAUGAAUUUCAUGAUAGCUUUAUCUAUUUCUACCAGAAAUGCCGUUGGGAUUUUGAUUGGCAUUGCGUUGAACCUGUAGAGAACUUUGGGUAAUAUCGCCAUUUUGAUGAUGUUGGUUCUGCCUAUCCAUGAACAGGGUACAUUUUUCCAUCUUCUAAGAUCUUCUUCUAUCUCUCUCUUUAGGGUUCUGUAGUUUUCAUUGUAUAAAUCUUUCACCUCUUUUGUUAGGUUGAUUCCCAAGUAUUUUACUCACUCCAGUAAGAUUGGCAGCCAUUAUGAAGUCAAGCAACAAUAAGUGCUGGCGAGGAUGUGGGGAAAAGGGUACACUUGUACAUUGCUGGUGGAACUGCAAAUUGGUGCGGCCAAUAUGGAAAGCAGUAUGGAGAUUCCUAGGAAAGCUGGGAAUGGAACCACCAUUUGACCCAGCUAUCGCCCUUCUCGGUCUAUUCCCUGAGGACCUUAAAAGAGCAUACUAUAGGGAUACUGCCACAUCAAUGAUCAUGGCAGCACAAUUCACAAUAGCUAGACUUUGGAAUCAACCUAGAUGCCCUUCAAUAGAUGAAUGGAUUAAAAAACUGUGGCAUUUAUACACAAUGGAGUAUUACGCAGCACUAAAAAAUGACAAAAUCAUGGAUUUUGCAGGGAAAUGGAUGGCAUUAGAGCAGAUUAUGCUAAGUGAAGCUAGCCAAUCCUUAAAAAACAAAUGCCAAAUGUCUUCUUUGAUAUAAAGAGAGCAACUAAGAUCAGAACAGGGAAGAAGAGCAUGAGGAAAAGAUUAACAUUAAACAGAGACGAGUGGGGGGAGAGAAAGGGAGAGAGAAGGGAAACUAUGGAAAUGGAAGGAGACCCUCAUUGUUACACAAAAUUACAUAUAAGAGUUUGUGAGGGGAAAGGGGAAAAAAAACAAGGGAGAGAAUUAAACAACAGCAGAUGGGGUAGAGAGGGAAGAUGAGAGGGAAGGGGAGGGGGGAUAGUAGGGGAUAGGAAAGGUAGCAGAAUACAACAGUCACUAAUAUGGUAUUAUGUAAAAAUGUGGAUGUGUAACCGAUGUGAUUCUGCAACUUGUAUUUGGGGUAAAAAAUGGGAGUUCAUAACCCACUUGAAUCAAAUGUAUGGAAGAUGAUAUGUCAUGAGCUUUGUAAUGUUUUGAACAACCAAUUAAAAAAAAUAAUAAUGGAUUGGUCAUAGACAAGUCCUUGCCCGAGGACAAGGAAAUGAGGAAGAAGCCCAAAGUGAACAAGAGAUACCAAGAUAUUGGGGGAAAUAUGAAAGCAGGGUGGAGACCAUGAUAGCCUAAAGGCCUGUGAAAAGGGGAUGCUGUGAGAAGGCAGGCAACCUGAACUGAGAGUCUCCAGCUACCUCAGCCCUGGCUGAGGAAGCAGGAGCAGGGUGCUAGGAGUUGAAGCAGGGCGAUCAACUGGAAGCCUGGAGAAGCACAGUUGGCAUUAACGUUCUCUUCUUUACUCCACUAGGACAUUCCCUACACCCCACAGAAAACAGAAUUGUUUAAUUCUUCUGUUGGGGACACCAACUACCAUGCAGGAACAGUGUGAGGUUUGCAGCACAAGAAAGCGGGACAGGAAAGAUCUGAAUGUUAAACCAACAUAUUCUUAUCCCACCUUUCCAAGCUCCCCCUCAGUAGCUAGUAGCUGGGGUUCAGGCUUCAAGGUAGAAUGCAUUCUUCGAAGGGGAAGUUCCUCCAUGGGGAAACUGGAGGAUUCCAGCUGUGGGUAUUGACAUCUGAGUUCUCCUGAUGAAAGAGUGACUCGAUGCCUAAGAACUCCACCGAAAAAUCUUGUCUCCUCCACACUGACACAAAAGUAUGAGCAGGUCUCCAAGGACACCAGACACCUGAAAAGUCUUCAAACAUGAGAGAUGGCAACAAAUACAUUUAAAAAACUAAUUCAGAGGACACAGAGACAAUACAGAGGCAGAAGAAAAUUGAAAAUUUAUAACUAUAAUUAACAUCCCCAGAGAAGUAAGAGCUGAAACAAAAAUAGGAUGCAUAAACAGGAGCACAGCACUCUCAAGACCAGAAAGAACUUUUGGAAAUUGGAAGCAAAAAACAAACAGAACUGGAAUAAUAAUAAUAAUAGUAAUAAUAAAUCAAAUGUAUUUACCAGAAAUACAAUAAAAAGGUAGAGAUGUAAAAAUUAGAAAAUAAUUUAGCUAUUGUGAAUUGAGCUGCCAUAAACAUUGAUGUGGCUGAAUCACUAUAGUACGCUGAUAUUUAAGUCCUUUGGGUAUAAACCAAGGAGUGGGAUAGCUGGGUCAAAUGGUAGUUCCAUUCCAAGUUUUCUGGGGAAUGGAACCAUACUGCUUUCCAUAGUGGUUGUACCAAUUUGCAGUCCCACCAGCAAUGUAUGAGUGUGCCUUUCCACUACAUCCUCACCAACACUUAUUGCUGUUUGUAUUCUUAAUAACUACCAUUCUGACUGGUGUGAGAUGAAAUCUUAGAAUAGUUUUGAUUUUCAUUUCUCUAAUUACUAGAGAUGUUGAACAUUUUUUUCAUAUAUUUUUUGAUCAAUUGUAUAUCUUCUUCUGAGAAGUGUCUGUUCAGCUCCUUAGUCCAUUUAUUGAUCGGGUUAUUUGGUUUUUUUUUUUAUGAUGUUAAGUUCCUUCAAUAGAUGAAUGGAUAAAGAAAAUGUGGUAUNNNNNNNNNNNNNNNNNNNNNNNNNNNNNNNNNNNNNNNNNNNNNNNNNNNNNNNNNNNNNNNNNNNNNNNNNNNNNNNNNNNNNNNNNNNNNNNNNNNNNNNNNNNNNNNNNNNNNNNNNNNNNNNNNNNNNNNNNNNNNNNNNNNNNNNNNNNNNNNNNNNNNNNNNNNNNNNNNNNNNNNNNNNNNNNNNNNNNNNNNNNNNNNNNNNNNNNNNNNNNNNNNNNNNNNNNNNNNNNNNNNNNNNNNNNNNNNNNNNNNNNNNNNNNNNNNNNNNNNNNNNNNNNNNNNNNNNNNNNNNNNNNNNNNNNNNNNNNNNNNNNNNNNNNNNNNNNNNNNNNNNNNNNNNNNNNNNNNNNNNNNNNNNNNNNNNNNNNNNNNNNNNNNNNNNNNNNNNNNNNNNNNNNNNNNNNNNNNNNNNNNNNNNNNNNNNNNNNNNNNNNNNNNNNNNNNNNNNNNNNNNNNNNNNNNNNNNNNNNNNNNNNNNNNNNNNNNNNNNNNNNNNNNNNNNNNNNNNNNNNNNNNNNNNNNNNNNNNNNNNNNNNNNNNNNNNNNNNNNNNNNNNNNNNNNNNNNNNNNNNNNNNNNNNNNNNNNNNNUUGUACAUAAUAUUUAUUUAUUUAUUUAUUUUAAAUAUUUGUAUUAGUUGUUCAUGGACCUUUAUUUUAUUUACUUAUUUAUAUGUGGUGCUGAGAAUCGAACCCAGUGCCUCGCACAUGCUAGACAAGUGCUCUACCACUGAGCAACAGCCCCAGCCCUAUUUAUUUAUUUUUAUGUGGUAGUAAGGAUCUAACCCAGCACCUCACAUAUGCUAGGCAAGUGCUCUACCACUGAGCUACAACCCUAACCCCCUUUUUAGAUAUUUUGAGGCAGGGUCUCUCUAAGUUNNNNNNNNNNNNNNNNNNNNNNNNNNNNNNNNNNNNNNNNNNNNNNNNNNNNNNNNNNNNNNNNNNNNNNNNNNNNNNNNNNNNNNNNNNNNNNNNNNNNNNNNNNNNNNNNNNNNNNNNNNNNNNNNNNNNNNNNNNNNNNNNNNNNNNNNNNNNNNNNNNNNNNNNNNNNNNNNNNNNNNNNNNNNNNNNNNNNNNNNNNNNNNNNNNNNNNNNNNNNNNNNNNNNNNNNNNNNNNNNNNNNNNNNNNNNNNNNNNNNNNNNNNNNNNNNNNNNNNNNNNNNNNNNNNNNNNNNNNNNNNNNNNNNNNNNNNNNNNNNNNNNNNNNNNNNNNNNNNNNNNNNNNNNNNNNNNNNNNNNNNNNNNNNNNNNNNNNNNNNNNNNNNNNNNNNNNNNNNNNNNNNNNNNNNNNNNNNNNNNNNNNNNNNNNNNNNNNNNNNNNNNNNNNNNNNNNNNNNNNNNNNNNNNNNNNNNNNNNNNNNNNNNNNNNNNNNNNNNNNNNNNNNNNNNNNNNNNNNNNNNNNNNNNNNNNNNNNNNNNNNNNNNNNNNNNNNNNNNNNNNNNNNNNNNNNNNNNNNNNNNNNNNNNNNNNNNNNNNNNNNNNNNNNNNNNNNNNNNNNNNNNNNNNNNNNNNNNNNNNNNNNNNNNNNNNNNNNNNNNNNNNNNNNNNNNNNNNNNNNNNNNNNNNNNNNNNNNNNNNNNNNNNNNNNNNNNNNNNNNNNNNNNNNNNNNNNNNNNNNNNNNNNNNNNNNNNNNNNNNNNNNNNNNNNNNNNNNNNNNNNNNNNNNNNNNNNNNNNNNNNNNNNNNNNNNNNNNNNNNNNNNNNNNNNNNNNNNNNNNNNNNNNNNNNNNNNNNNNNNNNNNNNNNNNNNNNNNNNNNNNNNNNNNNNNNNNNNNNNNNNNNNNNNNNNNNNNNNNNNNNNNNNNNNNNNNNNNNNNNNNNNNNNNNNNNNNNNNNNNNNNNNNNNNNNNNNNNNNNNNNNNNNNNNNNNNNNNNNNNNNNNNNNNNNNNNNNNNNNNNNNNNNNNNNNNNNNNNNNNNNNNNNNNNNNNNNNNNNNNNNNNNNNNNNNNNNNNNNNNNNNNNNNNNNNNNNNNNNNNNNNNNNNNNNNNNNNNNNNNNNNNNNNNNNNNNNNNNNNNNNNNNNNNNNNNNNNNNNNNNNNNNNNNNNNNNNNNNNNNNNNNNNNNNNNNNNNNNNNNNNNNNNNNNNNNNNNNNNNNNNNNNNNNNNNNNNNNNNNNNNNNNNNNNNNNNNNNNNNNNNNNNNNNNNNNNNNNNNNNNNNNNNNNNNNNNNNNNNNNNNNNNNNNNNNNNNNNNNNNNNNNNNNNNNNNNNNNNNNNNNNNNNNNNNNNNNNNNNNNNNNNNNNNNNNNNNNNNNNNNNNNNNNNNNNNNNNNNNNNNNNNNNNNNNNNNNNNNNNNNNNNNNNNNNNNNNNNNNNNNNNNNNNNNNNNNNNNNNNNNNNNNNNNNNNNNNNNNNNNNNNNNNNNNNNNNNNNNNNNNNNNNNNNNNNNNNNNNNNNNNNNNNNNNNNNNNNNNNNNNNNNNNNNNNNNNNNNNNNNNNNNNNNNNNNNNNNNNNNNNNNNNNNNNNNNNNNNNNNNNNNNNNNNNNNNNNNNNNNNNNNNNNNNNNNNNNNNNNNNNNNNNNNNNNNNNNNNNNNNNNNNNNNNNNNNNNNNNNNNNNNNNNNNNNNNNNNNNNNNNNNNNNNNNNNNNNNNNNNNNNNNNNNNNNNNNNNNNNNNNNNNNNNNNNNNNNNNNNNNNNNNNNNNNNNNNNNNNNNNNNNNNNNNNNNNNNNNNNNNNNNNNNNNNNNNNNNNNNNNNNNNNNNNNNNNNNNNNNNNNNNNNNNNNNNNNNNNNNNNNNNNNNNNNNNNNNNNNNNNNNNNNNNNNNNNNNNNNNNNNNNNNNNNNNNNNNNNNNNNNNNNNNNNNNNNNNNNNNNNNNNNNNNNNNNNNNNNNNNNNNNNNNNNNNNNNNNNNNNNNNNNNNNNNNNNNNNNNNNNNNNNNNNNNNNNNNNNNNNNNNNNNNNNNNNNNNNNNNNNNNNNNNNNNNNNNNNNNNNNNNNNNNNNNNNNNNNNNNNNNNNNNNNNNNNNNNNNNNNNNNNNNNNNNNNNNNNNNNNNNNNNNNNNNNNNNNNNNNNNNNNNNNNNNNNNNNNNNNNNNNNNNNNNNNNNNNNNNNNNNNNNNNNNNNNNNNNNNNNNNNNNNNNNNNNNNNNNNNNNNNNNNNNNNNNNNNNNNNNNNNNNNNNNNNNNNNNNNNNNNNNNNNNNNNNNNNNNNNNNNNNNNNNNNNNNNNNNNNNNNNNNNNNNNNNNNNNNNNNNNNNNNNNNNNNNNNNNNNNNNNNNNNNNNNNNNNNNNNNNNNNNNNNNNNNNNNNNNNNNNNNNNNNNNNNNNNNNNNNNNNNNNNNNNNNNNNNNNNNNNNNNNNNNNNNNNNNNNNNNNNNNNNNNNNNNNNNNNNNNNNNNNNNNNNNNNNNNNNNNNNNNNNNNNNNNNNNNNNNNNNNNNNNNNNNNNNNNNNNNNNNNNNNNNNNNNNNNNNNNNNNNNNNNNNNNNNNNNNNNNNNNNNNNNNNNNNNNNNNNNNNNNNNNNNNNNNNNNNNNNNNNNNNNNNNNNNNNNNNNNNNNNNNNNNNNNNNNNNNNNNNNNNNNNNNNNNNNNNNNNNNNNNNNNNNNNNNNNNNNNNNNNNNNNNNNNNNNNNNNNNNNNNNNNNNNNNNNNNNNNNNNNNNNNNNNNNNNNNNNNNNNNNNNNNNNNNNNNNNNNNNNNNNNNNNNNNNNNNNNNNNNNNNNNNNNNNNNNNNNNNNNNNNNNNNNNNNNNNNNNNNNNNNNNNNNNNNNNNNNNNNNNNNNNNNNNNNNNNNNNNNNNNNNNNNNNNNNNNNNNNNNNNNNNNNNNNNNNNNNNNNNNNNNNNNNNNNNNNNNNNNNNNNNNNNNNNNNNNNNNNNNNNNNNNNNNNNNNNNNNNNNNNNNNNNNNNNNNNNNNNNNNNNNNNNNNNNNNNNNNNNNNNNNNNNNNNNNNNNNNNNNNNNNNNNNNNNNNNNNNNNNNNNNNNNNNNNNNNNNNNNNNNNNNNNNNNNNNNNNNNNNNNNNNNNNNNNNNNNNNNNNNNNNNNNNNNNNNNNNNNNNNNNNNNNNNNNNNNNNNNNNNNNNNNNNNNNNNNNNNNNNNNNNNNNNNNNNNNNNNNNNNNNNNNNNNNNNNNNNNNNNNNNNNNNNNNNNNNNNNNNNNNNNNNNNNNNNNNNNNNNNNNNNNNNNNNNNNNNNNNNNNNNNNNNNNNNNNNNNNNNNNNNNNNNNNNNNNNNNNNNNNNNNNNNNNNNNNNNNNNNNNNNNNNNNNNNNNNNNNNNNNNNNNNNNNNNNNNNNNNNNNNNNNNNNNNNNNNNNNNNNNNNNNNNNNNNNNNNNNNNNNNNNNNNNNNNNNNNNNNNNNNNNNNNNNNNNNNNNNNNNNNNNNNNNNNNNNNNNNNNNNNNNNNNNNNNNNNNNNNNNNNNNNNNNNNNNNNNNNNNNNNNNNNNNNNNNNNNNNNNNNNNNNNNNNNNNNNNNNNNNNNNNNNNNNNNNNNNNNNNNNNNNNNNNNNNNNNNNNNNNNNNNNNNNNNNNNNNNNNNNNNNNNNNNNNNNNNNNNNNNNNNNNNNNNNNNNNNNNNNNNNNNNNNNNNNNNNNNNNNNNNNNNNNNNNNNNNNNNNNNNNNNNNNNNNNNNNNNNNNNNNNNNNNNNNNNNNNNNNNNNNNNNNNNNNNNNNNNNNNNNNNNNNNNNNNNNNNNNNNNNNNNNNNNNNNNNNNNNNNNNNNNNNNNNNNNNNNNNNNNNNNNNNNNNNNNNNNNNNNNNNNNNNNNNNNNNNNNNNNNNNNNNNNNNNNNNNNNNNNNNNNNNNNNNNNNNNNNNNNNNNNNNNNNNNNNNNNNNNNNNNNNNNNNNNNNNNNNNNNNUUGACUACUCUUGCUAUCCCUAAACUCCUCCUUAAAGGUACAAGAGUGGCAGCAGGAAUUUGGAGACAGACCUGAGUCAUCAGGAAGCUGAGCUCUGUAGUGUUUGGUCAACUGGCACCGAUGUAGAGCCAGCCAGCUUCACUUAAGGUUUAAAUGGAAAUGUGCCUCUUACCAUCCAGAGUACAGUCCAGACAUGUGGGCAGACCUGUGGCUUAGGAAACCUGAUCUCCAAGAAGGGGCUUGGUUGUCAGAACAGAAAACAAGGGGUUAAAGCCCUCAUUAGUUUUGUUUAUCUGGUAUUUUGCUCAAAAUUUUCUGUAAUGAUUGUUAUUAUUAAGGCUAUGAGCUUUUGAAACCCCACUUUGCAUCCAGCACUAUUUAUUUAUUUAUUUUUGUAUUUUUAUUUUAUUUUUUUGGUAUCAGGGAUUAAACUCGGGGCACUUAAUCACUGAGCCAUGUCCCCAGCUCUUUUAUUUAUUUAAGUUUUUGGGGGGCGAACUGGGGAUUGAAUAAGGAGCACUUGGCCACUAAGCCACAUCCCCAGCUCUAUUUUGUUGUUUAGUUAGAGAUAGGGUCUCACUGAGUUGCUUAGCAUCUCACUUUUGCUGAGGCUGGCAUUGAACUAGCGAUCCCUCUGCCUCAUCCUCCCGAGCUGCUGGGAUUACAGGCAUGCGCCACUGUGCCCAGCCCCAGCUCUUUUUUGUAUUUUAUUUAGAGACGUGGUCUCACUGAGUUGCUUAGGGCAUAGCAAGUUGCUGAGGCUGACCUUGAACUCACAUCUACCUGCCUCAGCUUCCUGAGCCUCUGGGAUUACAGAUGUGGGCUACCAUGCCUGGCUAUUUUUGUAUAUUUUUUUAGUUAUACAUGACAGUAGAAUAUGUUUUGACAUAAUAUAUGGAGUAUAACCUACUAUUCUUGUGGUUGUACAUAAUAUUUAUUUAUUUAUUUAUUUAUUUUAAAUAUUUGUAUUAGUUGUUCAUGGACCUUUAUUUUAUUUACUUAUUUAUAUGUGGUGCUGAGAAUCGAACCCAGUGCCUCGCACAUGCUAGACAAGUGCUCUACCACUGAGCAACAGCCCCAGCCCUAUUUAUUUAUUUUUAUGUGGUAGUAAGGAUCUAACCCAGCACCUCACAUAUGCUAGGCAAGUGCUCUACCACUGAGCUACAACCCUAACCCCCUUUUUAGAUAUUUUGAGGCAGGGUCUCUCUAAGUUGCCCAGGCUGGCCUCAAACCUGCUGAGGCUGGCUCUGAACUUGACAAUUCUGCCUCAGCCUUUCAAGUUGCUGGGAUUACUGGGAUGAGGAUCCUCUCUUGAAAAGCUCUCUCUGAUAAGUGGUGGGAGGGGAGGGGAGGGGUUGGGGAGAUAGGAAGGAUAGUAGAAUGAAACAGACAUUAUUAUUACUGUGUGUAUAUAUGUGACUGCAAGACCAAUGUGAUUCUGCAACCUGUGUACUCAGAGAAAUGAGAAAUUAUAUCCCAUCUGAUUCAAAUGUAUGAUAUGUCAAGAUCACUGUACUGUCAUGUGUAACUAAGUAAAACAAAUUAAAAAAAAAAAGAAAAGCUCUCUCUGGCCUCAUUGCCCAAAUCCAGUGGAUUGACUCCUCAAUCUGAUGAUUCCAAUCUCUUGACAUUGCUGCCCACAACUUAAUUUUCUUUCUUUCUCUUUUUUGGUGGUACUGGGGACUGAACCCAGGACUUCACACAUAUUAGGCAAGUAUUCUACCAGCUCUUUUGAAAAUUUUACGUUUUGGGAUAGAGUCUUGAUAAAUUGAUUGUCUGCCCUUGAACUUGGGAUCCUCCUGCCUCAGUCUCCCUCGUAGCUGGGACGGUAGGUGUGUGCCAUAGCACCCAGCAAUUCUCUCCUUUUUAGACUUUUGUGAUUCUGAAUUAAUAUUGUUGCUGUUACUCUGGUUCCUUGCUUGCUUGCUUUCUUUUCCUAACCCACAGCCAUUAAUUGAAGACGUGUUGGUCAACUGUCCUUUUUUCUCUAUGGUUUUCUAAUAACUUUACUCUUGUUAUUUUGUUAUCACCUCUUUGCUGAUGACACCAAAAGUUUGCCCUGCCCAGCCCUAUCUCCUUAUUUGUCUUCUAUAGGUAUAAAGUUGCCAGAGCAUUCCUGGUUCUACACAGAGACUCUGUGUCUAGUGACAUUGAACUGAUUAUUCCAGAUAUAGAUACCCAGUGCCUGCUGUAUCUUUUGGGUCUUCAGCAGUCCAAAUAAAGAUUGAGCCUUAAGCUUCCUUCCAACAUUCAGAUUCUUUGAGUCUGUAACCAGGUAGGAUAGAUCUGGAAAGGGUAGGCUGGGUUUCCUUUAAUUUAGUUACUUUGCUUGUCACUUGAUUUCUUUUAGAGCCAUUCUCUUAUGCAUUGAGAUUGUAGAUUGUAGUUUUUUUUUUUUUAAAGAUUGUGGUGAUUGUUUUUAUACCUUUAUUUUGUUUAUUUAUUUUUAUGUGGUGCUGAGGAUUGAACCCAGUGCCUCGCACAUGCUAGGCAGGCACUCUACCACUGAGCUCCAGCCCUGAGAUAGUAGUUUUUACUAAUGGGCUUAGCUAUCUUCUUAAAGAUACUUUAUUCCUACUGGGUUACAGGUGGGAUAAGUCAUAUUCUCCUAUCUCUUCUUCCCACUUUAUCCCAUCUUGUUUGGCCCUCCUUCCCAGGCUGUAGUCCCAGCUGGACCUAUGGGACCCUCCUUGGCUCCCUUUGGUGUCUUGCAGGACCAGCAGUUGUCUUUGUAUUACCAUUGGAAAGGCUCUCUCUUGCAGUCUGUAAUAGUGGCUUUUUGCCUUCAUAGCUCUCUGGUCAGGUACAGGCUUGGGUUCCAGCAGCCUCUUCUAUUCCUUCGUGGAUGCCUUGAGCAAUCUGUUUGCUUGGACCUAGGCAUUACUUCAAUACUUGGGGCAAAUACUAUAUCCCCAUUGUACAAAUGGCCAGUUCUGAGUCUAGUCUAGCCAGUUAGGGGACUGAACUAUAGUCUGCAGCCACACUUCUUUUGUUGUUCAAAGGCUCUUUCUAUUUUAUUAUAUCUACCCCUUGACUUUCUGUUUAGUAUGGGUCUUAGGGCGAAAAUCCUGUUUGUCUCACUACUUCAAACUUUUUUCUCUUGUCUUUCAAUUCUUCUUUAAAAUUCUAUUUCUCAGGCCUUUGCACGUUGUUCUCCCUUGUCACGGCUGUCCUUUCAGUGUCCUCUUUGCAUUGUUUUUUCAGCUUUAUAUUUGUCUGCUUAAAUUAGGUGGUAAGCUUCUGUUUGUGCAGAGGUGAGUGACUGUAUGUGUGUAUAUGAGUUUGUGCAACCCAUAAAUAGUAAUGAAUGUGUGUCUGUGGGAAGAGCUCAUCCUCUAACCUUCAGUUUAUAAAGCAGGGGAUUGUCUUACAGCUGUUCCUGCAGCUGGCAGUUCUAUGAGCUGGCAGCCUGGCUCUCUGGAUGACAGUAUGCUGGGAAAAACUCUGAAUGGGUUAGGUCUGCCUUGGAAUUUCAGCAGAAAACUGGUUUGAGUCUCUUCAUUUUCAGGCAUGGGUGUUCUCCUUUAUCUAUUACUUUCAACUUCUGGAAGUGGCUACCCAACAAAAGCCCGCCCUACUACUUUGAACCAUGGGUAAGCUGGAGAGUAUGUGGAUCUUGCAAGAGGUAAUACCUCUGGACAGUUAUUCCAGCUGCCCUGGCUGGCUGUGAAUCCAGGGACAAUAGCCCUCAUCCCCAUUCCAGUGAUGGAGGAAUAGCCAGGUGCCAGGUGCUGUCCUAACUACUUUCCAUGCAUUGCUUUGUUUAAUCCACCUUACCACCCUUAGAACUAGGAACUUUAUUAUACCCAUUUUAUAGGUGAAGAAACUGAGGCUUAGAGAAAUUGUGUUCAAGAUCACAUAGCUAGGAUUUGGUAGAACCAAGAACUAACCUCUGGUUUGUCUGACUCUAAAUCCAUGUACUCUGUUUUCUACUCAAUAUUUUUGUCUCAUUUCCUCCUUAUUAAAUGGAAGUAGGAAUUCUUGCUCUUUCACUUUUUCCAGAAGAUUGAGGAAAAAGUGGACAUACAUUGUAGACAUACAUUGUAGGGUAAGAUGGAACUCCAGAGACUUCAAGACAGGCUGCUGAGGUGACUUUGCUUACAUAGGACACUGAAGACUUUUGUCUACCUGUGCUCUGUGAUUCAGAGCAGCCAGUGUACAUGGAGCCUGCCAACCAGGUCAGAAGCUGGGAGAGACCCAUCAGCUCUCCUCUCUCCUCCCCCUCCCCUUUUUGUUGGCUUCUUGCCAUUCUCAUUUCGUUUUUUUGUUUUCUUUUCUUAGAGAAUACAAAAGUUACUGGAGGAUGUCUUGUUCAUACAGGGUCUAGUCCCCUCCCUAGUCUUGUCUGAAUUGAGUGGAGGACAGGCACCAAGGGAAGUGGGGGUAGGUGGCCUCCUCCCACAGUCUCCACAAGCAUCUGCUCUGGGCUGCAGUGAGCUGGCAAUACAGAUCGCUGAGAGCAUCCAACAUCUAUUUAAGUAGAGGUACAGCCUACAAAUGGCGAGUUUUGAUAGAAAAAUGGGCAUCUUGAGUACCUUAUUAUCUCUUUUGUUCCAAAACUCAAGGAUACUUAAGGAAAGAGUUACUGGUGGAACAUUGAAAUGGGUUCCUCUUUCUUGGACUCUGAUUGGUAGUGUUUUAAGUUGGAUGAAGGCCAUAGAUGUAAAGAUGUAUAUCUGUCCUCCGUGAGAGCAGAGGAUGAUGAGAGGGUUUGUUCUGCAGGUUCUGUAGGGCCAGUGACCAGGGGAACCCAGGAUUCAUAAGUGACACCUGAUUUAGGGAGGGUAUCCUCUUCAGGCCAAGUGUGCUGAACCGUACUUCAGUGGUAUGCUACAACUUUGGUUUUAUGACAGAGACUGAAGUUUUGUGACUGCUUCUGCCAGUUCCUUUGUGAUUGAGGGCCACCUUGACAAAAUGUAACUGUGUGUUGCUUCUCCUUUCUCUGUUUUACCUCCCCUUCAGUCUCAGCAUAAAGUCCAGGGCAAACUUUGCCUGUUCUCUCCACCUGCUGUUUUAUUUAUUUAUUGUGGUGCUGGGGAUUGAACCCAUGCCCUCAUGCAUACUAGGCAAUUGCUGUAUUACUGAGCUACAUUCCCAGCUUCACCUGCUACUUCUUGAGUAAAACCCAAGACCAAGUGAGAUGGCUAUAGGCCAGGCUUAAAAGGACAGAGGACACUGUUACCCAUGCCUGCAUGUUUCAGAGUUUGUGCUUGCUUUGUAAAUGCCCUUUCUACGCCUGAGAAACUGUCUUGCCACCUACUUUUCUCCCAGCCUCAUUUCACCUAGGUCUCUCCUCUCUUCUCAGUCCUCACACCCCUCUUAUUCUUUAUCCGUUUUCCGUACCAUGCCCCAAUUUUUGUGGAUGCAAUAAAUAGGUUAGGUGUAUAGUCCAUGUGAAAUUAUUGAGGGGAGAUGAAGGAUCCAUUUGUGAAUCGAUCUCUCAUCCCGAGUAUUGGCAGAAAAUGUUCCUGAUGCUGUGAGUCUUUGCAGGACCUGGAGGUGCCUAGGAGUCCAGAGGGAGCUGCUAUUUUUCUUGUCCUCUACUCCAGGAGGUGGAGAAAUUGCUGUUUGUUCACCAGCUGCCCUAACCUCUUAUUCCUCAGUUCCUCUGAGUCUUCUUCCUCCUGCUCAUUUGUCAUCUUUGCUCGACUUCUUCCUUCUCAUUUAUCUUUUCCCCAGUACCAGUCUCAGUGUUUAUUCCUGGCUGUAAGAAGGGAGCAUCUAACAGUGUGCACAUGCAUAAACACAUGAAUACUCUGAGAUAAAGGAAGGAAAUCUGUGGCUUUUGGAUUAAUCUUUCUUUUCUUUUAUUGUAUGUUCUGAUAAUGCUGUGAGACCCUCACUUCAAUUCUUUAUCUCCCCUAACCACCCUGGCCAGGCCAAGCCAUAGGGGUAAGAAAGGUAUAUAGGGCUUUAGGAAAGCUCCAGGGCUGUACCCUCUUGGGACCCAUCUCCUGGUCUCAUCAGCCUUUUUCUUCUUGAUGUGGCCCUUGCAUCUUUUUCACCCUCACCUAACCUGGCCCCUCUCCCUUUCACACCCAGGCACGGCCAGGCACCUAUACAGAACCUAACACUCCAGACAGUGAACUCCCUCUUUCAGUGCCCCCAGGGAGCUAGGUUGCUUGGGGAAGCUUGCCUGACACUCAGCCAUUCCAUUUUGUCAUGAAGAAAAAGGUGGGGUGUGAGGAGGAACUGCAGAAAGCAAGGCUUUUGCUGCUGGGUGAGUGUAGCAGCUAUUUUUAGUGUCCAAGCCUUUGCUUUUCCAUUUGGCUGUGCUUUUUUAGCACAGUGCGGGUCCAGCAAGGCUGUUUUCUUUCAUGGCUGCAGAUGUCCUUAGGAAACGUUUUUUUUUUUUUGUCUGCCCCUAGGGAGGUGUGGGCUGGGCAGAGUGGUAAUAACUUCUCAGAGUGAAUCUAGGCAGGGCUUUGGGCCCCACUGCAAUUCUGUCAUGGGGCCAAUUUGUUGAGGUGGAGCAGGGAGGGGUGUAACAGAAAUAGGAGAGAGAAAAGUUAAUACCACACUCUUCAGAGAUAACCCCUGUAAUUGAUUUGCUUAAGCCACCACUGGGCAAACCACUGAAUGAGAUACAUUAGGGCCCAGGGUUACACAUAAAAACCUAUUUAAAGGGCUGGGCUAAUAUGGACACAUUCUGAAAUUUUCUAAGAUUUUUGUUCUGUUUAUUUAAUUUUUGUCUUCUUUCUUUCCUAGUCUAUUUGCCAAUUUGGAUUAAUUCUUGAUUUCCACUCUAGUUUACUAGUGAAAAAUUGCUUAACUACUCCAAACAGAAACUCUGUUCCUAUUAAACAGUAAGUCUCUAUUACCCUUUUCCCUUAACCCCUGGUAAGCUUGAUUCUACUUUCUGUCUUUGAAUUAGCUAUUGUAGAUAUUUCAUGUAAGUAGAAUCAAAUAUAAUAUCUGUCCUUUUAUGUCUGGCUUAUUUAAUUUGACAUAAUAUCUUCAAGGUUUAUUCGUACUGCAGUGUGUAUCAUAAUUUCAUUCAUUUUAUAUGAUUGAAUAAUAUUCCAUUGUAUGUAUACCACAUUUUAAAACCUGUUAAUCUGUUCGUGGUCACUUGGAUUAUUUAUAGCUUUGAAUAUUGUAAAUAAUGCUGCAGUGAACAUUGCUUUAUAAGUAGCUGUUCAAAUCCCUGUUUUCAGUCCUUUUGGGUAUAUAUGUAGGAGUAGAAGUGCUAGGAAAUAGGGCAGUUCUAUAUGUUGCUUUUUAAGGAACCAUCAAACUGUUUUACUUAUAAUGACUACACUGUUUUACUUAUAAUGUAUGAUGGUUCCAUUGAAUCCAAAUCCUCACUGAUACUUGUUAUUUUACUUUUUUAAAAAAAGUUGUUAUAGCCAGGCAUGGUGGCUCACCUCUGUAAUCCCAGCAGCCUGGGAGGUUUGAGGCAAAAGGAUCACAAGUUAAAGACCAGACUUAGCUACUUAGUGAGACUCUGUCUCAAAGUAAAAAAUAAAAGGGCUGAGAAUGUAGUUCAGAGGUAGAGUGUCCCUAGGUUCCAAACCCAGUACCACAAAACAAAAAAAGAAAAUAUUAUAACCAUCCUAGAGAGUGAUAAGUGGGGUAUCAUUGUGAUUUUGAUUUGCAUUUCCCUAAUGGUUAACAAUGUUGAAAAUAUUUUCACAUCCUUAUUAGCUGCGUAUUUAUUAGCUGAUUAUGUUGAUAUUUCUCCAAAAUAGAUAUAUAUCCUUUGCCCAUGUUUAAAUUGGGUUAUUUAUCUCUAUUGUUGAGAUUCAGGAAUUCUUAUAUAAUCUGGACAUUUUUGGCUGCUGUUGUUGGCUGUGCUGGGGAUCAAGCCCAGGACCUUGUACUUGCUAGGCAAGUACCUUCCACUGAGCUACACUCCCAGCCCUGUUCUGGACAUUAACCCUUACCAUGUAUAUGAUUUGUAAAUGUUUUAUCCUGUUCUAUGGGUUGUCUUUUCACUCUCUGAAUGUUGUGCUCCUGUUCGUGUGAGUGUGUGUUGGUGUGAUCUCAAACCCAGGGCCUCAUGCAUGCUAGACAUGUGCUUUACCACUGAGCUACACUUCCAUCCCCAAUCCCUUGAUAAUAUUUCUUGAGACACAAAAUUUUUUAUUUUUUAAAUAUUUAUAUUUAGUUGUAGUUGGACACAAUUCCUUUAUUUUAUUCAUUUAUUCUUAUGUGGUGCUGAGGAUUGGACAUGUACCAGGGCCUUGUACAUGCUAGGCAAGCACCCAACCACUGAGCCACAACCCCAGCCCCAAGAUUUUCAACUUUGAUAAAUUCUUAUAUAUAUAUUUUUCUAUGGUUGCUUGUGCUUUUGGUAUUAUUUUUAAGAAACCAUCACCAAAUCCCAAGUUAUUAAGAUCACACCUAUGUUUUCUUAUAAGGGGUUUAUACUUUUAGCUCUUAAAUUAAGUUCUCUGAUCUGUUUUGAGUUAGAUUUUGUAUAUGGUGUAAGGAAAGGGUCCAACUUCAUUCUUUUGCAUAUGCAGUUAUCCUAGUAGUGUUUGUUGAAGAGACUGUCGUUUCCCCCACUGAAUAAUGUUGGCACCCUUGUUGAAAAUUAAUUGAUUAUAUAUAUGAUUAUUGAUGUGCUCUAUUCUAUUCUUUUGGUCUACAUGGUUGUCCUUAUGCCAGUACCUCCCUUUUGUAGGAAGUUUUUUUUUUUUUUUUAAAUUUUUAUUGUUGGUUGUUCAAAACAUUACAUAGUUCUUGAUAUAUCAUAUUUCACACUUUGAUUCAAGUGGGUUAUGAAUUCCCAUUUUUACCCCGAAUACAGAUUGCAGAAUCACAUCAGUUACACAUCCAUUGAUUUACAUAUUGCCAUACUAGUGUCUGUUGUAUUCUGCUGCCUUUCCUAUCCUCUACUACCCCCCUUGUAGGAAGUUUUGAGAUCAGAGGUGUGAGUCCUCUACCUAUUCUUUUUCACAAUUGUCUUGGCUGUUCUGGGCUCCUUAAAAUUCCAUAUGAAUUUUAGGACAAAUUUUUCCAUUUCUGCAAAAAAAUACCACUGGGAUUUUGAUAGAGAUUGCUUUGGGUAAUAUUAUCAUCUUAACAAUAUUAAGUCUGUAAUCCAUGAACAUAGGAUGUCCUUCCAUCUUUAUGGUUUUAAAAAUUUUAACAAAUCGGGUGUGGUGGUGUAUGCCUGUAAUCCCAGGGACUUGGGAGGCUGAGGCAGGAGGAUCACUAGUUCAAAGCCAACCUCAGCAACAGCAAGGCCCUAAGCAACUCAGUGAGACCCUAUCUCUAAAUAAAAUGCAAAAUAGGGCUGGGAAUGUGGCUCAGUGGUCUAGUGGCCCUGAGUUCAAUCGCCAGUACCAACAAAAAAUAAAAUAAAUUUUUUUUUCAUAUUUAUUUUUGAGUUUUUGGCUGACACAACAUCUUUGUUUGUAUGUGGUGUUGAGGAUCGAACCCCGGCCGCAUGCAUGCCAGGCGAGCGCGCUACCGCUUGAGCUACAUCCUCAGCCCAUAAAAUAAAAAAAAUUUUUUUUAAGGUUCUUUUUUUUUUUUAAUAUUUAUUUUUUAGUUUUCGGCGGAAACUACAUCUUUGUUUGUAUGUGGUGCUGAGGAUCGAACCCGGGCCGCACGCAUGCCAGGCGAGCGUGCUACCACUUGAGCCACAUCCCCAGCCCCCAUAAAAUAAAAUUUUAACAGCUACUAGGGCCUAUACUUUUGUUUGGCCAUUUGAAAAGGAAUGCGAAAGGCUUCAUGGCCUGGAAAUAUUGAACUUUGUUGGCAUAGAGGGUGUUGAUGUCAUCUCUUUUCAGAUAUGAUAAUGGAUGUGGUUAAAAGUAGAUGUAGAGGCUUACAUGGACUCGGCCCAUAUUUGUUCACAUAUAGAUCAGGUGGUUAAUUUUUCUCUCUACCGACCAUACCCAAUACACUCUCUACAAGUUAAGAAUCGAUUAUUAAUUGAGGAAGGAAGGGACCAGUGCUCUGAUAGCACAUGAAAAAGUCCUGGGUUACUGUACAGUUCCAACCAGAGCAUUUCUCCCCUUGAGUAGUUGAAUCUGUUACAGGAAAUGGAAGCUUGAAACUUACCUAGAAAUGGUAAAAGACCUAGAUACCUUUAUGUAGGAAAUGUCUGACAUCUGCGGGGCAAGUGCCAUGAUAGGAAUCACAGUGCUGGGGGACCAGGUUCCAGCUUUUCAUGGACCUUUGUUUUCUGUGCUUGUAUCUUCAGGUCCCUGACUAUGGUUCCUCAGAGCCUGCCUCCAUCUAGGAUGGUUCCCCUGGGGAUGCUGCUUGGGUUACUGAUGGCCUCCUGCUUCACCUUCUGCCUCAGUCAUCAGAACCCAGUAAGUGUCUUACUGAAGAUAGGUGGAAUUUCUAAUGAGAUCUGAGAAAGUCUCCCUGUCAACCAACAGGGCUUCUGUGGGAUGGGGUGGACUUUUAUUUUUCUUUCUUAGAGAAAUGUGGCUUUUUCUUUUCCAUUUCUGAGUUCACUCCCUUCUUUUUUUUUUCUUAAUAUUUUUUUUAGUUGUAGUUGGACACAAUGCCUUUAUUUUAUUUAUUGUUAUGUGGUGCUGAGGAUCGAACCCAGCGCCUCACAUGUGCUAGGUGAGUACUCUACUGCUGAGCCACAACCCCAGCCCCCAUUCCCUUCUUUUUAAAGCUCAUGACACAGUUAUCCUUUGGGGAAAAGAUGAUGAUGCUAUAGUAAUGAUGAUAAUAAUAAGUAGUUUCAUGUACCAAGUAGUUUCAUAUAAGUGCUUUAUAUGUAGUCUCAUUUAAUUCUCUCAAUAACCCUAUGAAGUAUUAUUAUUAUUAUUCUCAUUUUGAAAAGGAGAAUACUUAGGGUCAGAGAUUUCAAGUUACUUGUCCAAAAUCACACUACCAGUUUGAGGCACAGCUGGAAAGGUCAGGAUUCUCCCCAUGAGCUGACUGCCUAUGCGGUGAGCACCAAGUAAGAUUCUGCUUCUUCCUCUUCUUUCUUGCUUGUGAUUUCUCAGGCUUUUUUUUUUUUUAAUAUUUAUUUUUUUUAGUUGUAGUUGGACACAACACCUUUAUUUCACUUAUUUAUUUUUGUACAUGGUGCUAAGGAUCGAACCCAAGGUCUCGCAACACGAGGCGAGCGCUCUACCACUGAGCCACAACCCCAGCCCUCAGGCUUUCUUUAUCCUCUCUCAUUUUCUUCUUGUUCUUUCCAGGCCUCUCUUCAUUAACUUAGACUUCAUUGCUCAGGGCCCCUGUCUUUGUCACAGGCAGAAGGAGAAUGCCCAAGAAGGCCUAAGUUUGGCCUGGCAGCAGCAUGCUAAGCCUCCUGACCUCUUUCUCCUACCUGUCUCAGCAACAGUUUGCCCUUGGCCAGCGCCCCCAUGCCCUCCUUUGAGAAAAUCUGACUAUCAGCUUUCUGACAUUUUUACCCUCCCCUGGCCUCCUUCCCCAACCCCCAGCACUCCCACUAAAUGUUGGAUAAAGCGCUGGAGGCUUUGGAACUGGAGGUCCUUGAAGUGCAAAUGACAAUUGUGAUGAAUUUAAUAACAAUCCAGCUCAGCCAAGGUUCACCUCUGGCUCAUGGCAAGCUUCCACCUUCUCUCUGAAGUCAUUUGUUUUCUCUCUGUCUUUCCCCUCACUUUGUGGAGCAGGAGAGAACAUACAGUUAGGAGUCACGAAUCCUUUUGAGCUUUUAAUGUUUUCUGACUAAGAUCCUAUUGGUGCUGUUUUUUUUGCCUCCUCUUCAAGGACAAUGAGAAUGGGAUCCCAGAGGCCCUUGAAGGUGGGACUGACUGCAGCAUGAGGUUGUGGCUGUAAAAUGGCAUUGGCAGUAAAAUGGCUCUGAAAACACCUGAGGUUCUCAAGGGAUUGGGGCUGUGUCCCUUCUCCAACUUGCAGCUCAUGAGGAUCCCCAUGCCCCCUGUUGAGAGCUUUAGCAGAAGCACAUUUAACAAAAGCAUACUGAUGAAUUUACUUAAGGACUGUGUGCUAGUAAGUGCCUUUUGGAUAAUAGUCCAACCAAAUAGAUGAGCUUUCAGAGCCAUAAUUAUUCUAGCCCAUUUAUAUUAGCUCUAUUUAGUGUAGUCUCAGAAAAAUGUUAAUACUGACUUUCAGCAAAAGAAGCCGCUUUUAUCCUUAUGUCUGUUCCUAAGCGGUUUCCAUUUGUCAUAAUCUAUCAUCAUGUGUAAGCACAAGUAGGAGUUGAAGCAUCUUUUCUCUCAUACCAUAAAAAUUGCUGCCCUGAUGGCAUUUAAAAUCCAAAUUAUGUAGCCAGCCACCUUCACAGUAGUGAAAAUGGGGUGGGGUGGUGGUACUUGUAAUACUUUCUUCAGAGCCUGGAGUCCAGGCAAAUGCUCCUGAUGACCUGGAAUUGUCUUAUCUAAAGGCAUGUAUGUAGGCUAAUGGCCAUCUAGGACACCAUGGCUGUGUGUACCAGUAUGAUCUGCAGAUAGUCUCCCUUUACAGCUCCUGCUGUGUACUUCCCUGGAAUGCCACAUCUUAGAUGGAGUGUAAAUACCAAAAGGGCUGUGGUUGUGAGAUAUUGGCCUUAAAAAAGGUGAUUGAGGAGAGAGGUGAGGUAGUGAAUUACAGUAGAAGGAGCACAGGCCCUUUAUAUGCUCCCUUUUACCCACCUACUCUGGCAAUUUGAACAUUUCUGAACUUUGUUUCCUCAUUUGUAAGACCAGGGUGGUACCUUCCUGUUGAGAUUUUAGUGUUGAUUAAAAGUGAUUAUAUAGACCAAGCACCUAUUGGGACUGGCACAAUAUAGUCAAUAAAUGUCAGACAUUAUUUUUAGUAUGGGAGCAGCUACUUUGUGGUUUCAUUUGAGCCUGUGUAAAGCAGGCUUCUGUCCCAAAAUGUUGCCCUAGCAGUCUGUCUCUGUCACAGUCUAUCAACCUACCAUUAUAAAGUCAUUCAUCUUUUUGGAUCUUGAAGCUUUUAAGAAUAUCUUACUCAGAUACAAGCGCAAGAAAGUAUGACUUGGUAAGCUGUUGUCAGCUAACGCCUCAGUUGGGGUAUCUUGCCAGUUGAGAGGAAAUUGAUAUUUGGAAUGAUAAUGGGUGGGAGAAGAGAGUGCUGAUGAUCUAGCAUGGAAGGGAGCCCCAAGAAACCAGCUGAGAGGGCACCAAAGCUUGGGAUUUACUUAGGAGCUGAACAAGGGUGGCCUGCUUCUCUCACUUCUUGUUUUCUCUUUCCUCCUCAGGAUACUGUCUGGGCAGAGAGGCUGGUUUUGCUUGUCAUUUCUGCUCCAUGUUUGGGAAGAGGGAUGUGAUGGUAAAUGUGUUCAGUGAUCUUAUUGCCCUAGCUUCAUUCCCUCAGUGUCCAGGGUGCAGCCAUUUGGACAUUUGACCAGAAAAGAAACACAGAAGUGAAUUGGAAUUCACACAUAGGCUUUGGGUUUUUGAACAGGCCGUAUAUCAAUCCUCAUCUGUAAAAUGGGAAUGAUAAUAUGUGCUUCACAGAUGAGACUCAGAUGAACUGAGGCAUGAAAGGCACUUUAACCCAAUGGCUGGCUUAAUAAUGGUAGCUGUUGUGAUCACUAUAACCCCAUUCUCAAGAUGUUGCUUUUUCACAAAACUUCUGGAGCUCCCCCUUUGAACUGACUAUACAAUGUGUGAGAUAUUUAUAGCACUGAACCUUUUUCAGUGCUCCUGGCCUUUGAGGAUAGCCAGAUAUGACUUGGGCAAAAUGUCUAAAAUCACUCAGAGCCAAAUCUGGUGAAUAAGGUGAACUGAUUGGUCAAGGGAGCACCAGUUUUGUACCAUCUUCCACCAAAAGAUGAGAUGUUCUGUAGAUAAUGACAGAAUUUGGGUUUGUGUUCUAAAAUCUGGUUCAAAGAUGAUACCAAGAGAAGGUGCAGAAAUCCUUUUGAGCAGUGACAGGAUUAUUGCAAAAAUGUUUGGUCUCUCUGGGGCUUAAAGCGUGUGGCCUAGUGGGUCUUGAGUCACUUUGUUUCUUUCCAUGUAUUUUAUUUUCAAUUGAUACUUAGUAGUUGUACAUAUUUAUGGGGUAUAUGUGAUAUUUCAGUACAUGUACGAUGUAUAAUGAUAGGAUCAGGACUAUAGACAUAUCUCAUUUCUUCAUGUUGGGAACGUACACAAUCUUCUAGCUAGUUUGAAAUAAUCAAUUGUUGUCAAGCAUAGUUAUUUUACUAUGCUGUAGAACACUAGAAGUUAUUCCUCCUAUUCAUCUAUACCUUUGUAACCACUAAUCAUCUUUUCCCCAUUUCCCCCUCCUCUCCCAUUUCCCAGGCUCUGGUACUCUCUAUUCUCUACUUCUGUGAGAUUUUAAAUUUCUAUAUAUGUGAGAACAUAACAUUUUUGUCUUUCUGAUCUGACUUAUUUCACAUAACAUAAUGUCCUUUAGUUUCAUCUUUGUUGCUGCAAGUGACAGUUUCAUUCUUUUUACGGUCGAAUAAUAUUCCAUUGUGUAUAUAUGCCAUAUUUUCUUUAUUCAUCCAUCCAUUGAUGGAUAGCUGGGUUGAUUCCAUAUCUUGGCUAUUGUAAGUAGUGUUGCAAUAAACGUGUGAGUGGAGAUAUUUUUUCCACAUACUGAUAUCAUUUCCUUUGCACAUAUAUCCAGUAGAGUGAUUGCUAUAUCACAUGCCAGUUCUAUUCUAGUCUCUGAGGAGUCUCCAUACUGUUUUUCAUAAUGGCUAUACUAAUUUACAUUUCCACCAAUCAGUGCGUUUCUCUGCAUCCUCACCAGCAUUUUUUAAAUUGAUUUUAUUUUUUUAAAUACACGACAGUGGAAUGUAUUACAAUUCUUAUUACACAUAUAGAGCGCAAUUUUUCUUAUCUUUGUAUAAAGUAUGUUCACGCCAAUUCAUGUCUUUAUACAUGUACUUGUUUUUUUUUUGCAUUACAAUUAUUUUUUUAAAUAUUUUUUUUGUACACAAUAACUUUAUUUUAUUUAUUUAUUUUUAUGUGGUGCUGAGGAUCAAACCCAGGGCCUUGCACAUGUGAGUUGAGCGCUCUACCUCUGAGCCAUAAUCCCAGCGCCAUAACCCCAGCAUUACAAUUCUUAUUACACAUAUAGACCACAAUUUUUCGUAUCUCUGUUUGUAUAUAAAGUAGGUUGAUACCUAAUUCGUGUCUUCAUACAUGUACUUUGGAUAAUGAUAUCCAUCACAUUCCACCAUCCUUUCUAAUGCCCUGCCCGCUCCCUUUCCCUUCCAUUCCUCUUCCCUAUCUAGAAUUCAUCUAAUCCUCCUAUGCUGUCCUUCCCUACUCCACUAUGAGUCAACCUCCUUAUAUCAGAGAAAACAUUCGGCAUUUGUGUUUUUGGGAUUGGCUAACUUCACUUAGCAUUAUCUUCUCCAACGCCAUCCAUUUAUCUGCAAAUGCCAUGAUUUUGUUCUUUUUUAAUGCUGAGUAAAAUUCAAUUGUGUAUAUAUGCCACAUUUUUUUUAUCCACUCAUCCACUAAAGGACAUCUAGGUUGGCUCCACAGUUUAGCUAUUGUGAAUUGUGCUGCUAUAAACAUUGAUGUGGCUGUGUCCUUGUAGUAUGCUGUUUUUAAGUCCUUUGGGUAUAGUCCGAGGAGAGAAAUAACUGGUGGUUAUGGUGGUUCCAUUCCCAGAUUUCCAAGGAAUCCCCAUACUGUUUUCCAAAUUGGCUGCACCAAUUUGCAGUCCCACCAGCAAUUUAUGAGUGUACCUUCGCCCCCCACAUCCUUGCCAACACUUGUUGUUUGUCUUCAUAAUAGCUGCCGUUCUGACUGGAGUGAGAUGAUAUCUUAGAGUAGUUUUGAUUUGCAUUUCUCUGAUUGCUACAGAUGAUAAGCAUUUUUUCAUAUAUUUGUUGAUUGAUUGUAUAUAAUCUUCUGAGAAGUGUCUGUUUAGGUCCUUGGCUCAUUUGUUGAUUGGGUUAUUUGUUUUUUCAGUGUUUAGCUUUUUGAGUUCUUUAUAUACCCUAGAGAUUCGUGCUCUAUCUGAUGUGUGAGGGGUAAAAAUUUGCUCCCAGGAUGUAGGCUCUCUGUUCACCUCACAGAUUGUUUCUUUUGCUGAGAAAAAAACUUUUUAAUUUGAUUCCAUCCCAUUUAUUGAUUCUUGGUUUUAAUUCUUGCGCUAUAGGAGUCUUAUUAAGGAAGUUGCGGCCUAAUCCCACAUGAUGAAGAUUAGGGCCUACUUUUUCUUCUAUUAGACAAAGAGUCUCUGGUUUAGUUCCUAGGUCUUAAUCCAUUUUGAGUUGAGUUUUGUGCAUGGUGAGAGAGAGGGGUUUAAUUUUAUUUUGUUGCAUAUGGAUUUCCAGUUUACCCAGCAUCAUUUGUUGAAGAGGCUAUCUUUUCUCUAGUGCAUGUUUUUGGCACCUUUGUCUAAUAUAAGAUAAUUGUAAUUUUGUGGGUUAGUUUCUGUGUCCUCUAUUCUGUACCAUUGGUCUACCAGCCUGUUUUGGUGUCAAUACUAUUCUGUUUUUGUUACUAUUGCUCUGUACUAUAGUUUAAGUUUUGGUAUAGUGAUAUCACACCUGCUUCACUCUUCCUGCUUAGGAUUGCUUUAGCUAUUUUGGGUCUCUUAUUUUUCUAGAUGAAUUGCUUUUUCUAUUUCUAUGAGGAAUGUCAUUGGGAUUUUGAUCAGAAUUGCAUUAAAUCUGUGUAGUGCUUUUGGUAGUAUGGUCAUUUUGAUAAUAUUAAUUCUACCUAUCUAUGAGCAAGGUAGAUCUUUCUAUCUUCUAAGGUCUUCUUUGAUUUCUGUCUUUAGGGUUCUGUAGUUUUCAUUGUAUAGACCUUUCACCUCUUUUGUUUAUUCCCAAGUAUCUUUUUUUUUUUUUUGAGGAUAUUGUGAAUGGAGUAAUUUUCCUCACUUCCUUCUCAGAGGAUUUGUCAUUGAUAUACAGAAAUGCCUUUGAUUUACGGGUGUUUAUUUUAUAUCCUGAUACUUCGCUGAAUUAAUUUACUAGUUCUAGAAGUUUUCCUGGAGUUUUUAGGUCUUCUAGGUAUAGUAUCAUAUCGUCAGCAAAUAGAGCUAAUUUAAGUUCUUCUUUUUCUAUACAUAUUCCUUUAAUUUCUUUCGUCUGUCUAAUUGCUCUGGCCAGUGUUUCAAGAACUAUGUUGAACAGAAGUGGUGAAAGAGGACAUUCCUGUCUUGUUCCAGAUUUUAGAGGGAAUGCCUUCAAUUUUCCUGUUUAGAAUGAUGUUGGCCUGAGGCUUAGUGUAGAUAGCCUUUAGGAUGUUGAGAUAUGUUCCUGUUAUCCCUAGUUUUUCUAGUGUUUUGAACAUAAAGUGGUACUGUAUUUUGUCAAAUGCUUUUUCUGCGUCUAUUGAGAUGGUCAUAUGAUUCUUAUCUUUAAGUCUAUUGAUGCGAUGAAUUACAUUUAUUGAUUUCCGUAUGUUGAACCAACCUUGCAUCCCUGGGAUGAAUCCCACUUGAUCAUGGUGCACAAUCUUUUUGAUAUGUUUUUGUAUUCAAUUUGCCAGAAUUUUAUUGAGAAUUUUUGCAUCUAUGUUCAUUAGAGAUAUUGGUCUGAAGUUUUCUUUCUUUGAAUUGUCUUUGUCUGGUUUUAGAAUUGGCCUCAUAGAACGAGUUUGGAAGUGCUCUCUCUUAUUCUAUUUCGUGAAAUAAAUUGAAGAGUAUUGGUAUUAGUUCUUCUUUAAAAGUCUUGUAGAAUUCAGCUGUGUAUCCAUCCAGUCCUGGGCUUUUCUUCAUUGGUAAUCUUUUGAUGGCUUCUUCUAUUUCCUCACUUGAUAUUGGUCUGUUUAGGUUGUGUAUAUCUUCCUGGCUCAAUCUGGGCAGAUCAUAUGACUUAAGAAAUUUAUCUAUGCCUUCAAUGUCUUCUAUUUUAUUGGAGUAUAAGAUUUCAAAAUAAUUUCUGAUGAUCUUCUGUAUUUCUGUAGUGUCUGUUGUGAUACUGCCUUUUUCAUCAGGUAUGCUGGUAAUUUGAGCUCUCUCUUUCCUUCUCUUCGUUAGUGUGGCUAAGAGUCUGUCAAUUUUAUUUAUUUUUUCAAAGAACCAACUUUUAGUUUUGUCAAUUUUUUCAAUUGUUUCUUGUUUUGUUUUUAUUGAUUUCUGCUCUAAUUUUAAUUAUUUCUUGCCUUCUACUGCUUUUGCUGCUGAUUUGUUCUUCUUUUUCUAGGGCUUUGAGAUAUAGUGAGGUCAUUUAUUUGUUGACUUUUUCUUCUUUUAAGGAAUGAACUCCAUGCAAUGAAUUUUCCUCUUAGUACUGCUUUCAUAGUGUCCCAGAGAUUUCAAUAUGUUGUGUCUGUGUUCUCAUUUACCUCUAAGAAGUUUUUAAUCUUCUCCUUUUUGUCUUCUGUAACCCAUUAUUCAUUCAGUAGCAUAUUGUUCAAUCUCCAUGUGAUGCAUAAAUUUUUAUUUUGUCAUUAAUUUCCAAUUUCAUUCCAUUAUGAUCUGAUAAAAUACAUGGUAGUAUUUGCUAAGAGUUGCUUUGUGGCAUAGUAUAUGUAGACAUUUAUUUAUUUAUAUAUAUAUAUGCGGUGCUGAGAAUAGAACCCAGUACCUCACACAUGCUAGGUAAGCACUCUUCCACUGAGCUACAACCUUAGCUGUAGGGGACUUUUUUGGGGGGGAAUACUGGGGUUUAGAUCCACAGCGCUUAACCAUUGAGCCACAUCUCCAGCCAGUUUUUUUUUUAAUUUUAAUUUUUAUUUAAACUUUUAAUUUUUAUUUAUAAAGUUUUUAAUUUUAAUUUUUUAUUUUGAGACAGAGUCUUACUAAGUUACUUAGGGUCUCUCUAACUUGCUGAAGCUGGCUUUUAUUCUUGUGAUCCUCUUGCCUAAGCCUCCUGAGCCACUGGGAUUAUAGGAGUGUACCACCAUUGCUGGUGGGGUAUUUUUUAAUUUUAAUUUUUUUUAUGGUACCAGAGACUGAAUCCAGGGUCUUGUGCAUACUGUAUUGCUCAGUUGUAUCUCCAACCCAACACAUAUUUGCUCAUUUUAAAAUUUGAUUUUUUUUCUUGUUGUUUGAGUUCCUUAUGUAUUCUGGAUAGUAAUACCAUGUUAAGUGAAUUAAUUUGCAAAUGAAUAAUUUUCUUCCAUUCUUUAGGUGUGUCUUCAAUCAGUUAUUUCCUUGCUGCACAGAAGCUUUUAUGUCAUUUUAAUUGUUGAUGUUUGUGCAUUUGGGAUUGUAUCUAAAAAUAAUCUUUGCCUAGACCAAUGUCCUGCAGUGUUUUCCCUAUGUUCUUGUUUACUUGAUUUUUUAAAAAUAUGGUGAGUGAUAGGAGGUCUAGUUUCUUUCUUCUGCUUAUGGAUAUCCAGUUUUUCCAACACCAUUUAUUGAAGAGACUUUCCUUUCUCCAGUGUAUUUUCUUGCUACCUUUGUCAGAAAUCAAUUGGCUGAGCUGAGUGUGGUGACAUGCAACUGUAAUCUAACAGUUGGGAGCCUGAGGCAGGGAGAUAGAUCUCUUGAAUCUAGAAAUUCAAGACCUGCCUGGCUAACAUAGCAAGACCUCAUCUAAAUAAAACUGUUAUAUGUGUAUGAAGUGUCUGUGUAUAAAUAUAUAUGUACUUAUAUGUAUGUACAUUUUAUAUAUAUAUAUAUAGUAUGCAUAUAUAUCAUAUACAUAUAUAUCAUACACACACACACACACACACACCAUACAUCUCAGUUAGCUGCAAAAACAUGGAUUUAUUUCUGGGUUUGCUUUGUUGUUCCAUUGGUCUGUGUGUCUGUUUUUAUGCCAGUACCAUGCUGUUUUGGUUACUAUAGCUUUGUAGUAUGUUUUGAAGUCAGAUAUUGCAAUGUUAACAUUUUGUUCUUUUUGCUUAGGAUUGCUUUGGCUGUUUGGAGUCUUUUGUGGUUCCAUGUAAAUUUUAGGAGUGUUUUUCUGUUUCUGUAAAAGAGAUACUUGGUAUUUUGAUAAGAAUUGCAUUGAAUCAGUAGAUUACUUUGGGUAGUAUACACAUUUUAACACUCCAACUUCUAGUCCAUGAACAUGGGCUACUUUUCAUGUUUUGGUGUCUUCCUCAAUUUAUCUUAUUUUUUGUAAUUUUAAUUGUAGAGGUACUUACUUCCUUGAUUAAAUUUAUUCCUGUGUGUGUGUGUGUGUGUGUGUGUGUGUGUGUGUACAUGUACUGUGAAUGGGGUUGCUUUCUUCUUUCUUGGUAUUAUUCUUUUAUAAAAAAAAGCUUUUAUUUUUAUAGGUUUAUUUUGUAUCCUGCAACUUUAUUGAUUUUGUUUAUUCUAACAGGUUUUUUAAUAUUUUUUUAUUUGUUUUAAUUAGUUACACAUGACAGUACAAUGAUCUUGACAUACAUUUGAAUAAGAUGGGAUAUAAUUUCUCAUUUUUCUGAGUGUACAGGUUGCAGAAUCACAUUGGUCAUGCAGUAACGUAUAUGCAUACAGCAAUAAUAAUGUCUAUUUUAUUCUGCUGUCCUUCCUUUCCCCCCUUCCCCUCCCCUCCCCUCCCAUCAUUUUUCUCUACCCAAUCUAAUGUGCCACACUUCUUUUUUUUUUUUUCUCACAUUGUCAUACAUGUAUUCUGUAUAACGAUGAAGGUCUCCUUCCAUCUUCCUUGCAAUUCCCCUUCUCCCUCCCUUUCCCUCCCACCUCUCUUCCCUAUCUAGAGGUAAUCUUCUUCUCAUGCUCUUCCUCCCUACCCCAUUUUGAGUGACCCCCCCCCCCCCUUAUAUCAGAGGAGACAUUCAGCAUUUGUUUUUUAGGGAUUGGCUAACUUCACUUAGCAUAAUCUGCUCUAAUGCCAUCCAUUUCCCUGCAAAUGCCAUGAUCUUGUGUGUGUGUGUGGAGUCUUUAGGUUUUCCUUUUUUUUUUUUAGAGAGAGAGAAUGAGAGGGGGGGGAUUUAAAAAAAAAUAUUUAUUUAUUUAUUUAUUUUAGUUUUUGGCGGACACAACAUCUUUGUUUGUAUGUGGUGCUGAGGAUCGAACCCGGGCUGCAUGCAUGCCAGGCGAGCGCACUACCGCUUGAGCCACAUCCCCAGCCCUAGGUUUUCCUUUUUUUAAAAUAUAUUUCUUUGUUGCCUGUGGAUUUUUUUCUUUAUUUGUUUAUUCAUAUGUGGUGCUGAGGAUCGAACUCAUGGCCCCACACAUGCUAGGCAAGCACUCUACCACUGAGCCACAACCCUAGUCCCUUAGGUUUUUCUAAAUAUAAAAUCUUUUCAUUAGCUGGGUGCGAUGGUGCAUGCUUAUAAUCCCAGCAGCCCAGGAGGCUGAGGCAAGAGGGUCACAAGUUCAAAGCCCACCACAACAACUUAGCGAGGCCCUAAGCAACUCAGUGAGACCCUGUGUCUAAAUAAAUUAGAAAAAAAAGGGCUUGGAGAUAUGGCUCAGUGGUUAAGUGCCCCUGGGUUUAAUCCCUUGUACAAAAAAAAAAAAAGUCAUUUGCAAACAGGGAUAAUUUAACCUUCUUCUUUCCUAUUUGGAAUACCCUUUGUUUCUUAACUUACCCUGCUCUGGCUAAAACUUCCAAUGCUGUAUUGAAUAAGAGUGGUGAAAGUAGAUAUCCUUUGUUUCAGAUUUUAAAGGAAAUAAUUUCAGCCUGCCCAUAUGUAGCCUUUAUUGUGUUCAGUUAUGUUCUUUUUUCCUUUUAUUUUUCAGUACUGGGGAUUGAACCCAGGGCCACUCUACCAUUGAAUGACACUCCUGACUCUUUAUUUAUUUUAUCCUUUAUUUUUUGAGACAAGGUACUGAUAAGUUGCUGAGAUGACCUUGAAUUUAUGCUCCUCCUGCCUCAUCCUCUGUAGUCACUGGGUUUACAGGUGUGUACUACCAUACCCAAUCCUUCUACCUAAUUUUUUUUUUAAUUAUCAUGAAGGAAUCUAUUGAGGUGAUCAUAUGGUUUUUGUCCUUUAUUUAUUGAUACAGUGAAUUAUGUUUAUUCUUUUACUGUGUUUAUUACUUAAUGUAUAUUGAACUGUCCCUUUAUCUUUGGGAUAAAUCCUACUUGACAUGGUAUCUAAUCUUUUUGAUGUGCUCUUGAAUUUGAUUUACUAGUAUUUUGUUAAGAAUUUCUGUUUAUCAGUGAUAUAUAUAUGUGUGUGUGUGUGUGUGUGUGUGUGUGAAAAUAUGUAUAUAUAUAUAUAUAUAUAUAUGUAUAUAUAUUUUUUUUAUUUGUAGUUUUCUCUUUUGUUUUGUCUUUAUCUGUUUUUGGUAUUAGGGUAAUGUUGGUCUCAUAGAAUGAGUUUGGAAGGAUUCUGUCCCCUUCAGUUCUUUGAAGUAGUUUGAGAAUUGGAAUUAGUUCUUCUUUGAAGGUUUGUUAAAAAUUCAGCUGUAAAGCCAUCCAGUUUUGAGCAUGUCUUUCUUGGGAGACGUUUUAUUACUGAUUCAAUCCUCUUACUUAUUAUUGAUCAGAUUUUCUCUCUCUUCAUGGUUCAAUUUUAUAGGUUUUAUGUGUCCAGAAAUUUAUCAUAUUUCUUCUUGGUUUUCAAGUUGUUGGUCUAUGCAUUUGAUCCCUAGUACCACAAAACAAAACAAGAAACCCAAUAUGUUGGUCUGUAGUUGUUCAUAAUAGCAUGUAAUGAUCCUUUACAGUUUUAUGGCCUCUUAUAUAAUGUCUCCUUUUUCAUCUCUGCUUUUAUUUAUAUGGUUGUUUUAGUCAGCUUUUUAGUGGCUGUGACUAAAAGCAUGACCAGCACAAUGUAGAGGAGAAAAGGUUUAUUUGAGGGCUCACAGUUUCAGAGGUCUUAGUUCACACAAGGCUGGCUUCAUUCUUCAGGGCCAGAGGUGAGGCUGAAUAUUAUGGUGGAGUGUGAGGCAGAGGGAAGCAGCUCACAUCAUGGUGAUCUAGAAGCAGAGAGAGCUUCUCUACUCUACAGACAGACAGACAGACAGACACACACACACACACACACACACAUGAAAGCCACGCCCUAAUUCCACCUCCUUCUGCCACACCCUACUACUUCAGUUACCACUCAGUUAAUCCCUAUCAGGGGGAUUAAUUCAACUGUUUGGGUUAAGACUCUUACAACCUAUUCAUUUUUCCUCUGGAAAAUGUUUUUUUUUGUGUGUGUGUGUGUGUGUGUGUUGUUUCAUACAUGAACUUUUGAGGGACACCAUGCAUCCAAACUAUAACUUUGGUUCUUUUCUUUUUUUUCAUGAUUAGUCUAGCUAAAGACUUUUUGGUUUUAUUUGUCUUUUCAAAAAAAUAACUUGGUUUCACUAGUCUUUUGUAUUUUUCUUUUUUAGUCUCUAGUUUGUUUAUUUCUGAUCUGAUCUUUGUUCUUUCUUCUGUUAAUUCUCAGUUUAGUUCAUUCUCGAUUUGCUGGUUCAUUGAGUUGCCUUGUUAGACUGUGUUUUUGGAAUCAGUUUUUUUUUUUUUUUUUUAAAUAUUUAUUUAUUUUUUUAGUUUUCAGUGGACACAACAUCCUUGUUUGUAUGUGGUGCUGAGGAUCGAACCCGGGCCGCACGCAUGCCAGGCGAGCGUGCUACCGCUUGAGCCACAUCCCCAGCCCUGGAAUCAGUUUUUAAAAACUUUUUCAGUGCUGGGGUUGAACAUAGGGCCUUGUGCAUGCUAGACAAGAAAUCCUUUUUUUUUUUUUUUUUUUGGUUCUGGCAGUUGAACUCUGGGGCACUUGACCACCGAGCCACAUCCCCAGCCCUAUUUUGUAUUUUUUAUUUAGAGACAGGGUCUCACUGAGUUGCUUGCUUUUGCUGAGGCUGGCUUUGAACUCAAGAUCCUGCUGCCUCAGCCUCCUGAGCUGCUGGAUUACAGGGGUGUGCACACUGUGUAUGGAAAGAAAUCCAUUUUUUUGAUGUAGGCAUUUAUUGCUAUAAACUUCCCCCUUAGUACUGUUUUUGCAAUACCCCAAAGGUUUUGGUAUGUUGCAUUUUCAUUUUCUUUUGUUUUAAGAAUUCUUUAAAUUUUCCUUUUGAUUUCUUCAUUGACCCAUUUGUCAUUCAAGAGAAUGUUGUUUAAUUUCCAUGUGUUUGUAUAAUUUGUAAAUUUGUUCUUAUUGAUUUCUAGUUUUAUCCCAUUGUGUUCAAAGACGAUACAUGCUAUGAUCUUGAUUUUUUGAAUUUUUGAGACUUGUUUUGUGACCUAAUACAUGGUCUGUAUUGAAGAAUAUUCCAUAUGCUGAUGAGAAGAAUGUGUAUUCGGUAGCUGUUGGACAAAAUGUUCUAUAAAUGUCCAUUAGGUCCAUUUGGUCUAAAAUAUAAUUUAACUCCAAUGUUUCUUUGUUGAUAUUUUGUCUAGAUGAUCUGUCCAUUGAUGAAAGUGGGGUAUUAAAGUCCCCAGCCAUUAUUGUAUUAGAGGCUAUCUUUUUUUUUUUUAAUAUUUUUUAGUUGCAAAUGGAUAAGUACCUUUAUUUAAUUUAUUUAUAUGUGUGCCAAGGAUCAAACUCAGUGCUUCACAUGCCAUGCCAUGGAUAGGAUAUUUUGGGGUUGACUCUGUUAGGGGCUCUUUGAACUUCCUGGACCUAGAUACCUAUAUCUUUCCCAAGAUUUGGAAAGUUUCAGCAAUUAUUUCAUUGAAUAGAUUUUCUGCACCUUUCUGCUUAUGAAUGGUUGCUUGCUUAAUGGUAUUCCCAUGAGUAUCAGGCUUCAUUCAUUUAUUUAAAAAAAUUCAUUCUCCUUUUUGUAUAACUAGGUUAUUUCAAAAAAAUCCUUCUUCAAGCUCAGAAAUUCCUCUGUUUGCUAGUGUGCUAUUGAGGCUGUCAACUGUAUUUCUUAUUUUACUUUUUUUUUUUUUUACUUGCAGGGUUUCUGCUUCCCUCUUUGUGACCUCUGAUUCAGUGACAGAUUUCUCAUUCUUCAUAUCAUGAAUUGCCUUCCAAAUGGUUGACUUGUUGGUGUUCUCUUGGGUUUCAUUAAGCUUUCUUUAAAAAAAUUUUUUUUUUGUAGUUAUAGAUGAACAGCAUGGCUUUAUUUUGUUUAUUUUUAUGUGGUGCUAAGGGUUGAACCCGGUGUUUCACACGUGCUAGGUAAGUGCCCUGCCACUGAGCUAUAGCCCCAGCCCCUCAUUAAGCUUUCUUAAAUCAUUAUUUUGAAUUCUUUUUUCAGGCAGUUCAUUGAUUUUCUUUUCUUUAUGGUCUGUUGAUAGAGAAUUAUUGUGUGGCUAUGGAGGUGUCAUGCUAACUUGCUUUUUGAUGUUUCUUGUUUCCCCAUGUUGAUAUUUGUACAUCUAAUGGAUUAAUUGCUUCUACCAAUUUUGUAGGGUUUCUUUUGUAGUAAAAGACUUUCUCCUGGUUGUAAGUGCUAGGGUGUUGAUUGGAUAGGCUGUGUUGGUUUUGGUUCCAUGUGGGCCCUGUAGCACACAUAGCUUCUUCAGCUGUAAUCAAUUUGGUGAUACCUUCAGCUGUAAUCAAUGUUGGUGUAAUCAAUGUGGUAUCUUAGUAGCCUAGGCUGCAGCAGUUGUGGGAUUGUACUUAAGUUCUCUUAGAUGGAAUGGGUUUGCUGGCGGCUUUGGGUGCACUUGGCUGUGGGUGUGGCUGCCUGGUAGUUCCUGUGGGUUAUGUGGGGAUGGAGCUGCUCUGGCGGGCCUGUGCAUGCAAGGUGUGACUGGUUUUAGAAUUCUCUCCUUGUUUUGUACUUUUGACAGUUUGCCAUGGACAGACUCUUUUUUGAUUCGAUAUAUUAGGGGUUCUUUGAGCUUCCUAGGCCUAGAUACUUAUCUUUCCAAAGAUUUGGAAAAUAAAAGACUUGUUGCAGUAUGCCUAGUAGUUGGGCACAUGGGCUGUACUCUACUGUUGGGUCCAGGCAGGGUGCCCAUGUGUGUUCAAGAGCCUGGGAUUCACCUGAUUAGGGCAGGCUGCCUGUGUGCUUCUUAGGACCUCGAUGGGCCGCGCUUCUAAGAAUGGACCAUUUAGUUGCUUCUUGGGGCUGCAGCAGGAUGAACUGGGCCUCCUGGCUCCUUCUUAGAGGCCUCAGAAGACCAAGCCACUCAGUGCUGGCUGCCAGGUUACUCCUUGGGGGCUGCCUGGCUGCUUCCAGAGCUGGGUCUCUUGAGUUGCUGAUGGCAGAUGCCAGCUGCUUCACAGGAUCCAGAUGGGAGGAGUCUCAAGAUGGCAUUGUGUAACAGGAACCUUGGUAGGGGAAUGCACAAUGUGGCCUGAGCAAUUUGUUAGUCUGGCAGUUCCCUACACUUGCUCAGUGCUUGUGGGGGCUGCUGGUUUAUCCAAUAAUAUAUGCCUCAGAUGUUUGUGGUAUGAGUGGGAACUGCUCUGAACCUCUGGCUACCCAUUCCUCACCAAGCAAAGUCCUUCUUGAUUCAGGGUUGAUUUUGAGAGAUGGAACAGUAGAUGUUGUAUGCUUAGUUCCCUUCUUUACAAGGCCAUCGUGUAUUUCCGUGUUCCAUAAUCUCUUUCCCACAUCCCUACUCCAGAGCUGUGUCUCAAACACUCUGGUGGAAUAGUGUUUUUUUUUUUUUUUUUUUUGGGGGGGGGGUACUGGGGAUUGAACCCAGGAGCACUUAACCACUGAGCCACAUCCCCGGCCCUUUUUCUUUUUGUAUUUUAUUUAUUUAUUUAUUUGGUAAGCAGCAAAGAGACAUUUAUUGCAAGCUAGCUCGGUCCUCCAUGCACACAGCAACUGGUGACUCUGAGAGGCCCUUUCUAUAUUUUAUUUAGAGACAGGGUCUCUGAGUUUAUUAGUGCCUCCCUAAGUUGUGAGGCUGGCUCUGAACUCACGAUCUUCCUGCCUCAGUCUCCCAAGCCACUGGGAUUACAGGGAUGUGCCAUCACACCUGGCUCAGCUAUUGUUUUUUUGUUUUGGUCCUGUGUUCUGGAGGAAAGCAUCCAGGCACCUCUUGUCAGCUAUCUUGCUGGGCACACUCAUUGGUCUCUUUCUAACACCCCUACCUCCUGUUGUUUUUUUUGUUUUUGUUUUUUGGUACUAGGGAUUGAACCAAGGAUGCUUUGCCACUGAUAUAUAGUCCUAGUGUCCCCCCCCCCCCCGCCCGGCUUUUAAAGUAUGUUUUUAAUUGUCGACAGACCUUUAUUUCAUUUAUAUGGUGUGCUGAGAAUUGAACCCAGUGCCUCACACAUGCUCUACCACUGAGCUACAACCCCAGCCCCCUAGCCCUUUUAAAAUUUUUAUUUUUGAGACAGGCCUCACUAAGUUGACAAGGGUCUUGCUAAAUUGCCAAAGCUGGCCUUAAAGUUGCAAUCUUCCUGCAAUCCUAAAUUGUGGGAUGAUAGGUGUGUACACUGUGCCCAACUAACUCCUCUUCUUGAACCUCCUCUGUUAACUUUGUUGGUGAAAUCUUUAAAAAGAGGCUUUCAUUUCUCCCAUCAUCAGCAUGAAAACUAGCUCUACCUGGAUUUUGAAAGGUUUCCUGCCAUCUUCUCAUCAUUGCCAUUUACCUUGUCUUUUUCUGCUUCUCUUAAUGAUGAGACUUGUUUUCCUGCUUAAAGCUACAUCCUCUAGGAGUUAGCUAUUGAUAAAGUAAAGCAAAAGGUGCAAUUUGGAGCAUAGAUGUUUAGUUUGGCCCUCUUAGUGUUCUCAAAAUGAGAACAUUUCACAUAAAAACUGAAUUUAUGUUUCUCUUCAAGUUGAAUGCCUGUUGGCACUGGUGGACCAGCUGGGUAGCAGCUGCUUUCCUUAGGGUAGGAGAAUUGCAGUUUUCAUAGUCCACCACUCCCUGUUGUUUACACCUGGCCCACUUCGCUCAUUUACAUCCAUUCUUGCCUGUUCCCUGGAGGUAUUUGAUUGACACACCUCUGAGGUAAAUUUUUAUUGUUGUUCUCAAAUUCUAUGGUUAGUGCUUCUGGCAGGGGCUGAGUACCUAGAUUUCAGGUACUUCUGGUGCUUCUGAUGGGGGCUGAGUACCUAGACAAGGUAGUAUUUGUUCUAGAAUGUGGGGUUAGUGCCUGCCUCUAGAAGUCUGAAGUACUUUGGGCUUCCCUCAUUCUAAGGUUCAGAAGACAUGUCCACCUAUGGAAGGGAGCAUUUAUUCAUUCAUUUGUUCAUCCAACUGUGCUAGGCUUGGGAGAUACAGUGAUGAAAGAGACCAAUGCAGUGCUUGCCCUCAGGAAACUUGGUUGUCGGAAUCCUUGAUCUCCAUGUCCUUCUGAUAACCUGUCUUUUCUUUAGUCUCACAAGCACAUCUGCUUUUUUGAUCCUAAUUUUCUUUUGAGCUUAGUUUUGUGCAAUCUUAAAGUUGAAAAGAUAGGAGAAAUUUGAAGGGCCAGGCUACACAGGUGACCACCAUUUCAAACUGACCUGCCUGAAUGAUGGUGUAUUGUGUAAUUACUAUUGAAUGCCACAGCACAGACUCAUCUUACCUGGAACCUAGGACUGCCUAUUAGAUUGCUUAAUAGUAAUGGUUACCAUGUACUCGGGGAUGGUGGCUUACACUAUACUUCCUCAUCUAAUGUAUGAGCUAGAUAUUGUUAUUAUUUCCACUUUACAAAUGUGGAAACUGAGAGUUAGUUAAGAGUUACAAGAAACUGGGAUUCAGACUUAGUGUUAUCUGAUCUAGAGCUUGAGUUCUUAACCAUUGUGCUAUAAUCGGUGCCCUCAUUAUUUGUGAAAUGAUUUGAGGGCCUCUUUUUGCCUAAGAUAUUUUCUGUGAAAUUCUGCCAUCUUAGUUUCAUGCCUUUAUUUCUUUUUAAACAUGAAAAUUCUUGGAAGAGCUGUGCAUUGUCAUCAUCAACACCUUAACACCGUAACCUUUUCUUUGACAGCUAAUUAAAGAUCAGACCCUGAGGGACCCAGGUAAGCAGGAGUUCCUUUCUGGAUCUGGAACACUAUUAGAAGAGAUGCAUGCACAUAGCAUUUCCCAGACAGUGUUAGAGGAGUUGAAAGCAGGAGUUCCUUUCUGGAUCUGGAAUACUACUAGAAGAGAUGCAUGCACAUAGCAUUUCCCAGACAGUGUUAGAGGAGUUGAGAGUUCAAAAUGAGAUCUGUGUGAAGUACUCAGCCCAGGCUUAGGCUUUUUGUAGGACUCCAAGAAAUAUACUUCUUAUCAGGGGAGGAUUUGGGAGAUGGAGAAAAAGUUAUGACAAAGGAAGCAGGGGAGCUGAAACAGACUUGCUGUGUGCUAGUAUGGGUUCCUCUUUGCUCUCCCUAAUGCAAUUUUCCAUAGCUCUGGAACCCUCUCCUUCCAGUUUCCUGAGACCUUACUGCUUUUAUGCAAGAAGAGAUUUCAGAAUGGGAUAGGAAAGAUGGAAGGCCAUGAUGGAGCAAAAUGAAUAAUAUUUAAUGUUUACUGUGCAUCUCUGACUCCUAAAGUCUUGGAGUGCUCCAUGCAAUCCAUCUUAUUACUCUUCUAUGCUCUCCAUGAAGUGGAAGGAAGCUAGUUUUAGGAAGCAAUUUCCAACUUAGGGGCAUCUUACUCCCUCAGGCCAGCUGUAUUCUUACCUUCCCACUUCUUUCAUGGUUUAGAAUGUCACAGGAGUCAUUUUUGCCCUAUUAUAUCUACUGGAAUUGCCAAGGUUUGUGCCGUGUCCUGUUGGGCUGCUUGAUAAUCAGCUGGGCCUCAAUUGCUGGCUUUUGUACAUAUGAGGUGGCCAUUUGAGUCCCUACUCACCCAUUUAUAUGUUUUCCCUUUUAUAAUGUGUGUUUUUUUAAAUAUGGUACUAGGAAUUGAACCCUGAGGCCCUCUACCACUUAGCUACAUCCCCAGCCCUUUUAAUUUGUUUUUGAGACAGGGUCUUGCUAAGUUGCCUGAGUCCUUUAACCUCAGUCCCCUAAAUUUAUAGAAUUAUAGGUGUGUGUCACUAUGCCCAGCUAUAAGUAUUUUUUUUAUUAUUGUUAAUGUAAUCUAUAUGAGUUUUAAACAUUAAACAGUAUAGUAACAUGUCCCAUAGAAAGUAGAAGGCUCUUACUUGCCAACCCUUCUCCCUAGUAUGUUCCUUAAUCCCUGUAAGGUUGUAUGAAAUCUUCUGGAGUUGCUCCUUGUACAUUUGCAGAAAUACCAUAUGAAAGCAUGUGUGUUCAUUUAACCAUAGUGCCUCACACAUACUGGUUCUGAGGCUGACCUUGAAAAAAGAAUUGCAAGUGUUCAGGGGCUGGGGUUGUGGCUCAGUGGUAGAGCGCUCACCUAGCAUGUGCAAGGCCUUGGGUUCGAUCCUCAGCACCAUAUAAAAAUAAAUAAAUAAUAAAUAAUAAAAUAAAGGUAUUGUGUCCAACUACAACUAAAAAUUUAUAUAUAUAAAAGAAUUGUAAGUGUUCAAAUGUGUGUGAGAAGGGGAGAAGGGCAUGAAGAAGAGUGUACCAUGGCAGACUUUUUUCUUUCUCCUUUUCUGACGUCUUAUGUGGACGGUCAUGCCCUGUAUUUUCUUUUCUCAGAAUGAGUUUGCACUGAUCAACUCAGAGAAGAGCAGCACCAAAGAAUCAGAGAGAAAGGAAACCAAAGCAGAGGAGGAUCUGGACACUGAAGUCCUGGAGGUGUUUCACCCGACCCAGGAUUGGCAGGCCCUUCAGCCAGGUACCAGACUCAGUCCUUUCCCCUUGAAUUCAGAAUUCAAACUGUGUAUGUCCUUUGUCCCUGCAGGGCUACAGUAGUAGCCACUUUCUGGACUGCUAAGAAGGAACAGUGUGGUCCAUCAGAGUGGUAGUGUUGCUGUCGGGAUUGGGGAUCUUCUUUCUCCUGCAGAACAGAGUUUGCAGCAUCUGACUACCCGGGAAAGAAAGCAGGUGGUGGGUGGCCAUGCUUUCUGAGCAAGUGAUUGAAAACUUUCUUUCCUUGCACUUCUGAAGCACCGCAGAGGCAGUGACAUGUGCCUUGCUCUGCAAAUGCUAUUUUGGGCUUCACUGCUCAGCUCAGUGCUGCUAAAAUAUUGUUCACAGAGGAGUCCUGAGUACCAGUGUGGGACAGGAGUGUUCUGUUGUUAAAAGAACCUGUGCCAAGAAAAAGGGGUUCGCCCUGGCCUGAUUUUUAAAUGGGGCAUUCUCAGAAGGAACAACUUUCUAACUCUAUCAUGAGCCUCAGUGCAGGGCUUAAUAAUGAAAAUAAUUAGCAAUUUUGGAAUGUUUAACAUAUUCAGGUACUAUGAUAGGUGCUUCAUGUGGAUCAUCUUGUCCAAUAUUUAUAAUAAUGAGAAUUAUUAUUAUCUUAAUUUUCUGAUGAAAACAUUGAAGCUCAGGUAGGUUAAAUAACUUGUCUUAUAAUUGACUCUAGAGCCUAGAUCUGUUCUCCUCUUACUUUUCCUUUCCUGUUGCCCUUGGCUGGAGCACACCAUGUUAACACUUGGGACUAUUUAUUCUCAGGAGUAGGAUGUUUGCAUUCUUCAUUGUGGCAAGGUAGAUGGGAAACCCUGGCAAUGGCCACAGUAUAGUGUCAUCAGCUCCUUGCUGAUAUUCAUCACCAUGUCCUCACUGCCCCCAUUGCUGCUGUGUUGGCAGGGAUAGCAUUUGCUGUGCCAGCCUGCUUUUUCGUAGCAAUAUCAUUCCUGCUGGGCUUGCAUACGGGUAGUUGCUGCCAUGGAAGAGUGAUGAAGCACCAAAGAAGCCAAGUGGGAGCUAAUGGUGUUGGGCAGAGGGAGGCUUAGGAACAGAGAUAUUGGUUCCAGCAGAUCCAACUUCUGACUGCCUUCCCCCAACUUCCCUGAGAACUGAGUCACCCCCGCCCUCCAUACCCUUGGUCCUUGAAAACUAAAACUAGAGAGGCUGUUAAGGGUGUAGAGGGGAAAAUGUGGGCUGUAUUCACUGGUUUUAUGUGGUAUUGCUUGUACCACUUUUAAUCAGGCAAGUGCCUAGAGCAGAUGGAGGCCCCUGUUCUGUGGCCCCCUACUUCCACUUAAUUUGUUCUUGGGCUGAGUCAGUAGCUUCCUUCAAGGCCUUGGUCAGUACUGCAGACAGAAUAAGAUUGAUAGUUCUAACCACAGGCCUUUGCUUAGCCUUUUGGGUCAUGGGACUACUGCUUAUAGCUAAAAACUCCGAGCUGGGCACAGUGGCACCACCUAUAAUCCCAGUGACUCAGAAGGCUGAUCCAGGAGGAUCACAAGUUCAAAGCCAACCUGGGCAAUGUAAAGAUGCUGUUCUACAAUAAAAAAUUUAAAAAGGGGGCUGGGGAUAUGGCUCAAGCAGUAGCGCGCUUGCCUGGCAUGCGUGCGGCCCGGGUUCGAUCCUCAGCACCACAUACAAACAAAGAUGUGUCCGCCGAACUAAAAAAUAAACAUUAAAAAAAAUUCUCUCUCUCUCUAAAAAAAAAAAAAAAAAAUUAAAAAGGACUAGGAUGCUGGGCACAGUAGCUUAUACCUGUAAUCCUAGCAAAUUGGGAGGACGUGGCAGGAGAAUCACAAGUCUAAGGCCAAUCUCAGCAAUUUAGUGAGGCUCUAAUCAACUUGGUGAGACCCUGUCUCAAAAUAAUAAAUGAAAAGGGCUGGGGAUGUAGCUCACUGAUAGGCUGCUCUUGGGUUCAAUCACAAGCAAAGCCAAACAAACAAAUAAACCCAUAUACAAAAAAUAAAGCAAAGACCGUCUAUGUAUCCUUGGGGAGGAAGACCCAGAACCUGUGUGACAAGGAUUUGAGAACCUUCCAGAGAAACUGGAGUGGAACACAGACUUUACAUUUAAUUGAUGCCCCAUUGACAUCACCCUCUAGCUUAUAGUUUCUCAAGAGCUCCUUGUAAAUUUUUAUGCACAAAAUUCCCUUGAAGCUGCUCCAAAGGUUGGUGUUUUGCAGUUCAGUACACUGAGGUCCUGUGCUUGGAGGACAAAGUAAUUCUGGUUCCAGUCAUGUCUGCCCCAUUCACGGAAGAAUGUUUUUCACUAAGCUUCAAGGCAAGGCUCAUGAGAGUGUAGGCCUUUUCAGGUCUCAGUGUCUGACUUGGAGUGAUUCAGGGUCUAUGCUAAAGGGUCAGGAAAGUGGAGGCAGACAAGUGAUUCUUAAGUAUAGGAUUGAGGUGUUUUAUGUGUAUCCUAUUAGGAAAUUGUGUGGAGAGCUAGUGCUUUCAUUCAACUGGAGUAUAAUCUUAAUUCACCUUGUUCCGAAUGCUCUCUGAGAACUUCCAACAAGCUUUAUAAAGGUUAAAAGGAAUGUAGCCAAUCCUGGAAACUUCUUUGAUGGGUAGGUAGGUAAAUGGGGAGGCAGUAUAAUUUAGUGACUUAGGUUCAAAACCUAGCUUUGCUACUUAGGGAAUCUUGGGCAAGUCCCUGAAUCCUUUUGAGCUUUUGGUUGACCUGGAGGAAAUGUCCUGCCCAGCCUGCUAAAGGCUGUUAUGUGGAGUGAGAUGCAAAGCCCUCUGCACAAUUCCUACCAUGAAGGCAUCACUGAGUACACAGCUUUCUAGUUUUCAGUGGUUAAUUCUUCAUUCACACCACCCCUUCAACUCAACUGUGGAAUUGGAUACCAGUGUAAGUACAUGAGCAUGUGAAUUUCUUGUCCCUGUGGCUUUACCUGGGGAAUUUAGGAUGUGAAGGAGAGACUUCCAUGGCUAUGAACUGUCCUUCUGUACUCCUUCAACAGUGAUUUUGAUGAGGGAGUAGGUUAAGCAUGAGCAGAAGGGGUUAGCAGAGCAUUUCUUGCUUAGAAGUCUCUUUGGGGAUCUUUUAAGAAAACAGCAAGUUUAUAUUGACAGUAACUGACCCCCGUCUUGGUUUACCAGUUCAGUACUUUCUGUCCCCUCAGGUCUCUGAAGGGAGAACUGUAGUAUGGUUUUCCCUAGGCCUCCAGGGGAGAGAUACUGGAUACCUGGUCUGUUUUGGUGGUAGGCGGGGCUCAUUUGAAGGCAGAUUUCCAGACUGCCUACUGCACCCUGGCACAUCAGAGGAGCAAACCAUGACUUUGUGGGCUUUCCCACUAGGAAAGGUGGGAAUAGGAUCCCAGCCACAUAGUGCCACAGUAGCUGCAGGUCACUUUCCCAAAGUCUGCCUACUUCUCUUAUGAAUGUCAGCAUUCUCGUUAGUGUUGCUUAUUCCUGGAAGUGAUUUUCCUGUCUCUUUCUUCUUUUUUAUUUUGGGAUCUGCCUCACCUUCUCAGGCCCAGCAAGCAGUUGACUGAAUUCAGCAUCAUCUGUUCACAAGCAAGUAGAGGAAAGCUGUUUGCUGGCAAAUCCUGUUGGCUCUGGGCAGGGAAUUCAUAUAUUUGUCCUGGGGCUGAGGACCCCUGAACACCAGGACUUUAUGCCUGUGCAUUGUUGUUACAGAAUGCCAAUCACAGCCAGGUUCAACAGGGCUGCUGCUCCCUGGAUGUUUUCUGAAAUCCUAUUUUUGUGCCAGGCACUGUACUUGUAGCCAGAUAUAUAGAUAAUAGCUCACAUUUACUGAGCAUUGACUCUGCCAGGCAUUCUUUGAGGGCAGAUGCUAUGACUAUCCUUAUUUUUACAGUCAAAACUGAGUUUCAGAGAAGAAAUAACUUAGCCAAACAUCUAAUAAAUGGCAGAGUCAGAAUUCAGACCCAGUCAUUUGACUGUAGGCCCCAACUACUAGCCACUUGGCAAUGCUGUCUUUUGGGGAGCAAAAAGGACAUGAUCUAUUCCCUCUAAUAGCUUAUUAUCUUGCACAGGAUACACAGAUGUGGAAAAAAAGACAAUGAAAGCAUUUUCAGAUGUCCUGGUUGUAGUGUUUUAUGUUCGGUGAGUGCACAGAGAAUGGUGUGGCAAGACCAGCAGGGCCUUCUGUUUAUCCCUGAGAUCUCAUUGGGGCCCCGCAAGACAGGGUCUCACUAAGUUGCUUAGGGCCUUGAUAAAUUGCUGAGAUUGGUCUUGAACUUGUGAUUCUCCUGUCUCAGCCUCCUAAGAUGCUGGAUUACAGGUGUGCACCACCAGGCACAGCCUGCUGUUCUCUUUUUGAUCUCUGUCUCCUUGAUCAGGUUCCUCAGAAUCUCUGAACCUUCAUUUCCUCAUCUGAAAAUAGAGAUGAAAAUGUCUACUUCAUAGAGAUUGUGUGAGAAUGAAAUAAGGUUAAUAUGUAUAAGCUAUUUGCAGAGGGCCUGACGCAUAGGACAUAUUCAAUAAGUGGCUGUAGUUGUCAAUUUAAAAAAUAUAUCUUUGCUACCUCUCUUUCCUUGGGGACUUGGAGGAGAAGUGGAGAUGAGGACGCAGCCUGGGCAAAGUCCCGCUUGUCCUGUCAUUCACCAAUGCUGCAUUUUGGCCCCAUGCAGGCUCAGAGAGUGUAGCCAGGCUCAAACCUGGGAUUCUUUAUUGACCUUAUCUGACUUCCAGGUGGCUGUGAGAGUCUCUGAAAUAUUGGCAUUAGCACAGAGAGUCCACUUGAUGGAAGCAUGCAGGAAGCCUGUGUAGGAACACGUUCAUAUGAGGGGGAAAAAAAGGAAAAGAAAAAAAAUCAAAUCAUCAACAACUGAUGAGAGCAAUCCAAGAAUUAUAGAGCACCAGCCAUCUGGUCAGAUCAUUUCAGAUCUGCACGAGCAAUAAGAGGGAAUUGAAUUUUAAAAACCUCAUUUAUAGUAGACCAACUACUCUGGUUUCAAGUAUUUAAGAGAGAAGCCUGAUUUCCUGUAGGCCCCGGACAUCUGUCUUAAGAAGCACCUGACUCUGGUCUCCUUGACUCUGCAGGACUGUCUCUGUGGGGCUUUUGGCCCCUUAUAGCAUUGGAGAGGCCGUGUCGUUCAUCAGUCCUCUGACACCAACUGGGUGUCCAAGAAAUCAAUUCAAUUUUGAUAUUAUGUAUUGGGAAUUAGUGUCAGAUCCACAGCUUCAAUGGCUAGGCCCCAUAAGACUGCUCUUGUUUCAGAUACCAGUUUCAAAUCCUAGGCCAGCUGUCCUUCUGAUUGCAUAUAAUAAUGAGGAUUCCCAUAAUACUCUCUUCAGGUUUGAUAAUUUGCUAGAAGGUCUCACAGAGCUCAAGACAAUACUCACAUUCCCCCAUUUAAAAAAAAUAAAGAAUGUAACUCAGGAAUAAUCAAGGAGAUGAGAUGCAUAGAGUGAGCUAUUGGAGUGGGUACAGGGGCCACUGGCAGAACUUUCAUGCCCUGUCUUUGAGUGUGCCACUCUUCGGCACUUUGGUUUAUUCACCAGCCCUUCAGACCAACUAGAGUCAGGAAGCCCUGUGUGUAGAGGCCUUAAUGGAAGUUUCAGUGAUUAAUUAAAGCAUUGGCCAUGGAUGAUUUAACCAAUCUCCAGCUCCCUGUCCUCUCCAGAGGUCAAGGUAGGGCUUAAAAUUCCAGCCCUAAUCCUGGGUUGAUUUUUCUGAUGAACACCCCUAUCCUCAGCUUCACCUAAGGUCUACUUCAUUAGUAUAAUGAGGUAUGGUUGGAAGGUGCUUGUUGUGAACAAAGGACACUCUUUUCACUCAGGACAUUCCAUAGAUUUUAGAAGCACUCUGCUAAAAGCCAGGAACAAAGACCAGAUAUAUUUUUUAUUAUGCCAUACAUUGCAAUUGAGGUGAGACUAAAAGACAAAGCUUCUAGUACCUUUUACUAUCUCCCCAGCUCUGUGGUUGAGAGGCAGUUGACCAUCCUCCCCUAGCCUAGGGGGAUCAUCCAUGUUGUCUCAUUUCCCAGAAUGGUUUUCAGGAGCAUGACCUCUUCUGUCCUACCUUCACACACAGUUUUACACACAAGCCCCCAGCAGCCCAUGAACAGUAUGAGUAGUGGGUAGGAAAGAGUUGAUGUUAAAGGCAGUUAAUACCUGAAUUCCUUUGGCUCAUCAGAGUAGGGCAGUUGGGCCUUUUGGCUGUCACCAUGAGAUAAUGGCCUGAAAGAAGGGUAUAGGGAUCUGUGUUGGAUGAUCUUCACUCUGGCUUAAACAGUACCAAAAAAGUGGGGGCAGGGGCUCGACAGAGGAAACAGUGUAAUUUUGUGUGGUGAUCUGCCUCCUUUCUUGAACACAAAUUGCUAUUUCCAGCAACAAUUCAGAAUGAGAUGUUCAACAGAGUUUAUCUUCAGUGCUGUCUCCUUCUACACAGUGCCUUCCCUAGUUUGAGGCCUUUCAAGUCUUCUGGGGAUUCCAUGAUAAGUGUAUUUGUUCCUCUCCUACCUGUACUUCUGACCUGUCUCCUCCUAUAUUACUGCCAUAUCCCCCUUUGCUAUGCAUUCUCCACUCUGAACAUCUUCUUUGCUUCUUUAUUUAAAUUUUUUUUGUAGUUGUAGAUGGAUGAAAUGCCUUUAUUUAUUUAUUUUUUUUUAUGAUGUACUAAGGAUCAGUGCCUCACACCUGAUAGGCAAGUGCUUUGCCACUGAGCUACAUCCCUAGCCCUCUUCUUUGCUUCUUGACAAGGUUGAGAGGAGAAAUCACUUGGAGGAAGGAUGAAUGCCAGACCUCUUGAGGCUGGCAAAUUAUGCUGUACUGGGAGACAAAAGGAUAGUGGGCCUGGAAUAUAUGAAAUUCCCAAAAAGCUCCAUGAAGACAGAUUAGAUCUCUUCAUCUCAAAGAGACUUUAUUCCUUAUGAAUGGAGGUUUCUUCACUAGUCUUCCAGGAUGGUUAAUGUUGCCCCUUGGGAGGCAAAUCUCAUAGGCCCCUGAGGGAGCUGGCAGAGGUCCAGGCAGGAAGGCCUGCGCCCUCCAUGCAGUUGUUGCCAAGGUUGGGAGCAUAGUGAGGCUGGUUGAGCUCUGCACUGGCACCAGAGUAUCAGCCUGGGCUUUGGCCUUCAUUACUUGGAUGAGACAGUCUGUGUCCAGUUUGUGAUCUGUGGAUUUGGGUGAUAUUGGGAGCAGCUAUUUGCUACCUUCUUUCUAACAAGUAUUUGUAUGCUUAAUGCUCACCCCAAGGCCUUCAUCCUCCCAUUCCUCUGCUUGUGUUCUCACUGAGGUUCAGUCUAUAGUACUUAGCAUUGUGGCACAGCCUCAGCUUUCAAAUGUUAGCUCCCAAAAUGGCUGAGAUGAAAAACUUAGACCUAGUAGGGAUGAUGGAAAACUAGCUGCCAAAACCAAUCUUGGCCUUCAAAACCAAAACUUGGAUUUAGUUCAGAGAACCUAUGUAGCUCUGACUUUCCUUCUUUCUCUAAUAUUGGCUUUAUCCUGCCAGCUGAGAUAGGCCAGACCAUCUCCAAGGUUAGGACUAACCAGGGCUAACCAGCUCUUAAGGAGCUGGAGUGAAAAGUCCUUUUCUAGAACAUGUUACAUUCUUAGUUUUGUUAGAGCAUUUGAGGUAAACAUUGAUCUGUAACUUAGAGGGUAUAAUAUUUGACUAGGUAGAGAAGGAGGGAAGGAAGAUUGGGACAAGGUAGGAAGGAAGAGUGUGUGUGUGUGUGCUGGUUAGAGGGAGUGACAGAAGAUAAGGAUGGCUGAAAAACCAGUAAAUACAAAGGUACAAAGUAAGUAUAAUCUGUAAGUCUGUCACUCAGUCCAGCCAAGGAUUAUGCUAGGAGAGGAGGAAAUGAAGAAUGAUGUAAACACCUGGGUUUGAAGAGUUUGAUUUUAAGUGGAAAAAGAGAACUAAAAUGGUAAUUUCAGAGAUAGCCACAUCAAAAAACUGGUUUCAUGUUCCAUUUGUUGAACUCCUACCAUGUUUCAAGUAUAGUGCAUGCUGCUGGAGAGACCAUGGUAGGAAUGACUGAGGGGGUUUUUGGAUUGAGAAGAAUCUCAGAUAGGAGUAUGGAUCAGUGACAACACAGGGGAUCUUGAAGGAAAGGCUCCCUAGAGGCAGGGUAACUGAUGCUGCUUGUAGAGAGCUUUUGAAUGUGUUGGAAGGCAGCAGGGGAGGGAAUCAAGUGUUUACAGAGAGAUUUAAAAUCCCAGAGAGGAGUUCAUUGAUGGGGCAAAGUUACUUAGGUGACAUAUGGAAAAAGUCUUGGCCUCACGGAUGGAAUUAGCCUUAGAAAUUAGAGCAGAGGCUGGAAGUAAACAUUGAAAGAUGGCAGAAAUGUAUAGGGAAAUUGAGGGUACUUCCUUUAGAGGGCUUCAGUUUUCUGAGCAAAGCUGAGGGUGGGCUUUUUGCCUUGGGUGAUGAAAAAGGGUAUUUGAGAAAUGGAGUGUUAACAAGAACCAGUGUGGUUGGGUGUUUAAACAACUGAGAGAUCAGAAUUCAGCAUCACCAGAAUCAGGAAGGACCCUGACAGUUUGACUUUUUGGUGGAUCAGGACCAGGAGUUUAGUCACAUUCUCAAGCAAUCUGAGCUCUGGACAGUGGGCAGGUAAAUGGUAGAAUAGCUGGAAUCUGAGAAAUGAUGGGCAGAUCAUUCCAGGGACUCACUGGAUUAUCUGUGUGUCAGGUGAGGAGGCCUUUGUCUGGCCUAUGGGGCUUUGUGAGGAAGAAGGCCUGUUUUUUUUUUUAAGUUAGCUGGAGAGCUCUGUGGAAGUUCUUUUGAACCUGCUUCCCUUCUGAAGACAGGGAACAUCCAAGGUCAGGGUGGGUGUGGCACCCCACUAGCCAGUGAUCUUCUACAGGCUUGAAAAGAACCAGAACAAAGCAGGGCUUUGUGUACAGAGGCUCUGUAAGUUUUUCAUUACUUGUGCUUUAUUUGGGUUGAUUAUAUUUCUGUUCAUGUUGGGGAUUUGUUUUGUUGUUGUUCAUAAAUUCAUUGGUGUUUGAUCUUGCCUUCUCAUAAUAUGUUGAUUCAGGCAAACAAAGCUUGCGUUUUAUUUUAAUUUUUUUAAAUUCCCAGAACAGUCUGUUUAUGGUUUGUAUAAUGCAGUUGUUUGGAAGAGGAGAACCAUUUCUUUGGAUUAAAAAUUUUUCAGGUUCGAUUACCUGUGGCUGUAAUUAGUUUAUCUGGGCAGAGGUGAGUUUUUAUGGAAUAGUAAUACAGUAUUUUUAUAGUUGUUUUUGCCUGGGGGGGUGGAGAAAGAAAGCUAUAUCCCUUUUUCCCACUCCAGCAGUCCUCUGAAUGCUGCACAAACAUCAUUUUGUUAACUUCUCUCCCAUCAUUUCCUGAUUUCUGCCAAGUUGGGCUUUUAGAUACAGGAGGAAAGCUUGUCUAGUAUUGUGUGGCCAAGAAUGAUUGCAGGGAAUAAGACCCAGGAAUUCUAGUCUAGGAGUUGGAUGGGGAAGAAAAGAAAACUAACAUUUUCCUUUUUGGAACUCCCUUUAUGUUAGGUGACUUAUGUUUAUUCUUUAAGGGAGUGUUCAAGAUAGUCCUUAAGGGAGUGGUUGCAUUUAUUCUAGCUGCUCCAUUUUGGUUUUCUAGAGUGGCCUGAGUACAGAGUGUGUGUGUGUGUUUUCUUUUUGGUACUGGGAAUUGAACCCAGGGAUGCUUUACCAAACUACAUUUCCAACUGUUUUUAUUUUUUAUUUUGAGACAGGGUCUCACUACUUGCCAGGACUUGCCUUGAACUUGUGAUCCUCUUACCUCAGCCUCCCAGGGGCUAGGAUUACAGGUGUGCACCACUUACUGUAUCUGGCUACAGUGUGAUUUGAGGACUCUUAGCUAGCUUUAGAUCUCUCUGUUUUAGACUGAAGAUGGAGAGGCUGAGGCAUUAUUCCCUAAAGACCAUUAGCAUUUCAACUUCCAAUGUUUAAUCACAAGAGCUAGGUGAAGAUACCUUAGAGUUAGGUGUAACACUGUUGAUCUCAAAGGGGAGGAGCUCUUUCUUUUACAAAGAAAGUAAUAAGCAGUAAUAAGGGUAGCCAGAUGAAAUGUGUGAUUUACCAGGAUCACUCUUUAAAAAAAAUAAUCUCUUGAACUUUAAAAUAAUUUUUUAAAAUUUUACUUGUAGAUAGACACAAAAUCUAUUUAUUUACUUACUUAUUUGUUUUUUUAUGUGGUGCUGAGAAUCAAAUCCAGUGCCUCAUAUGUGCUCUACCACAGAACCUCAACCCCAGCCCCUAGGAUCACUCUUAAUGCUGGGUUUGGGAGAUGCCCCUUGGAAGGUGAAGAGAAAUAAAAAGUCAAAAGAAAACUAAAACUUUUUCAUCAAUUUAUUGACUUCCUCUGACCCAGCUUAUACAUGUCAGUGAGAGUCUUGGUUUUAUAGAGGCUGUAUGAAGUGUUCUUUUCUCUCUCUGAUUUCUACAGUGUCAGCCCCUCUCUCCUUUCCCUUCCCUUGUACCCUACUUUUUCUUCCUCCUUUCCUCUCUUGCUAUGAAGACUUCUACCUGCAGCCAAGUGGCAGGUGGCAGGGAUGGAUAGUGGGGAUGUGUAUAGCUAGGGGAAUAUUUUCUCAAUUCUGCUAGCUUCAAACAAAUGACUUCCAAACCAAUUCUUUGAGCCAUGUAUUUCGCUGAUCAGUCGGAAUAAGAGGAAAAACAUUGCCAGAGAGGGGAUUUGGGAAAAAUCAAGUCUGUGGAACUGAGUUAUCUAAAGUCAUAGAAUUAAAAACAAAUCCUGGAGUGCAGCUGGAGUUCUUUCCAGCCUGUCUCCCACUCCUGGGUCCCUUGAUACCUCUUCCCCAAUACUAUAGGAACAGUUUGCCCAAAAAACUUCUUGCUAAAGAGGCAGUACCAACUUGAGUUGCCCAUUGUUAGUUUUUUUCUGGGCAUGACAUGGAGAAGAAGCAAUCCUAGAGGUUUUUUGUUUUGUUGUUGUUCUUUUCCUCCAUUUUAAAUUCUGUGACCUCCAUAUACUCAUAUACUUGCAAAGAAAGGCCUUGGAAAAGUUCUCUUGAGUUAAGCAUACCUCCAUGCUCAUAUAUUUUCCCUGUUGCCUAGUACCAGUCCAGAGUGAGGUCUCCGAGAACAAUGGCCUCUUCUUUGUUCUUAACCCAGAACUGUGCUUCAUGUCAAGAGGAAGAAGUCUCUGGUUAUAUGGGCAGAAUUUAGAAAUUAAAGUGGAAACUUUGUCUCCUUUGGGAAAAAAACAAAACAACACAGCCUAGAAUGCUCUUUCUUCAGUGAGUCAAGUCUUUGAGAGAGCGAAUGGCCAGAGGGCAGAGCCAAGAGUGUAUUUUCAUGUUUGGUUACAGUUGCAGACUAUAUGGUAUGUAGAAUGAGCCUAUCUGGGUUCCCAUCUUGACUGUGUCUUUUUUUUUAAAACAUUUUUUAUUUUUUGGAAGUGGUUGGAAACAAUACCUGUAUUUUAUUUAUUUAUUUUUAUGUGGUGCUGAGGAUCGAACCCAGGGCCUUGCAUGUGCUAGAGGAGCUCUACCGCUAAGCCACAAUCCCAGCCCCUUGACUGUGUCUUUUAUGGCUAGGUAACCUUAGGCAAGUUACUUAAUUCCAUUAAGUUUUAAUCAAAUCUGCCUAUCUGUAAAAUGGACAUAGCAAUAAUAUCUACUUCAGGCUGGGGUUGUGGCUCAGUGGUAGAGCGCUUGCCUAGCAUGUGUGAGACACUGGGUUUGAUCCUCAGCACCACAUAAAAAUAAAUAAGUAAGUAAAUAAAUAAAUUAAAAGUAUUGUGUCCAUUUGAAACUAAAAAAAAUUACUUCAGAGGGCUAUUUUAAGUAAUAAAUAAGAUAAAUGUGAAGAGUUUACUGCAGUGUUAGGUCCAUAAUAAUGUGUCAAUAAAUGAGACAUAAUCUGCAGAAUAAUCAACUGAUACUCUUCGACAAUGUCCAGCUCAAGAAAGACAAAGACUGAGGAACUAUCACAGAUUGGUGGAGACUAAGGAGACGUGCCAACUAAAUACAGUGUGGUAUCUUAGAUUAGAUUCUGGAACAGAAAAAAAAGUGGAAAAAUUAUUGAAAUUCAAAUAAAGUAUAUAGUUACUACUGUUAAUGUUAAUUACUUCAUUUUAAUAAUUGUUCUGUAGUUAUGUAAGAUGUUAUCAGAAGAAUCUAGGUGAAGGUUAUAUCAGAACUCUAUACUUAUUUUUGCAAGUCUACAUUUAUUUCAGAAUAAAAAAUUAAAAUAAGUGGAUGUCUAGGUGACCUGUAAGGUGAAAAAGAACCUGACCAGGAUGUAUCAUGGCCUUGGCAUAGCAGGUGACCUCUGACUGGGUCUCACCUCUCAUGACAGAAUGAGGGGCCCUGAUGCUGGCCUUUUCAGCCCCUGCACACCUGCUGCAUCUUGAGGAGAGGUCUGUUCUCGGCAGAUAAUUGACCAAAUAAUAAUGUAGACAUACACCCCAGGUCUGAUCCUAUAGUAAUUCCAUAUAGCAGUUGAGGAGGAGGCCAUUCAUUUGGCAUUAGAACUCUAAAGGACUGAGUGAUCAGGGCACUUGUCUCUGUUCCUAGGAAUUUAAAUGAAAUUCUGUCUUUUUUAUCUCUCAAUCUAAGCACCAAUCAUUAUGGCAAUAUGUUUUAUGAUUGCAAUGCGUACUCCUACGCUCACUGUUUGAUCAUCCAGAAGAAAGAAAAAUAAGUUCAAACCCAGCUUUGCAAUAAUUUAUUAUUUUCUUUCCUAUUUUAAGUGCCUUGCUCUUGUACAAAGAAGGUAUUUUGCUUGCUUUUCUUGAACGCAAAGGGUACAUAUGCUUUUCUUAUGACUGAUGUGACCAUUCCUGUCAUGCUAAUAGCAGGGUUUGUAGAAGAAAGCCAUUAUUGGGAGCAUGUGAGUCUUGGGAGUUUUUAUUUUUGCAUUGAAGUCAACUGUGUGUAUGUGUGUGUGUGUAUGUGUUUAUGUAUGUAUGUAUGGGAAGGCAGGUCUGGAAAGUAUACAGUCUUCCAUUGUAGCACAUAACUCCUUACAAGGAUUUACCUUCAGAAGCCCAUAUUUUCUAAGUUAAAAAGAAAUCAAUGCUAAAAAGAAUGUUCUUUGUAUUUUAACUCAGUGGCUAAGGCAUACUGCUUUUUGCUAUUGAUUUACAAAUUUUAUUGUCAGACCUUUGGGACCCAUAUGGAUUACUCAAUACUGUGACAAAUGGCUCGGCUUUGAAUUAUGUAUUGUAUUACAGGGGAGUUCAUAAACCAUAUUUCUCUAUAGGUUAUUUUAGGCAUAAGAGUAGUGAACUGUCAUUUCUCUUUUUGUUACAUGGGACUAAAAAAGAAAUGUGGGGAAUGGUUAUGGGAGGAAGAAGUAUCUGGCUUAAGAUCGAACAAUAAACCACCCCUGAGAACUUGUGGAGGCAGAAGCUAGAAGUGGACAGACCUUGGGUAUGGAUUGGGAGCAUUGGGAGCACACAGGUAGAGGAGACAGAAUCUGCUGGAAAUCAAACCUUUUGCUGCACCUUUGCUUAGGCUAGAGCCCCAGUGGGGAGAUGAGUGUCCCCUGUUGUGGGCUUCUGAGGCCCAAGUUCUGAUCCCUGAGUGGGCUUUCCGUGCUUUCUCCCCACACAGCCACUUUUGUUGAUGGAUGUGCAAACCCUUUACAGACUGUUUGGCACUGCUUGGCUUGCAGAGAUCAGCUGUCUCUUUUGAAUGAGCAACUUUAUGUUUGCAACUCCUUUUCCCGGCACAAAGCAAUUGCUCUGUGCCGGCUUCUGCCUUCUGAUGGAAAUGUUUACCUUCCCCAGGGAAAGACACUAUUCUUUGGGGUUAGUGUCUGCUGGUGCUCCCUGCCCCUUGUAGGAGCAGAUCCUGAGCUAAAGUGUGGACAGGAGGAGGAGGUUGUUGGAACGUGUAUGAUUGCCAUUGGGGCAGCCAUCUGCUACUGUUGCUGCUUGCAGUCUGCCUGUGAGCAGGCCGCAGGGAGGUAGUGUCUGCACUCCAGGGCCUGCAUGCAUUAUGCACAGCCCAUUCCCUAAAUGAGCUUCCUAAGUGUAUAUAACUCCUGCCUACCCUAUUCUUGUAUGGCCUGCUUCAGGGCACCAUUCAGAAUCUCCCCUAAUUAUGCUUCUAGUGACGAGCAUGUAGAGUUACUCGUAAUAGCUGGAUUUUUUUUUUUUUUUUUUGGAUAGAUUUCUAAAAUUGCAGUGAGGGAUUGAUUUAUGGUUAUGGCAAGAUUUCCUUUUUACAGGGAAGUUAUCAUCACUGUGAUGAUUUUGUUUCAUGGCAGUGAUAUUUCGACUCCAUCCAAAGCCACAGUUUAACCCCCCCUGGCCUGUCUAGCUUCUUCCAGAAUGAAUCCCCUAUAAUUUGAAAAGCUUGUUUUACCAUUAGAAUGAAAUUUUGUGCUUCCAGUUGCAGACCACCACCUUCUCCACAUGUCACCCCUCCUCCCCUCCUUCCCUUCCUGAGAUGGAGGAGUUUUUCACAUGCUGCUUAGAAAAAGGAGAUUCAUAACAUGACUCAGUCCUCACCCACAGAUCUAGGAUUCCUGCCAUCCAGUAAAUUUUGGCAGAGGCUGUAUGUGUAAAGAGCAAGUUCUGCCUCCUUAUCCCUGCACUGUUCUCCUCAUUGCGUAUGCCUCUUGGGUGGAGUCUGGCUUCUCAUUACCUCUUCUCUCCCUCCCAAGAAAUGCUUCUUUCUCUUUAGUGGUUGACCUCUAGUAGUUGGACAGUCUCAUGAAUCCCAGGGACUUCACGGGGAGAUUCAUGGGAAGAGUUGAAGGACUGUUUGAGUAUUUGUGCUUACCACUGUGUUAAGGUAUUAAGUACAGUGAGGGGAUAGUAGACUGCCUUGACCUUAAGCACCAUAGUCCACCUGGGAAUCCAUUCAGCCAAAAAGUUUGGUAGUUUCAUCAGUUACUCACAAAGUCUGGAUGUAUGUGUCUGUUAUUACAGUGUUGGCAUAUUAAAGUCAUUAAGGCCUCACUAGCACUAGCUGAGGUGUUAUUGAAAGUAAGAUACUGGUGACAUUGGACUUGCCUUUGCUCUGUGGUAAGGAAGGGGGAAGGAAAAGAAACAUUAGGUUCUAGAAAGCCUUGGUCUAUGAAGAUUUGCUUAAGCUUUAAUUUCUUCUCACUUAUUUCCUUUCUUUCUUUCUUUUUUUUUAAUAACUGUAUUUAUUUAGUUAGUUAAUUAAUUAAUUUUUAUGUGGUAUUGAGGAUCGAACCCAGGGCCUCACACAUGCUAGGUGAGUGCUCUACCACUGAGCAACAACCCUAGCCCCUUCUUACCUACUUCCAUAGAAGAGUCAAAAGAACCCUGAAUAAGAGAGCAGAAGGCAGAAUGGGACUUUGAGGACUAGUGGCAAUGAGAAACCUGAGGGAGCACAGGAAUGGAUGAGGGAGAGCAAGCAAUCACAUGUGAACGUGUGCAAGAGUGGGAGAGAUUUUGGCUCACCCAGCUGUUAGGACAAGAGAAAGGAGUGACUUCCUCAGCCUGGCUAACAAGGGAGACUGUGCCAUGCUGGGCCACUGCUGGCACAGUCCAGGGAGCUGUGAGGCCCCUGAGGAGUCUAUUCCCUAGGUGUAUUGUCACUACCUUCCUUUUCACAGAGCCACACAGCUAAAGGUCCUGAGCCAUAAGGUCCUGGUCCAAAGGGGACCAACACAUAGGGAGAAACUUAAUAUAAAUCUGGACCAAACCAGAUGUGGCUUCUUUUCAGCCUGUCCACUGGGAAGCUCCUGUAGUAACUGCAUGUAUGUAGUAUACUCUGUGAGAUAGAGGUGUUGGGAGCUGAGCCUCUCUUUUUCAUUCUGGCCUUUGUGAACUUUCCUCACUAUUUCUCGUCUCAGCUAACUGACCUGUUUGAAGGUUCUGGAACCUUCCUAGGCCUGCAGGCUUCCCAGGGCUUGGCAAAACAAGAUCUGUCGUAGGACUGCAUUUAUUAAAUGUCCUUCAAAACGACUUUCCUGGAGUUCCUUAGUGUUCAUGGGAGCCUCUUCUGGGUGCUAGUUUCCCUUGAGCUUCAUGUUUGUGCCAACUCCCACAUGAUUUCUGUUUUUCAUUCUACACAUGGUUGAUAAUGAUUUUGGGGGAAGGGAGUAAGGAUUUACCUUCCUCUGCACCAGAAGUGCAGUGCUGCUAAUUUCAUUCUCUGCACUCUGUCUCUAAGUCUGGCAAGGUCCUCUGUGCCUGUGUUUAGUACUGCUGUGUUGCUGGAUUCUCAUGGCAAAAAUUAGGCUAAUGUCUCCAAUGACUGCAUUAGCCAGUGAAAUGAGGUUCUAAAUUGAAGGUACUACACCAAGCCUCUCUCCAAGGCAUGGCCUUGUUCUGGCUUUUAUUAUUCAAAUUCAUUCUCUCAGUGAUUCUCUGCAGAUUGACUGGCAUACUGGUUCAGUGCAACACAUUAUCUAGCUGAAAGGCAAGAUCACCUUUUAAGAGGGAGAAAGGAAAGAAAAAAGGCAAAAGAUGAAUACUGUGGUUCGGAGACAGCAUAUCUAUUAUAAAAGCUCCGAAUGGGCCUGUGUGAUGCCCAGAGGUAGGAGAGAAAGGGCCCAGUUCUAGAUUGAUGGUGGGGUGACAUCAUUACAUUAGUGGGAUCUGUGUCGUCUUAGUUUGUCACAACUUCUUCCUUCCCUUUCAUGUUUACUGAGCAUCUAAAUAUUUGUCUAACAGGGUGUUGAGAAUUCUGAGGUGGGAGAACACGACAGGAUCUUUCUCUUAAGAAGCUCUUUUGCCCUGAAGUCUCAUUGGUUUUCUUCCAGUCUUCACAUUGGGUAUGUGGCAAUUGAGAGAGUGAAAAAAGGGAUGGACCGUAGGAAUUUUGUUUUGUUUUGUUUUGGCUAUAGGGGAUUGAACUCAGGGGUGCUUGACCAUUGAGCCAUAUCCCCAGCCCUAUUUUGUAUUUGAUUUAGAGACAGGAUCUCGCUGAGUUGCUUAGCGCCCGGCUUUUUCUGAGGCUGGAUUUGAACACCCAAUCCUCCUGCCUCAGCCUCCUGAGCUGCUGGGAUUACAGGCCUGCGCCACCACGCCCAGCAGGGAUGGACCUUAGGAUUCCUGCAUUUUACACUGGAUACAUUGGAAGUAGGAGACUGUUGGCAGUCAGAUGUCUAGACAUAGUUGAGAAUUUGGCUCUUAUGUUUAUUUAAAUUUUUUUUUCAUCUGCUGAGUAAUAUGUUUUUAGAGCAAAAAACUUGGAAAAUAUAGAAAAGCAGAAAGGAAAACAAUAACAAAAACAAAUUCAUCCAAAUUCCGCUAUGAGAUACAAAAUUGACGUUACAACUAUGUUCUUAUUACAUCUGUGUUCUUAUUGCUAUCACACUGUACUUACUAUUUGAGGUUGAUACUUUCCUUUUGAAAAGGAGGAUAUUGAAAGAGCCUCUGACAGAUUAUUAGGCAUACUGAACAUUUUCUGGAUGUUGUAUAAAUACAUCAAAUUAUACUAAAUUGAUUAUUUUCAUUGUACACAUGAUGGCUUCCAGUUUUUCACUGUUGUAAAAAAUUCUUCACUGAACAUCCUUCUAUAUAUUUUUAUAUAUUUACGGACUGUGUUCUUGGAAAGUAUUUGCCAGAGUAGAAGGGCUUGUCUUUUCUGACUCUUUUUCUAGCAUCUCAGCAGAACAACCUCUUUUCUGGACUGUUUAGAUAUCACGAGGGUAAUGAGUAUCUUACCACUCUUACCACUACUCAGCAUCACACAUCCAAUGUCCUGGGAUUUUGUCUCUCCGUGGUCAUUGAAUAUGUCUCCUUUGACCAGAAAAUAACUGGCUUCAAAUAAGUGGUCAGCAAGUGAUACACAUGUUUGUACCAAGAUUGUUAGGUACCCAGGGAUAGGGACAUUGUCAUCAACCUCUUUGAUGGUGAACAGUUAUUGAGAGCCUGCUUAUUCAUGUCUAACCCAGUACCACAUAGAGGAGAGAUACAAAAUAGGCCCCUACUUUAAGGAUCUUACUGCUUGAUUGGAUAAUAGAGUUGACAUGAAACGAUCCACACUGGAUUAUCAAAUGCCUGCUGUAUGGUACAUAUUUUUGGGGAAACAGAAAAUAUUGAUGAUAUGCUCUUUUUCUUCUUCUUUUUAAAUAUUUGUUUAGUUGUUGAUGGACCUUUAUUUUAUUCAUUUAUUUAUAUGCGGUGCUGAGAAUUGAAUCCAGUGCCUCAUACAUAUGAGGCAAGCCCUUUAUCUCUGAGUCACAAUCUCUGCCUUGAUAUGCUCUUCUUCUUAAAGAAAGCCAUGGUAUCUAUAGGUAGGUGAUAAAUAUCUAGUCAUACAGACAGAAAAUGUUAGAGGCUGAGGGUUUAGUAAUCAUUUGGGUAGUAGGGCUGUAUUGGAGAAGAAGCACAUUCAUUGUGAGUCAGAAUAGUAAGAUAAAUUUGAGAGAGAAUAUAGAACAUUAGUUGUGACUUAAAAAGAGCAUCAUUUGAUGAGGUGGAGUGGAAAGAGUUUUCCAUGUGGGAAGAAUAUUUUGCAAAGGGGUGGUGGCAAUAAUAACUGUCUAAUGAUGACUACCAGGUGUACAGCAGCACGGGGCAGAUUGGGAAUAGAGAAUUUCAGAGAGAAAAGAGUGUUAAGGUUGUAUAUUGAAAAUUCUGAGAGUUAAUGAGAUCUAGAGCUGUGCUAGGUACACAGUAGAAAAAAACAUGCUAACUCUGCCUCUGAUUAAAGGGUGGUAAAGAAGUCUUGAUUUCCCUUAGGGCCAGAGUGCCUCCAGGCUCAUUCCUUGGACCUCUGCUCUUCUCUAUCUACACUGUGUCCUCAGUGGUAUCAUCUAGCCUAAAGGCUUCACAUUCUAUCUGUAUGCUGAUGACUCCUAGAUUUUUUUUUUCUUUUUUAAAUCUCCAAACCUGACUUCUCUGAACUCCAAAGCCAAUGCCUAUUAGACAACCUCUGCUUGGAUGAGCAUACAAAUUUAAUAUGUCUAUAACCGAGCUUCUGUAAUUUUCCCCACCUCAGUUAAUGGCAACUCUAUCGUUUCAGUUACUCAGGUCAAAAUUUUUACAGCCAUUCUUGAUUAUAUUCUUUUUCUAACACCCCGCAUUCUGACAGCAAAUCCUAACAGUCCUGUCUUCAGAAUAUACCCAAUUUGACCACUUCUUAUCACCAUUCCUAGCCAUCAUUAUCUUUCACUUGCAUUAUUGUGGUGGACUCUAACAGCCUCCCUCCUCCUGCCCUUGUCACCAGCAGUUAUUUCUCAACACAGCAGGCAGAGAUCUUCUUAUCAUGUCUUCCUGUGCUCAAAAAUAUCCUUUGGUGUUCCUUCUUACAUAAAGUGUUAGUCCCCUCUGUGGUCUACAUAGCACUAUGAUGUGGUUCACUAUUAUCUCUGUAAUGGCAUUUGCUAAUACUUUCACUUCCAUGUCCCCUUCUCUAGUUUUCCUGGCCUCUUUUAUGUUUCAUGAAUACACCAGGCCCAUCAUACCUUGGGACCUAAAAUGUUCUUUUCCUGGAUAGCUUUGUUGCUAGCUCCCUCAUUUCCCUUUCUCUUUGCUCAGAGUAAAGUAGCUAAAGCUGGAAUGAUUUAAGCAAGAAAAUAAAUAAGGUAGUUUUAGGUUUCUGAUGCUGUUUUUUUAAAAAAAAGAUAUCCCAAGCUAGCUAAUUAUAAAGAAAAGUUUAUUUAGCUCGUAGUUUUGGGGAUUUCAAAGACUUGACUCUGGUAUCAAUUCUGCUCUGGUAAGGACCUUAUGUUGGAUGGUAUCACAGCUCUGGGUGCAAGAGGGAGAGAUCACAUGGCAAGAAAGGAAGCCAAGGAGCAGGAAGGGGCCAGUUUUACACUUUUAUUUUAAUUAAUUUUGUGGCACCAAGAAUUGAACCCAAGACUGCAAGCAUGCUAGGAAAGUGCUCUAUCACUGAGCUACUUCACCAGCCCUUUUUGUUUUAUUUUGAGGCAGGGUCUCACUAAGUUGCUGAGACUGGCCUCAAACUUGAAAUGCUCCUACCUCAACCUCCUGAAUUGCUGGGAUUACAGGUACAUGCUACUACACCCAGCUGUCUUGAACUUUUUGUUGUUGUUGUUAUUAUAGAUGGACAUACAAUAUCUUUGUUUAUUAAUUUAUUUUUUAUGUGUUGCUGGGGAUUGAACCCAGUGCCUUACACAUGUGAGGCAAGCUCUCUACCACUGAGCUACAGCCCCAGCCCUGUCUUGAACUUUUAUAACAACCAUUUUGUGAGAACUAACCAGAGUCCUGGGAGAAUUAUGUUAAUUCCUUUCUAGGUGGGACCUCACUAGGUCCCACCUCUUAAAGGUCCCACCGUCUCUUAACAUUGACACUGGGGACCAAGAUUCCAAUACAUAAAUCUUUGGGAGACACCCUUAAACCAUAUCCAAAUCAUAGCAAUAGUAUUGGAUUAUAACCCAAAGUAUAAAAUAAACAUACAUGAAUCUGAACUCAUAUAAUUAAGUAAUUGAUUCAGUAAGUAGGGCAGAUAAUAGAAUUCUGGUAAUACAUACAGGUAUUACCCCCUCCAAAGGAUGAAAUUUAAAUCUUUUGAGUAGACUUAGGGACUCACUUCUACAAAAUAGAUUUUGGAAAGGGAAAAAUUGUUACUUUAUAGUACAGAAACCUGGAUCAAGAAUAUCAAGUGAUCAAGGGUAACAUCACCAGCAUUAUCACAUGGAUAUAAUGUACUCUCUGAUAUAAGAGAACAAGGAUACUUCACCUCUGUGGUAUUCUUUCUCAAAACCCAGAAUCCCAGUCUAAUCAUGGUAAAAACAUCAUACAAACCCAAAUUGAGGGACAUGCUACAAAAAACCUGCAUAGUAAUUCUCAGAUUGUCAUGGUCAUAUGGUCAUGGUAAACAAGAAAAGGCUGAGAAGCUAUCACAGACAAGAGAAGAUAUGACAUCUAAAUGCUUCAUGGUAUUCUGAAUUAGAACCUGGAAUAGAAAGAGGAUGUUUAUGGAAAUACUGAGGAAGUACAAAGAGUCUGAGUUUAGUUAAAUAGUUUUGUGCCAUUGCUUUCUUACUCUUGACCAGUGUACCAUUGUUCUGGUUUGGGUAUGAGGUGUCUUCCAAUAACUCCUUUGUUAAUGUAGGAGUAGAGAUGAAAUGAUGAUAUUAUGAGAGCUGUAACCUAAUCAGUUCAUCCUAGUUUGGAAGGACUAACUGGGUGGAAACUGUAGACAGGUGGGGCAUGGUUGGAGGAGGUGGAUCACUGGGGGGCCCUAGAAGGGUUCACCUUCCUAGCAGCCUCCUCUUCUCUUUCUCUACUUCCUGGCUGCCAUGAAUUGGGCCAUCAUUGAUUAAAUCUCUGAAACCAUGAGCCAAAAUAACUUCUCUAAGUGGUCCUUGUCAGGUAUUUUGGUCACAGCAAUGAAAACUUGACUAACACAACCAUGGUAAAGUAUCAGGGGAAACUGAACCUGGAUGAGGGAUGUAAAGUAUUCUAGGAAUUCUCUGUACUAUCAUUGUUAUAUUUCCUAUACAUUUAAAAAGAAAGUCCCAAAGAGACCUUCUCAACAACGCCUUCUCUGGCCAUCCUUUCAAAAAAGUUUUAUCCCUUUUUAACAUUUAUAUCCUUUUCCUGCAUUUAAGUUUGUUUCUUAGCACGUAGCAUCUAAUACUAUUUAUAUUUAUUUUUUAUUUAUGGUGUUUAUUGUCUGUUUCCACACUAGAAUGUCAUUUCUGAGAAGACAAAGAUUUGGACUGUCUUGUUCACAUCUAGAUCUUCAGGGCCAAGGAUUGUGCUUGGUUCAUAAUAGGAGUUCAAUAAGCAUUUGUUUAUCAAUGAAUGAAUUCCUGUAUAUUAUCCUUGAUUUUGUGUUAAGGCCUUUCUUUCUGUUUUGAGAUUUCUAGUUUCAAUGAGGGGAAUGAUUUCUAUUGUUUCUUUUCUACUUUUGCUCAACCUGGAAAUAUAAGUCAUAUUCUAGGUGGGUUGUUUAGAGAAAUGCUUCCAACGUGAUCACCCCACCAGCAGAAAGAGCAAAUAAAUAGCAUCAUUAAAAUUAUUCCUUCCUCAGAUUAGGGCUGGUUUAUGAGACAUACUUUCCCACUACUUAUAUGUAAACUGGUGAUCCAGGACUCUCUUCCUGUGGGGAGCAAUACUAUUUCUGAUUCUGGUUCAGCUAUGACAGGUGUGGACUAUAUGUGAAUGUGAGAAGAGUAGAUGAUGGGUAGGAACUGGGACUUUGAUAUGGAAGAGUAAAGUUAGAGAAGGAAAAUUCUUUAAUUAUAGUAUGUAUUGAGCUUCUCUGUGUGCCAAGUAAUAAAAUCUGAAGGGUGAAGUUAGUGGGAAUGUGGACUGGUUAAAAAAAUACUGGUGAGUAGAACCUGACACUACCACUUGAUCUCAAGGGGACUAAAUUUAGGACAAACUAAAAACAAACAAACAAACAAAAAAAACCCCAAACAAACUAACAACAACAACAACAAAAACCAACCAAACAAAAAAACUACCUGCCACCACAAGCAAUAAAUGUAUAGUAGAAAGUAGAUUAUGGUAAGGAUAUAGGUGAGGAAUGGAAAGUGAAUUUGGAGGUCCUCCGCUGAACAUUGUAGGGAAAGACCAGGCUUGUUCACUCUUAGUGCCCAUAUCUGGAGAUCCUAUGGUAUCUACUGAUACUUUUAUGGAGGGUGUGUGGGUGAAUUAUAUUGAUUGCCAACACUUUUUCAGGUACAGGAAGUAGUUUAGUGUAGGUAUAGAAGGGGCUAACUGAGCUCUGAAGUUUUGUUGGUUGUCUGUUCAGUGGCAUCUGCUUUUUCCUAUAUUGGAACUUGAUUUAUCUCAUAUUUUAAAGCUUCCAUAGAAUACAUUUCCCAAAGAAUGGAGUCGUACUGAUCUGAGGCCUGAAAAAAGUCAUCAGGAGCAACAAAACUAUAGGAUAAAAGAUAAUUUCCAUUGUACCAAGCACUCUCCAGCUUCUGUUGUUUCCAGGAACCCAGAGAUGGAGCAGUUUUGCUUUCUGUUUUUGGUGCCAUGCUCAUCACACCUAUGGUGCUCUCUGAACAAAGGCCUACUCCCUGCUAGGCACAGGAAUUGGACUGGAUCUGGGGUUGGUUCCUUUUGGAGAGAAAUAAGCAGGGCAUUUUGCAUCCCCUUCCAUUUUGCUUAUCUUACAGAAGAGGCCAAGGGUCCCCUCCUUUUGCAAGUAAAACAGAAUGUACUUUCUUAUAACUAUUCAGAUAUCACAGUUGGAUUCAAUUAUUUGCAGAAAUAGACUUAUAUAAAAGGAAAACUUACAAAGGAGAAAUUUAUACCAAAUAACGGGCUAUCUUUUUGUUAAGGUUGUGUUUUUUUUUUCUCCCCCCCCUCCCCCCGCCCCAAAGGCCAUCCAGUUUGAAAUCUGAGUGUCCAGAAAAGCCUGUAGGGUGGGCAGGUGGGGGGAGGAAAGUGAAAGCAACAAAAGUACUUACAGACUCUUGAGUGUAAAUCUGAAGUCUCAGUGAUGAUAUGUUCUGAAUUCACCAGCAGUGCAGCCUGCCAGGGGGUUGAAUUUAUUCCUUACCUCCUAUUUCCCAUAGUCCCACUGAACGGUCAGACAAGGAAAGCUGGCUUCAACACCCUCAGCUUAUUCUAAGUCCCUCUUUUUGCCUGCUUGCUGUUCCAGCCAAACUCAAUGGCCAAGGUCUAACACAGACCACUUAUUCCCAUUUCUGGGCUGUCUGCAUGGCUGUUGUAUUGCUAAUUAUAGCCUUGAAUGAAUUACCACAAGCAGCUUCAAACACCUCCCUUUUUUUUUUAAUCUUAAAGUUUAUGUAGGUCAGAAGUCCAGGUGCUGGUUAGCUGGGUUUUCUGCUUGGGACUUCAGAGCCUGAAACUAGGGUGUUAGCUAGGUUGUGCUUCUUUGGAGGCUCUGGGGAAGAGUCUACUUCCAAGCUCAUUCAGGUUGUUGUCAAAAUGUCUUUGCAGUUAAUUCCUAAAAGUCAGACUUCUGGAUUAAAGGGUAAAUACAGUUGUACUUUUAAUAGAUGUUGUCAAACUCCCUGUAUAGCGACUCUAUCAUUUUGCAUGUCCAACAUCAGUAUUUGUUUAAGUGCCAGUUUCUCUAGUGUGACCUUCAGGGUAUGGAUUUACAAGCAGAUAGGUGAGAAAUGAUGUUUCAUUUUACCUUUCUAGUAUUAGGAGCAAACCUGAGCAUCUUUUUAUAUGGUUGAAGGGCAUAAUUUUUUUUCUGGUUUUUUUCUAUAGGGUUUUUCUUUUCUUUUUUUAAAAAACUCUUUGUAUGUUAGAGAUAUUAUAAGACUUUGUCUAUGACAUUAAAUUGCAAAUGCUUUCCUCAAUUUGUCAUUUGUCUUUUUACUUUUUUACUCCCAUUUAAUGGUUUUCUCUUGGAAUAUUUUACUUUUGUAAAUUUGUUUUUAUUUUUGUAAAAUCAAAUUUGCUAAUAUUUUUGUGCUUCUGGAUUUUGAAUCAUAAUUAGGAAAGUUAUUCACUGCUCCCAGGUUGUAGAGCAGUACCCUGUGGUUUCUUUUGGAACUUCUAUGAUUUCAUAUUUUUUAUAUUUAAAUACCUAAUUUGUUUGGAAUUUAUUCUGGAAUGUAGACAUAAGGAAUGGAGUAACAAUGUUUUUUAGUUUGUUAAGUUAUCCCAACACUGAUUAUUAAAAAUUCUGGAGCUGGGGACAUAGCUCAGUUAGUAGAGUGCUUGCCUCAUAUGCACAAUCCCCAGAACCACCAAAAAACCAAAAAAAAAAAUUAAAGCUAAUUUCUUGUAGAGUCUUUUAGGGGCUGGGGUUGAGGCUCAGCAGUAGAGCACUCACCUAGCACAUGCAAGGUGCUGGGUUUGAUCCUCAGCAUCACGUAAAAAAAAAAUAAAUCAAUAAAACAAAGGUAUUAAAAAACCUUCCUUUUUUUUUCAUAGGUUUGAGGUGCUACCCUUAUUGUAUACUGAAUAUUCAUAUGUAGUUGUUCUAUGUUUUAAUUUUUUUUCUGUUCCACUGAUCAUUCUAUCUCUUCAUGUAUCUAUCAGUACCAGACUGUUUUAAUUUUAGAGGCUUUGUAGUAUGUUUAUCAUCUAAUAGCUCCUACUAGUUUUAUUUUUAUGCACUGUGUGUGUAUAUGUGUGUAGUGUGUCUAGAUGGAAGUUUGUAAUAUGAGAACUGAUGAAUCCCAGGAGAGAGCCAAGGACUGCCUCCUGAUAAAUUUUAGCUCUUAAAGUUCAGGUAGAAGAGGAUAUGCUGGUAAAGGAGCCUGGCAGAGGAGAGACUCUAGUGGGUAAAGCUGAUCUGAGGUGUGCAGUGUCCCAGAAGUUAGGGUAGAGACCUUUAGGGCUAAAAUACUGCUCUCCCGUGUCAGGUGCUGCCAGGAGAUCUACUGAGGUAAGGAGUGAGAAGCAUCAAUAGUUGUUGUUGGAUAGAGCAGAAUAGUAUGGGCUUGGAGUGAAUAGAAGGUAAGGAGGUAAAGACAGCAAGGAUAGACAACCCUGAAGAAGUUUAAUAGUAUAAGAAAAAUGGGGGGAAAAUGAGAAAAGGUGGUAACCAGAAAAGAUCUAGGAGGGUGUUUUUUUGUUUGUUUGUUUGUUUUGUUUUGGGUCCUUUUUUUGUGCCUUAAAUUGAGUUGAAAUACACAUAAUAUAAAAUUAACCAUUUUAAAGUAAGCAGUUUCAGUUUAAAGUGAGCAAUUUAGUGACAUUUAGUACAUUCACAAUGUUGGGCAGUCACCACCUCUGUUUAAUUAAAAAAAAUUUCAUCUCCUCAAAGGCAAACUCCAUACCUAUUAAGCAGUUAGUCCCCAUUCUCUGAUCCCCUGGCAACCCCCCAAGUUUCUUUCUAUAUUUAUAGAUUUACCUGUUUUGGAUAUUUCAUUUAACUGGAGUUAUACAAUAUGUGACUUGUCCUGUCUGAUUUCUUUGACUUACCAUAGUGUAUUUGAAGUUCAUCCAUGUUGUAGCUUGUAUCAAUGCUUUGAUCCUUUUUAUGGCUGCAUAAUAUUCCAGUGUAUGGAUAUAUCAUUAUAUGGAUAAAUUGAUUUAUCCAUUCAUCUGAUGAUUGACUUUGUAGUUUUUAACAAGAAAGAAGCUGAAGACUGUAUAUAAAUGCUGAUGGAUAGACUGUAGUAUAUAGGGACAGGUGGAAGAUUCUGGAAGGUGGGAACUAAGAACUUAGAUUCUCGAAAAGGUAGAUUUUGUCCACUUGGAAAUGGGAAGCUGGGGAGACUCCAUCUCAUAGCUUUGUCUGUUCUAUAGUAGGUGAAGCCUCCACUGAAUGUGGCAGUAAGGGGUUCCAAAGAAGGGUGGAAGAUGUGACCUGGUGUUUGAGUGUACUAACUAGAGGAUAGGGUUAUGAUUGGUAGGUGGUGCUGAACUUUUUUGGGGGGUGGGUGGGUAUUGGAGUUUGAACCCAGGGGUGCUUUAUCACUGAACUACAUCCCCAGCCCUUUUAAUUUAUUUCGAGGCAGAUCUUGCCCAGGCUGGUCUUGAACUUGUGAUCUUCCUGCUUCAGCCUCCCAAGUUGCUGAGAUUACAGGUGUGUGCCACCACUCCUGGCAGGUGCUGGACGCUUUUUUUUUUUUUUUAAUAUUUAUUUUUUAGGUGAGGACGGACACAACACAAUGCCUUCACUUCCAUGUGAUGCUGAGGAUCGAACCCGGGGUCCCGUCCGCGCUAGGCGAGAGUGCUCCACCGCUGAGCCACAAUCCCAGCCCCUGCUGGAUGCUUUUAAUCUUUGUUUAUUUUGGUUCAUUAAAGGUCUUCUGGGAUCCUCCACAUACUGCAUAGUCACAGAAGAAAUGUUACUGUUGUUCCGUCCUUCCUUCUAAGUUGGUGUUCUUGCCAUGCCAGAGCUUGAAGUUCUGCCACAAACAAAACCCAUAAGGUGUAGCAGUGUCACAAGUUUGAAAAGCUUUUGCUAAGUGUGGGGGUUGAAUUCUUCUGAAGCAGACUGAGAUAGUGGUUAGAGUGCAGUAUAUAUGUGCUAAAUAUCAAAACCUGUGAAAGGAAGGGGAGGCAGGUUUGAGCAGAGGAAGAAGUCAGACUUUGAUGCAAGCCCAGUGAAGCCUUGGCCAUCCAAAGGGGAAUUCUAGAGUGAAUAUUGUCCUUCAGAUUGUCCUGCAUUUGACCAAAAUGGUUAAUUUUUUUAUACUCAUGCCUGCCUCAGUCACCAGUUAUAGGCUUACCUCAGAAAGGUUAUGACAGCGGAGUAGCUCUCUGCAACUGAGACAGGCUAUAAGCUGCCUGCUGACAGGAGCAGGGCUUUCCUUGAAGGGGGAUCUGGACAUAUGUGCUGAGGUAGAAGCAGUCUAAUUGGGGGCCUAGCUCGAAGAGAUUAGAAUCAAUGUACACGGCAGGUGACUUCUUCGGAAGGACUUUGCCCAUCACUGUCUCUGAAAUUGUUCUUAGAAACUGAGCUGAUGGACAGGAGCUGGGUGGGCUGGUGGAGCUGGCACCGGAAGUUACACUCUGCUUCUCAGGAAGAAUGAGCUGAGUCAUAGCAUUUGAGGGCCAGGGCAUGUGUUCCCAUGGGGAAUGAAAUCUCACUUAUUAGAAAGGCUUUGUUCUCAUCCAAUCAACUGUCCAGGAAUGGUUUGGAUUUUGAAAAUGUUUCAUGAUGUUUUUUACUUCACUAGUCUUUGUCAGAGAGAUGACAAAAAGGAAAGGGCACCUAGUCAGCAGUCAGCAAAUGUUUGCUGAACAAGUGAAUGAAAGGGCCAUUGUGGGCAGAGCAGCAGCAGGAAGCAGAGGGUCAGAUUCUGUGUCAUCUUUUCAGAGGAGCCUGGGCUCCAGCAGUAGCAGCUCGAAAGGCAUUUUAAUAAUUGCUCAACAUGGAAAGCAAGGGUGAAGGAUAGACCCUGGAGCAAAAGCAGCAUUUUAGGGAGGUACCCAAGUUAUAGUAGACAUGGUUGCUAACUGCCUCAGCUGGCUUGGAGGAAGAGAGAGUGGGUGCCUGGGUGGCUGGAUGCUUGCCACAUGUAACUGCUUGGUAGGUGGAGGUGGAGAGGGUCGUCUGUUAACCUUUCCCUGAGGAAGUUUUCCCCUCCCCAGUGUGUUAGACCUUGCUGCAAAGGGAAAGGUGUUCUGUUUAACCCACUUUUUUCAGUAUCUUCAGAGUUCCUACCUUCUUCCUGUGUUCUCCUUCUGGCAGCUCCCUCCCAUAGCCUCAUAGUUCCAUCUCCAAUUUUCCCUCCUCCUCCAGAACUUGAAACAAUGUGACUACUCCCUGACUAUGGCCCAUUGAUUACCUCCAGUUCCCAUAGUCUGUUGUUUCACCUCAAGAAGACAGGCCCAUAGCCCAUUGGCCUAACCCUAACCCUGCCCCAUCGUGGUUCUACAGCCUUUCAAUAUCCUCUGGCUUUCUUCUUCCUCACACAAGCAGGGACUUCAUGGUGCCAUCAUUUAUAAGACACAUUAUUGCCAGCUUCCUUGAUUUCCUUGCCUUGCUGUCAUAUGGGGAAAGAGGCAGGAUCAAGGCAAGAUGUUGGGAUGGAAAUUAAGAAAUGGCUAUGGAGUAGAGUGAGGGUCCUUGGGUCUGAACUGAUACUGAUAUCUGAUUAUUAGCCUGAGGAGUAGAUUGGGAGCUCUGAUGGGGGCAAGGAAGAAAUAAAUAAAUUUAUUUAUUAAUAAUAAAUUUAUUAUUUUAAUGACUCCUUUAUAUAAAGAUUAAAUUCAGUAAAUUGCUUCCACAUUUGUUAUUUCAUUGGAGCCCAUUCUUACCUCUUUCCUGAUUCCUCCUCUUCCUCCUGCUUUUCAGACAUAGUCCUUUAUCAUGGCUGUUAUAAACACCAUUUCUUCUCUCUUCACUUUCUGCCUUAGUGCUUUCUGGCUCCAGCCCUCCUUGCCAUGCAGGUGACUCCCAAGCCUGUAUUUCCAGAGUCAGCCUGAUCUCUUAGACCCUAUUCCAUAUUUUUAGCUACCUGAUUCAUAUCUCCCUGUCCAUUUGGUGCUACAUAAUCAAACCAAACUUAUGAUCAUUUCCCCCAAAGCCUGUUAUUCUUUGUGUUUCCUCAGUAACAUUGUCAUUCUCUCAGUUACCUUACCUUAAAUCUUUGGCAUGUUCCUCCUUCCCCCCAAGCCCAGUCUCAUCAGUGACCUUGCUUUACCAUCACUUACUUCAGUCCCACUGCCAUCUCUUGUUCCUCCCACAUAACUUUAAUUUUUUUUUGUAUUUAUUUAUUUGUUCUUUUUAGAUAUAUAUGUUAGUAGAGUAUAUUUUGACAUACAUACAUGGACUAUAACUUAUUCCAAUUAGGAUCCCAUUUUUGUGGAUGUACAUGAUGUGGAGGCCCAAUGGUGGUGUAUUCAUAUAUGAACAUAGGACUCACCACAUGACUUCUUUUUGAGGUAUGGCAAUAACUCCUUACUUAGUUUUCCAAUUUCAGGUAUGUCUGCUUCUAGGUGCAUCUUACACAUAUCAACCACCACAUCGUUUUUUCUAAGCCACUGAUCUUACUGUAAUGAAAGAUUUCCCUGAAGAAAUGGAUAUGGUUUCCUGCUGCCUACAGAGUUAAAAUGCAACUUCUCAGCCUGGACUUGGAAGCCCACGACUUCUGUCUUUCCUCCUCCUCCUAUGAUCCUGUACACAUUUAUCUCAUUUUUUAGCCACGGGACUGCUUCUGUUUCUUCUGAUCAUGUCCUGGACUUGAUUUCUUCCUGCCUUUGUUCAUGCUACUUUUCAUCCUGUGUUUUUUUUCUCCACUUCUCUAUUUCUCUACUCCCUGUCCCCUUAAUCUACAUAAUUUCUAUCUGUUAAAACCAUAUUGAUGCCAGGCACAGUGGCAUGCCUGUAAGCUGAGCUACUUGCCAGGCUGAGGAAGGAGGAUUGCAAGUUCAAAGCUAGCCUUCACAACUUAUCGAGGCCCUAGGCAACAUAACAAGAUCCUGUCUCAAAAAAAUAAAAAAUAGUCUUAGGAUGUGGCUCAGUGGUUGAGCUCUCCUGGUCCCCAGUACUGAAAAAAGAAAAAAAAAAUAUUGACUUGUGUACGUUGCAGUGGAAUAUUGUGACACUAUUGAAAUGAGGUAGAUAUACAUGUGCUGCCACAGAGUGAUUCAACACAUACUGCUAGGUGAUUAAAAUUCAUGUUGCACAACAGUAUGUAUGAUAUGAGUUUUCCAUUCUUGAAAAAAAAUUAUUGGUACUAAUAGAUGUAAAUGAAUGUAUGCCCUGUGAGUAUCCUUGAGGAGAGGUGAUAACUGUAGGUAUUAUAGGGUGAUUAAAUAUUUCUUUAAUGUUUGAUUUAAAAAAACAAUUGUUAUAUAUUUAUAUAGUAAUCAGAAAACAUAAAAAAAUUUUAAAAAAAGGUGAGAAAAAGAGUUACCCUCAACCUUCAAAGUGUGUUUGAAUUUUCUCCCCCAUAGAUUCUCUCAAUGGUAGUUGCUAUUGCUAAUAUUCCCUGUUCCUCUCCACUCUCCUGCAUGAAGCUUAAACCAAGCCUUGUGUUACAGUAAUUUAUGGAUUUUUCUUACUCUCUCCCCUUCUUGCCCCUGAUUCAGGAGCAGUUGCUAUCAUUCAAAUCCCUGUGCCCCUGCAGGGCCUGGCCCAGUACCUUGCUCAGCAGCUGUUCCAUCAGUGUUUGUUGAGCUGGGCUGCUAUGCCCCAGGCAUCCCUGGGCAUUGUGGGGCCUUCAUGAUCCUAUAGUUUGGGAGGGACUGAAGACUCUGCUCUAUCCACAGCCACAGCUGUAUGAUGGAUGGUGCUAACUGAUUAGCCUUUAAUUCAUUACCAGUUUCCUGACUAGGAUCCCAUUGAUAAUGAUUGAUAAGUAUGUGAUUGGAAAUCUCGUGUGUGUUCCUACUGUUCUUAAGAGGAAUCUAUUUCCACAUAGCAACCUAGGCUGUAACCUAGCAUUAGAUAAAUUCAAUUCAGCAGUCCAUCAAGACACAAAGUAAUUGAAGUAUGGAUUAGUGCCUGCCAAGAAUGGCAGAAGGAAUGAUUGGAGGGUUUUUGGCCAAAGGGGCUGAUCUGGCUAGCCCCUAGAGAAUCUAUUAUUCUGCCUGCCCUUACUAAUGUCUCUGUUGAACUUGAAUAAUGUCUGCUUUUCAGGGCCUUCCCAGUGCCAUACCAGAACAUAGAUUCUAGUCUUUGCAUCAAAGGACUUGUUGCACAUAGUGAGAGAUUUUCCUAUUUGAAUUCAGUCAUCUUUCUCAGAGUAGGCAGGGAAGGUAUUAAUAGCUAGUUAGGAUUUGGUUAUUCCUGAGUUUUAUCAGGCUCAGCAUGUUCUUAGCCUUGCUCAGAAUCAGGGGGAGCAGGGUCAGCUGGUGGAAGAACUUUUGUAGUCAGUCAGAUCCAACCUGAAAGCUACUCUAGGCAGGAACCAAUGUGCUUUGCAGGAUGCAAAGUACAUGAUAAUUUAAUGUUUGAUAAACAUUUGUUGAAUUAGUUGUGUAACCAAGAAAUUCUCAUCUGUAAAAUGGGAAUACUUACUCCAUACAAUUACUGUGAAAAUUAACUGUGGUGAUGCAUGUAUAGCAGCUAUUCUAGUUCCUAACACCAAGAGGUAAUUGGUAAUGACUAGUUUCCCUUUUUAUGUCCCCUUACCUCUUAAACCCUUAAAAGUCUUCUACCUUCUACUCUGUAUAUGCUUAAAAGGCUGCAAUGAUCUCUUUUUAUCUCUUUCAUUCUUUUUUUUUUUUUGGUGGUACUGGAUAUUGAACCAGGCCUUAUGCUAGGAAAGUGCUCUACCAUGGAACCACAUCUUCAUCCCUAGUCUCAUUUUUUCAGGAGACAAUCUUUCUCCCUAUCUAGGAUUGUCUUCUGUGAUCCUUGCAGCCAUCCACCUGGUCUAUAGAAGCUCCAUUCACAAUAGUGCUUUAUGGGACAGUGGAGAGAAUGGCAAGUUUUUGAACAAUUUGUCAUUAGUUUUCUUACCUGUAGGAAAGUAACAUCUUUCCCCAAUUGGAAUUUAUAUAGGAGUCCAAAUCAACUUUUUGAGAGGAAGUAUGGGGGUGGACAUCCCUUUACCCUCAUUGUUCCUCAGGGAUGCUAUGUUCUAUAGCAUGCCUCCUGUGUUAGUCAGGUUUCCAUUACUAUAAUGAAAUAACUGAGGUAAGUAUCUUAUGAAGAGAAAAAUUUAUUUUGGCUCAUAGAUUUAGAGGUUUCAGUCCAUGAUCUGUUGGUCCCAUUGUUCUGGGCCUGUGCCAAGACAGCACAUCAUUGUUGGAGCAUAUGGUGGAAUAAAACCACUUACCUCAUGGCCAGGAAGCAAAAGAGAGAGCAAAGAUAGGACCAGAAUCUCAUAGUCCCUUUCAAGGACACAUCCCAAGUCACCUAAAGACCUCCUUCCCAGUAGUGCAACCCUUAGAACUAAGCCAUUAAUACAGGGGCCCUUGGGAGAACACUCAAGAUUUAAACUGCAGGGGCUGGGGAUGUGGCUCAAGCGGUAGUGCGCUCGCCUGGCAUGCAUGCGGCCUGGGUUAGAUCCUCAGCACCACAUACAAACAAAGAUGUUGUGUCCUCCAAAAACUAAAAAAUAGAUAUUAAAAUUCUCUCUCUCUCUCUUUAAAAAAAAAAAAAAAAAGAUUCAGACUGCAGACCCCCCUUUCUAGUGCCCUGCCUAUAGUCAUUUCACUUCCUCUGGAUGUCUGUGUUAGGAUAGAAAUUUAUCUAGUGAACCAUUACUGACACCAUAUUGUGAUAACAGUGGUUAAUGCUGUGCUCAUAGUGAAACAGUCUUUUUGUGAGGCUGCUUGCCAAUAAAAAGGACUUUAAGUAGCUUUUUGUAUAAGAUACAUAUAAAGAAAACUGCUUAAAUGUAAAUUAAAACUUAAUUUAAACUCUCUGUGUGGGGUUGGAAGAAAACAAAUGUAAUAAUCAUCUUGGUUAUUUUGAUUAUAGUACCUAAGCAUUAAAUGUAGUAAGCAAUGAAUGUCCUGAUGGCCAAGAGAAAAGGGAAAUGUAGUGAUGAAUCAUAUAAUUAUCAUCCAAUAAGAAGCCACUAAUUAUAAUGGCUGUCUGUUGUAAAAGAAGAAUUUUCAGUAAUAACUGAUGUAAAAGCAUUUUAGGUUUUUUUUUUUGCAGUGCUGGGAAUCGAAUACAGGUCUUCACACAUAUUAGGCAAGUGCUGCAACACUGAGCCACACCCCUUGCCCCUAAAAUGUUUUAUAAUAAACAUUAAAGAUUGGACAAUGUCUUUUUUUUGAGGGGGGGUGUACUGGGGAUUGAACCUAGGGUGCUUUACUACUGAACUACAUCCCCAACCUUUUUAAUUUUUUGAGACAGGUCUCACUAAGUUGCUUAGGGCCUUGCUAAAUUGCUGAGGCUAGCCUCUAACUUGUGAUCCUCCUUCCUCUGUCUGUCAAGUCCUUGGGAUUACAGUUGUGCACCACUGAGCCCAGCUGGACCAUGUCUUUAACAAGGUUGUUUCAGAAAAAUGCAGAUGUUUUUGUAAUCUAUUUUGUAUGUAGACCCCAAAUAAAAUCUGAAGGCAUUCAAAGGAGUCUGAUGUUUUUUCUUCUUCUUUUUUUGGUACUGAGGAUUGAACCCAGGGGCACUCUUAUCACUGAGUUACACCCCCAGCCCUUUUUAUUUUUUAUUUUGAGAUGGGUUCUCUCUAAGUUACUAAGGCUGGCCUUGAACUUGGGAUCCUCCUGCCUCAGCCUUACAGGUGUGUACCAUUGUGUCCUGCUAUGAGUUUUAUUUUUAGGGAAUAAAUCCAGUGAGCAUUUUUCUUUUUAAAUUUGAACCUAGAAUACAAUAUAGAAUUCCCUUUGCAGAAUGUAUAAAGAACAUUUGUUGGUUUUUGGCAAGGACUGAAUAGUAAUCAAAUUAAGAUUGAAAACUAUAGCCAGAAUUCGGCACAAUCCAGCUAGCCAGUGUUUCCUAUUUCAAGACAAUCUAUCCUAAUAGCUCUUUAUGUAGAAUGAUCCAUUUGUCUUUAUAGUGUAUGCAUCGUGGUGAUGUGAAAAAGAAUAGACACAUUGUGAUUUAAAAAAAAUAUAUAUAUAUUUAGUUGUAGAUAGACCCAGUAUCUCUCUCUCUCUCUCUCUCUCUCUCUCUCUAUAUAUAUAUAUAUAUAUAUAUAUAUAUAUAUAUAUUUAUUUAUUUAUUUUUAUGUGGGGCUGAGAUCGAACCCAGUGCCUUACACGUGCCAGACAAGUACGCUACCACUGAGCCACAACCCCAGCCCCAACAUUGUGAUUUUUUAAUAAAAAAAAUAUAUAUAUAAUGAUUAGUUUAACUGUUUUUCAUUAGUGUGUCCAAGGGGUGGUAAAAUCUGUAUUCCACAAGUUUUAUGUUUAUGUAUAGUUUUAAUUGGAGCAAACUAUAUCAUUUAUAGUCUCCUGCCAAGUGCAAUGUCUACCUACCACCCCAGAGUCACCACCAUUGAAGAUGGUAGCCCUCAGUUAUAUAUGUUCUUUUGAGAUCAGAAUAUAAAUAUAAAUAUAGACUUUGGAGACUUGCUGAGAUAUGUUAUUUGUGGGUACAAGAGAGAAAGCAAAAAUCCCAGAUCCCUGCCCCCACCUUCCCCCAAGACUAUGAAGAUGGGUGUGAGGAAGAAAAACAGUGAUUAGAAAAUGUUGGCCUCUGCAGUACGUAUUUGCUAAUAGAGACAGUUCCUUCAGACUUUGGAAAUAGGGAAACUCCUUACAAGGCUACAUAUGAAUAAAGUGACUAUGAAGUGAUUUUCUUGAUUGAACCUUUUGGUUUUACUUAGUAGAGUUUAAUUUUCCAUUUUGUUCUUUUUGCUACUGCCAGAACUAAGGGGCAGUCCUUUUGCCCUUCAUUAGUAAGUUAUUUUCUAUCCUAUCCCUCCAACUCUGAAAGGGUUCUCUGAAUUAUUUCAGAGGGCAGGGCAUUCUAUGCUUGUUUUUAUCCAUUAUUUAUGUUUGCAUUCAAUUACACACAGCCUUCCUUUCAAUUAUGGAGAUGACCCUUGAGCAUUUUUGUUUCAGGGAGUAGGUAUCUGUUAUAACAAUUAGCUUGAGAGAGAGGGGAAUUACCCAUAAUUUUUGUCCUUAGAAGAGGCAUAGUACUAAUGGAUCCCUGGUCUCUGAUCUGCCACUGCUCUUGUUUACUCCUUUGUACAAGGUGUGUGUGUGUGUCUGUCUUUCUCUCUCUCUCUCUCUCUCUCUUAAAUAUGUCGAUGGACUUUUAUUUUAUUCAUUUAUUUAUAUGUGGUGCUGAAAAUCGAACCCAGUGCCUCUCACAUGCAAGACAAGUACUCUACCACUGAGCCACAACCCCAGUGCAAUGUCUCUUGAAUUGGAACUGGCAGGAGGUACUCAGUGUUUUAGACCCUAUUUGAGUCUCUGUUGAAAGACCCCAGUAUUCUCUAGCUUAUGUUAUUCUGCCCAUCAUUCCUCUUAAAGCCCUUUCUCACUGCCCUCAUGGAAUUCCAGGUAUAAACCACUUGUGAAAUGAAGAUCUGCUUCUGUGCUGUUAGAUAUAGGGAUUACUAGCCAUUUGUGAUUAUUUAAAUUAAAAUUAGCAAUUUAAAAAUUAAAACUUCAUUUCCUUAGUAUCACUAGUCACAUUUCAAGUGCUCAAUAGCCACAUGUGACUAGGAGCUACUCUGAUAGACAGUGCACAUAUGGAAUAUUUAUGUCACCACAGAAAUUUGUAUUGAGUAGUACUGUAUGACUGAUACUAGUCUAUCUUUUUUGACUGCUGAUUUGGAAACACAAUUUCCCAGCCUACACUAUAUAUUUUCAGUAGUUACUUGAUGAUAAUCAUCAUUUUGCUGCUUUAUUAAAGUCAUCAGGUAUCCCGUAAUCUCAGCCACUCAGGAGGCUGAGUUAGGAGGAUUGUUUGAGCCCAAGAGUUCAAGGCCUGUCUGGUAACAAAGUGAGACACUAUCUCAAAAAUAGUAAAAAAUGAAUGAAUGAAUGAAGUAAUCAAGUGGAAAGUGCUAGAUACUUCUAGAUAAAGCCAUUGGCAGCAAUGCCAGGUUUUCUCUCUCCUGCUGCCUGGUGUUUCAUGUGUAGAGAUGGUUCUUCAUCUUUCAGGAAUGUGAAAAGUUGACAUGCAGGUUGUGAGGCAAGCUGCUCAGUAGAUAAGUCAUUCCUGAUGACAGAACUGGCCAAUGCAGGCUAAGUCUUGUCUUCUGCUGCUUUGACUUUCCCCAGCAGGGAAGUGUGGAAAAAGUAAAUCUGCUGAAUUCUGGAGGCUCAGCUGGCUUUCAGGACAUACAUUGCAAAAACUGAGUCCAAAGCGUUCCAUGUUAGUUAAGAAAAUUCCAGAAAUAAAGGUCUUUUCUUUUCAUUCUAGAAACUGCAGUGAGGAAUUGGGAAGCUUUUUGUUGAUCAUUUACAAUUUUGUCCAAUAUAAUUCUUGUAAUAUUUUUUCAGAUAAAGUGAAGUUUGUCAAACAUUAGAAAAAUAAGAAUGUAUAGUUACAAAAUAUUGUUUGCUUGUAUACCCAGAAAUGUGAAUGAGAGAUUUUAUAUGGAAAAAAUGCAUUGAUAUUGAACAGGUGGCCCUGGGCCCAUACUAAAUAUUUCAUUUCCCAGAUUCCCUCUAGAUAUGUACCUCUUUGUUCUGUGCUUUACUUUGUGUGGAGUGUAUUAGAGAGAAUGAGGACAGUAAGGAAGCAUGCUCAUAUAUAGCACUCCUCUCAUCUUGCCUUUUGCUCCUCCCAAGAUGCACUAAAACAUGAUUUGUAUGAGCAUAAACUGACAAUUUGAUCCAAAUUUGGGUCACAGUGGUCUUUGAAUAAAAUUGACCAUUAGCCAUACCAAUCGAGGGGAAAUUGGUUUCUUAGUCCACUGUGCUUGUGAAAUAAUGGGGUAGCUAUAAAUCUGACCUUCUUGAUGUCAAGUCUCCAGUCUUUUGAAUAUCCACCUUCCUGUCACAGGCCUUAGGAACAAUCAUUUAUUCUUCUAAAUGGAGGCGCUCUGAGAUACUGUAGCCCAGAGAUUGAUCGUGGGAUGGGGAAAUGCACAAAUGACUGUAUCAGUAUCAAGCUUUUCCUGUUCCUAAGGUCUAUAUAUUCAGCUCUUUUAGUGGCUUUCCAUGUAAUGCAUUUGACUUUUAGCUUCUGUUGCUAAAGUAAUGGUAACAUAUUCUGUUUUCCAUUUGUUUAUUUAUGGUCUUGUUUUCUACCCUUGCAAAACUUGAUAUAGGUACAAAGCUUCAGAAAUGUACACAUACCAGAGUAAUAGAUAACUCUGAUUUUGUUACAAGGCAAUAAUUUAAGUUGGCAGUUUUAGCUGAUAACAUAAAACACAAGAGAGAAAUAGGAUCAGUUUAUGAAUGUCAGCAGAACCCCUGAGAGUGAGUUGCUGCCUUGGAACUGACUCCAGUACUGUUGUUUUGUCUAAUAUAUUAUAAAGUGAAAUAAAGUGAUGUCUGAAAAUCUGGCUGACCAAGAUUAAAAGAAUAGGGUUAUAAAUUAGCUGCUUCCUUUAGGUCACUUUAAGCAGCUUCCGUAAGAGACUAGAUGACAGGAUGUUAGGGUCCUUGGAAGGACUUGAAGUCUAGCUUCUUUGGAAGGUCAUGAGGCCAAGAGAAUGGAUUGGCCUGCUUGUGGCAAGUCCUGAUGGGAAUCAUAACUUGCCAGCUUCCAUCAGCCAACUCUCUUUCUCUUAGGAAACUGGAACUUUAGCAUGGGUGAGAUUGUGAAGUCCAAAUGUUUGGUAAGUAGACCUUGUGGAAGGUCACUGCAGGUUCUGUCACUGUGACAGCCAGAGCCAUCCAAAAUGAUGAUUGUGAAAUAUUUUAGUGAUUUGACAAAACUAAAAGUAGUUCUGAAUAGUGGGCACUGACAUACAGAAGCACCAUCUCCCACAUAGAAAUAAAUAUUUCUGCUUUACCUUGACAUUUAUUUUCUUUUUCUUUUUUUUUUUUUUUUGGGAUGUGGUCUUUAUUCUGGAUGUCAAUAUUCUUCUUGAGGAUUCUAUUACUAAAGGAAGGAGGAUAGAGGGCAUGUUGGGGACAGCCAGAUUCUACUACCUCCAACAGUCUUUAAGAUCUCUGCUGAGAGGAUCUUGACUGAAUAAUACUUCAUUGUGUAAAAACAUGUAUAUCACUUUCUCUUCAUCUGUUCAUCUGUUGAUGGGCAUCUAGGCUGAUUCCAUAUCUUAGCUACUAUGACUAGUGCUGCAGUAAACAUGGUCAUGCAGCUGUCUUUUUGGUAUGCUGAUUUUGUUUCCUUUAGAUAUAUAUCCAGAACUGGGAUAGCUGUAUCCUAUGAUAGAUUUUUUUUUUUGAGACGGGGGUCUUUGUAUGUUGCUCAGAGUUGCUGUUUUUCUGGGUUUGAACUCCUGGUCUUGAGUGAUUCUCUUUCUUCAGCNCCCUCCCCUCCCCUCCCCACCCUUCUUCUCUCUCUACCCCCCCUAUUGACCUUCAUUUCUCCCCCUUGUAUUAUUUUUCCCUUUCCCCUCAUUUCCUCUUGUAUGUUCUUUUGUAUAACCCUGAGGGUCUCCUUCCAUUUCCAUGCAAUUUCCCUUUUCUCUCCCUUUCCCUCCCACCUCUCAUCUCUGUUUAAUGUUAAUCUUCUUCUCAUGCUCUUCGUCCCUACUCUGUUCUUAGUUACUCUCCUUAUAUCAAAGGAGACAUUUGGCAUUUGCUUUUUAGGGAUUGGCUAGCUUCACUUAGCAUAAUCUGCUCUAGUGCCAUCCAUUUCCCUGCAAAUUCUAUGAUUUUGUCAUUUUUUAAUGCAGAGUAAUACUCCAUUGUGUAUAAAUGCCACAUUUUUUUAAUCCAUUCGUCUAUUGAAGGGCAUCUGGGUUGGUUCCAAAGUCUUGCUAUUGUGAAUUGAGCUGCUAUGAACAUCGAUGUAGCAGUGUCCCUGUAGCAUGCUCUUUUUAGGUCUUUAGGGAAUAGACCAAGACAUUUAUUUUCUAUAAACACUGUAGCAUUUAUGUAGCAUUAUCUUAUGAGCAUGCUUUAUUCCCUGUGAUUUGCCUGUUACUGAUGUCUGCAGAGCCAGGGAAGUGGCAGGUACUGCCUAGGGCAUCUAGGAGCAGUUGGUUUUUAGGGAACUAGUUUCGGUUUUUGCACAGUUAUUAGUAGUUGUCAUAAAAACCAAGCACAUGUAUUAUUUUCAUGCAUCUCAUUGGAUGCCACUCUUAGAAAAGCCCUUGGAUUAUUGCUUUUCCUCUACUGAUGUCCUUGCUUUGAGAUCUCUCAUGCUAUAAAGGGAAAAUAAGGUUCUAGGGAAUGAAAAUUUUUAAAAAGUCAGCUUCUCUCCAUCUGUCUCAAGGCAGAGCAGCAAUGAACCCUGUUUAGUUUGGUUGGUCAGGACAUCCUCCUUUCAGAGGUUUCUAUGGAUAUUGCCUGCAGACUCUAGUUGAUGAUUUAUCCUUUUCAGUCAUAAUGGGUGCUUAGUAUUAUAAAUAUUGCCUAGCUCUGAAGGAAAGAAAGGAUGAAAGGAAAUGAUGCCUACUUUAAAAACCCUUGACCCUCCAUUCCUACUUUACCCACCACUGCCAGUGUGGGAACAAAUUCUGAUAUGCCUACUCUCUUCCUCUUUAGCCUCCUGCUUAAUCUUUGAGGGGCAGAUUGACUUGUUCUGAUAAGUCAAUUCUGUUCCAGAUCAUUUUGAGAAUAAAGACACUGAGUUUGAACCCAGCAUCUUAUUGAUUUAUGUUUGAGCAAGUCACCUGUUCCCAGAUGUUUGGACCUUCUCCUUAUAAAGCCAUAACCCCACAAAAAUAAUUAUCAGAUGCUUCAUUGUAAAUAUACAACUUAUAUUUGAUUAGUUGGAUUCAUUUUUACUUAGCAGGAUGUGUUAGAAUGUGUGUGAGUAAUAUGUUUUGAUUAUGACUGUGGUAUUAUGAGUCAUUAUUUCUCAGUUUAGAAUGUAUAUAUAUUGUAGGUAUAUAAUUUAUAAUACACCUCAGCUAUAACAGUGUCUUUUAAGGGUCCCAAAUGAACCCUUUCUAUAGUAAGGGUUAAAAUUAAACAAUUGAGUGGUUAUUCUUUACAGCCAUCUUCUUUUUUUUUCUUUCAAAAUUUCAGUUUUAUGCUUUUUGUAGUUUUGAAGUUAUUUUAUGUCCAAAGAAGGAAUUUUUGUUCAUAAAGGUAUCAUGUAUUUAGCAACAUAAAAUCCCACCCAAUUUAGAAAAUUAAAAGUUUCUAAUAAUAAAAGUAAUACAUGCUCACUAUUAAAAAAGUCACAAUUACAGAAAUAUGUAACUUAGGAAGUAAAAGUUCUUGUAAGUCCAAUUUCUUCACCUGAGAUAACAUGUAUUAGUGUGUACUCUUUUAAAAUCCUCUUUAUUAUAAAACUAAACGCAGACAAAAUUAGAAAGUGUGUAGUGAACAUUCUUGAAGUUAUACCCAAGUCAAGAAAUAGAACUUUGGGGACUGGGGGAUGUAGCUCAGGGGUAGAUCAUGUACUUAGCAUGCUAAAUUCAAUACCUAGAAUUAAAAGAGAAAGAGGGAGAGGGGAGAACUUUGCCAUAUACCUCAGAAGCCCCUCCUGUAGCCUAUCCCAACUAAAAUAUCUCCCUCCUAUCCAAUGUAAUCAUUAUCCUGAUUUUUUUUACUACCCUGAUUUUUACAGUAAUUGCUUCUUUGCAUUUUAAAGUAAUAUGUCACCCAUGUACCCUAGACUCUGUAGUUUAGUGUUAUCCAUUUAAAAAAAAAGUUUUGGUAGCCAAUGUAAUCCCAGUUACAUGGGAGGCUGAGGCAGGUAGAUGGCAAGUUUGAAGCCAACCUCAGCAGUUUAGUAAGACCCUGUCUCAAAAUAAAAUUUAAAAAGAGCUCAGUGCUUUCCCUAGCCUUCGAAAGGCCCUCAUUCAAUCCCCAUUAUGGUGUUGAAGGGGUCAGGAGACACAGGGCAGUAGAUAGUAGUUGUUAUAUUCCUUAAGUCUCUUUGAAUCUACAGACUUAUGCCGCCCCACCCCACCUUUUUAAUCCUUAUAUUAUUUGUCUCUUGAAGAACUUAGCCCAUUCCCAAGACUAAAUUCUGGUGAUUUUAUACUCAUGAUGCAUGCCAGUAUGUGCCUUGGACCUCUUUAUUUCUUACAAAUUGUCAGCUGGAUCCAGUGGCUCAAUCAGACUUAGGUUCCACCCCUUUGGUAAGAAUAUAUAUAGUUUAGAGGACUGGGGAUAUAGCUCAGUCGGUAGAGUGCUGGCCUCCCAUGCACAAGGCCCUAGGUUCAAUCCCCAGCACCACACCAAAAAAAAAAAAAAAAAAGUAGUUUGGGGCUUUUUCAUUAGGAAGAGACAUAAUGUUUGACUAACUUUCUUUUUGUUUGUGUGGAGUUACAAGAUGAUAUUCAAAUAUAUCAUUUCUUUAAUAUUUUUAGCUAUAUUACCUUUAAAAAGAGAGAUUUCCCCUGAGAUACUGUUUUAUUACUCAUGGUAUAAUUCAUAAAAGAAAGAUAAGAUAAAUGUUUUCCCCCCCAUAUACCACUUUUAAAGAUAACAAGUUGGUUCCUAGUCAUCCUCUGACUAGAAAUGGUCAAUUAAGUUUUUUUGUGACUCAUGGAUUUAGCAUAUUUCAUAGAUUUUAAUGCAUGAUAAUUAUUACUUUUAUUAAAAUUCAGGUUGUCCCAUCUUUGGUCAAUUGAAGGUUUUUAGGUAAGCCCUUUGAUGCUACCCUAGUACUCUAAGUAGUCUUUUUUUUGUUGUUUGUUUAAUUUCCAGAACUGGGGAUCAAAUCCAAUGUCUUGUGCAUGCUAGACAAGAACUAUGUCCUUAGUCCUUUUUAAUUUAUUUUGAGAUGAGGUCUUACCAAGUUGCCCAGACUGACCUUGAAUUUGUGAUCCCCAUGCCUCAGACACUUGAGUAGCUAGAAUUACAGGUGUGUAUCACCAUGCGCAGGGCCCUAGUAGUCUCUGAUAGCUUUCUUAUUAUCUAGUGUGAUGAGAUAUUAUAGGUUCAUCUUGUAUAUUUCUUGCCCAAGACUGGAGUCAGCUAUUUCUCUCAGAAGCCUUGAUUUUUUUUUUUUCUAAGUACAAAAUGCUAUUUUAAGAGUAAAUUCUGGCCAUUAGGAUUGCUCAUUACUACUGUGUUGGUUAUUGUUUCUAGGCCUUUUCUGUUGAUAAAAGGUAAUAAAUAUGAUGACAUGCCUUAUAUAUCCAAAUGUAUACUUCCUAAUCAUAUUUAGAACUACAGUUUUAAAUCUCUUUGAUGUCUAUUUUCUUCCACAUUAAAAGUCUUGAUUAUAAAUACAGGAAUUAUGCAGUUCAAUUUUCUAAUAAUUGCUUGUUUGCUCUGUCUCAUACAUUUAACAAUUUCAGAAUGGCUACAAAAUCACCCUUGAUAUGAUGACUGAAAACAAUGUGAAAAGUGUGUGUGUGUGUGUGUGUGUGUGUGUGUGUGUGUGUGUUUAUUCUCAUUGUUCUUAACAGCUGCAUUGAAUCUAUAUUGUCAGAGUGUAUAGGCUUUAGGUAUUAGGAUUGAACCCAGGAAAGUUCAACCCUUUUUAACUCUCAUUAAGUCUUAUUUUUUCAGAUAACUAGGACUGGCAAUGAGCAUUAAUAUAUAGUUAUUUGGGUUGUUUGCAGUGAAUUUUCUAAUAAAUUCUUCAGGAAGAGCUCAUUGAGACAAUAUUUUCUGUGUUUUGUGUGUUAAAUUUGUCUGUGGUAUUUAUACCCAGAAGUCACUUUGGUAGAAUGUAAAAUCUUUGGCUCACAUUUUCUUUUUUUUUUUUUUUUUUAAAGUACUCCAUCUUCUGCCGGCAGUAGGCUUUGCUGUAAAAAACAAUGAUGACAACCUGAUUAUAAAUCCUUUUCUUUGUUUAGAUGCCCAAAUGAUCUUUUCUUAUCCCUUAAAAUCCAGCGAGUUUUCUAGACCAUGCCUUGCUCUUGGACAUUCCUGGAUUCCUGGUCAUCAUUAUUCUCAGGUAUUCAGUGUGUUGUUUGUUUUUUUGGAACUGGGGAUUGAACCCAGGAAAGCUCAACCACUAAGCCAGGUCCCCAGCCCUUUUUAUUUUUUAAUUUUGAGAUAGAGUCUCAUUAAGUUGCUUAGGGCUUCACUACGUUGCUGGCCUUGAACUUGUGAUCUUCCUGCCUCAGCCUUCUGAGUUGUUGGGAUUACAAGGCAUGCAACACUGGGUCUGGCCACUUAGUGUGCUGAUUUAAUUUAGAGUUUAAAUAUUUUUUACUUUAGAAAAAUUUUUUGAAUAUAAUACAUUUUUGUUCAGUUUUAUGUGAAAUUAGGUUUCUUGAACUUUAAAAAGAAGGAUGGCUUUGGUGUUCUUUUCCUUUGGGUUUUCAUUAUCUUUAUGUUGGAUCUUUGUCUUCAUUGUUUUAUCAGUUUCUUACAAAUCUUCCUUUUUCCCCUACAUUUCUUUCUUUUUUAAAAAAAAUUAUUAUUAUUUUUUUAGAAGUAGUUGGACACGGGGCUGGGGAUGUGGCUCAAGCGGUAGCGUGCUCGCCUGGCAUGCGUGCGGCCUGGGUUCGAUCCUCAGCACCACAUACAAACAAAGAUGUUGUGUUCACCGAAAACUAAAAAAUAAAUAAAUAUUAGAAAAAUUCUCUCCCUCCCUCCCUCCCUCCCUCUCUCUCUUAAAAAAAAAAAAGAAGUAGUAGUAGUAGUUGGACACAAUACCUUUAUUUUGUUUAUUUAUUUUUAUGUGGUGCUGAGGAUCGAACCCAGGGCCUUGUACGUGCUAGACAUGAGUGCUCUACCUUUGAUCUAUAACCCCAGCCCUGACAUUUCUUUUUUUUUUCCUUCAAUUUUCCUCCUUUUCACUUUCUAUUUAUCUUAAAGCAUUUUCUAUUGUGAUGAUUUGUUCUUUAAUUUUUGAUUCUUCUUUUACUUCUAGCACCUCAUUUCUGAUUUUUCUAUUGUUCUUGAAUAUCUCUUAAUCAUUUAAAAAAUGUCUUGGUCUGGAAUUGUAAUUUUAAUAAUAGUGUGUUAUGUUGAGAGCCACAGCCAGUCGGAAUGGCCCCUGGCAUUUUGCCAGAAGUAAUGGUUGAGAGGCGAGCCAUUAAGAUGAUGCUGGAUUGAUUCCAUUGUAUAUUAGACCUUUACUGUCGGGUAUAGGGCACCUCUUGCUGCCUCGGGGGCGCCCGCUACUUUGGAGUUCCCGUUAGGGUUCUCCCAGGAUUCGGAGAGUGGGCAGCCUGGGGAAGGAGUUCUGGUUGGUGUGUGGUGUGCCUGGAAGGGCCACGUGGGUGGCAUUCCAGAGUUCAGAAAUAAAGUUUGUUCCUGCUUGAGUGGCUCAUGAUUUGUGCCCAGCCAGACUGUGGCAGUGUUUGCCCAGCAUGUAUGAGACACUGGGUUCAAUCUCCAGUACUGAAAAACAAAGACCCAAAAUUAAUUUUGAAAUUGGAAGUGAUGUUUUAAUGUGUUUUGGCUAUGUCUUUCUGGCUCGUAUUCACUAUAAGGAUGUUAUUCCUCUCCUUAUAUGUAUUUUUAAUUUUAAUUUUAUUGUGUAGGAUUGUAUCCCAGUACUUUUCUGUUGUUUAUUUUUGAGUGAAAUUAAGUUUCCUGAACUUCUAGGAAGAUGUGUGCUUUAAUUAUCUUUUCUAAACUUGUAGUGAUCCCUCUUCUGUUUGCAUGUAGUGCUCAGAAAUGUGGAGGCGGCUUGCACUAUGACGUUUCCUGGCAGUUUUCCUCCUGUACUUUCAUUUGGACUUUCUCUUUCCAUUUUUCCCCCAUUGUCCUAGUGUGUUCAAUUUUGAUUUCACUUCUAGCAUUGUCUUGUCAGUGUGAGACUUUGUCCUGGUUGGGAGAAUUGGUUGGUUGAUUUGAGAGUUCAGUGAGAGUUAGACUCCUGUUAUUCCUUGAAAUAUCUUACCCCAGCUAAACACAUGUCCUUGUCUUCUAUUGGACUGUGAAACAUUAUUUCUAGGUUCACUCCUGUUCUCCUGACUUCUAUCACAUCUUCUAGUGAAUGCUUAUUGGCUAUCUUGGGUUUUCCUGAUUUUUAGGUCUGUCAGAAACCUUGUUGCUUCCCAAUUUCUUUUCACUUAGUUCUGAUAUAAAUGUUGCUGAUAGAUUUGAUUUUGCUGUCUAGUUGCUGAGUUUUUUUUUUUUUUAAUGUGAGGCAUUGGAUCAUUUUCAAAAACUAUGCUGCCGCCACACUAACAGAUAUGUUCCUUAAAAAGAUGAAAUCAUACUUGCAACUUGUUCUUUUUGCUUAGUCUUAGUCAUCUUUUUAUGUUGGUAAAAAUCUCCCUCUUUCUUGUCUAAGAUUAUUCCACUGAAAAGAUAUGCUAUAUUAUGUAACAAAUCCCCUACUGAUGGACAUUCUUAUUGUUUCUCAUUUUUACAAUUAUUAAAAUGCUAUAAUGAACAUUCUAUCCAUGUAUUAUACACUUUGGGGAAUGUUUUCAUUGGAUAAAUUUCUAGAAGUGGAAUCUGCUGGAUCAAAUGGAAAGAACACUUUCAAUUUUAAUAGAUCUUACUGGAUGCCAAAAGUGUUACACUAAUUUUUAUCCUUAUGAUAAAAAUGAUAUUAGAAUGUCUAUUGCUGCAUGGCCCUGCCAGUAUUUACCUAGAGGUUCCUCAAGGUAGGGAUUUAUAUGUGUGUUUGGAGAGUGAUUUACAGUCCUCCUUAAGAAACUGGUAUAGUCUAUGGACUUUCUCCUCAGAUAAUUUAAUGUAUGUGUGUGUGUACGCGCGCACACACACACACACACAAUACAUAAUUUAUAUACGGACAUUUUUCUUGUGUUAGGUAAGCUUUGAAACCAGCAGGGGUAUUGGUAUCUUGGUAUCUUGGAAGGCAGCAAGUAACCAUGGAAGGUUAAGAAUAGGAUGACAACAGAACUGUCCUUGGGGAUGUUACACUUGACUGCAGUAGGCAAGUUAUUGAUACAAGGAGGGAACAUUUAGCUUCUCAGUGAGGUAUGACCUCCUCAGAUUUUUUCCCAUGAUGUUGGAAUCCCUAAGGUUCAGAGGAAUUUGCCUUCUCUUUUAUAAGUUUGAAAUGAGAGGAUGUCAUGGAGAUUGGCUUUUUGGGAAAUUAUGUCUGUCAAAGGGGAGUCGUACCAGAAAUGUCAGUAAGGUCUGACUCUACCUGAGAGGGAACACCAAGGACAGAGCUUUCACAUACUGCCUGGGUACUUGUGUAUAAGUGGAUAGUGUAAUCAACUGACAGUUGCAGGGGUUCUGGGGGCUGUGCAGCUAGGGCAAUAUUAGCUGUUGUGAUGGUAGGGUGGAAUUGUGAAGCAGGCUGCUUGUUGUACGUAUACACAUCAGCAGGUUUCCUGGAGCACCAACCCAGAACAUCCAGGCCUCCUUGCCCAUUCUUGGGUGGGCAUCCGCCCUCAGGGCUCUCUGAAGAGCAGAAAGAACAGAACAGCUGCCUUUAUAAGCUUUUCAGUGCAUUGUUAUAAAGCUGGCUUAAGCUUGUGAUUGAGCUAAGUUUAUUGGGGAGCCUGAAACUUCUCCCUUGCUGCUGCCUGGCAGUUAUUCUGAUUUGCCCAAGUUAUGUUGCUGGAUAUGGCCUCUUUUAUUUCUGUCUCAAGAAAAAGGACAGAAACCAUGCCAUCUUACAUGGGUUUGUUGGCCUGUAGGUGGCUUGCAUCAUGGAAGGCUAAAGUGAGUGUUUUUAGUGUGAUAUAGAUCUGGUUUAAAGAGCUCAUUUGCUGUCCUCUCAAGUUGGAUGCAGUCUUCAUUGUUACUGGAUUUUGUGGGCAGUAUGACAUGUAAAUGUUAUAGAAGUCAUUACCUCUCUACCUCUCCUCUAUAGAAUUUAGUCAGGUAUUUAUUGAGAAGUGUUGUCACAGUUUGAGCAUGUCAUGGCACUGGUCCCUGUCUCAGCUGGGAAUACUGAACAAGUCAUAGAGAAGCAAGAGCCAGCUAAACACAUUAUUACAGCUCUCUGGUAUCUGCCUUAAGUAUCUCAUAUACAUGUCUCUUAUUCUUCAUAAUGAACUCUAUGAAGCUGUCAGUUGUGUAACCUGAAGUCCCUUCUGCAUAUGGGUAACAAGCUAUUUGUCCAAGGGCUCAGAGCUAUUAAGUAGUGGAAUCUGUUCUUCUCUGAGCUAUGCCCUUCACCACUAGAUUGAACAACUGACCAGGUUACACAAAUGCUAGAGGCUGCAGCUCCAGCUGAUGAAAUUAGCAAUGCAAGUGAAAAAAAGCAAAGCACAACACUAGUUUGUAGGUCUUUUAACACUGAUGAUCCAAAAUGUUAAGCUAAGAGGCAAUAAAUUGAGAUUUUUACCUCACUUUGAUAAGCAAAAGGCAGCUCAGGUAACUAAUCUCAUUUUGUUGUUUCAGGAUAUGUUUAGAAUACAAUUUUGUGUUUUAAAUUUGAUUAAAAAGAGCAGUUUUAGCAUUUUCAUUUGGUUCCCAGUCAACCUAUGUUCAAAGUGUCAUUUAACCAAUAAAUAUUAUGAAAAACAAGAGUCAGAAAUGGUUGCACCACUACUGCUAAUGAGUUGCUAAUGAAGUUAUGGUUGGGUGGGAAAGGCAGGCACUCUGGAAUUGUCAGGAGUCAUCUUCAGAAAAUGAGCAAUAGCAGAGCUGAGGAUCCUGCCCCUGGGAAAUGGGCAUGCGUAAUUCCUUUACUCCCAGUUCACCAAUUUUUUUCCUUCAUCAUUAUGAAAUGAAGCUCAUUGUCAGGAUCUCAGGGUUAAUUUCAAUUGUUCUGGGAAUGUUUAAAAUUCAUUUUUAUUUGACUCAAUGGUUUUGAGGUGAGUAGAGAACUAGAAGAACUGUGGUUGUGUUAUGGCUUAUUUCCAACUGCCUGGCCUUGGAUUUCUGAGUGAUACCCUUUCUCUUUUAAUUUUUUUUGUCUUUUCUAUUUAUCCCAUCACAUGUAUACACAUCCACACAACUGAAAACAGAGUGAAGCCUGAGCAAGUUCAGGGUUAUAGGGAUGAGGGAACAGGGAGUGGAUGAGGAGCCUAUUUUACAUAGAGAAAAGGGGCCAGAGCUUGACUACCAUAGCAGUGAACAGGAUUAUUGAAAACCAGAUUCCUAGCAUGGGUAUAAAAGCCCAAGUGUUCUGAUUAAGGGGCUGUGCUAAUAAGUCUGAUCUUCUGCAGGAACACAUUGAUGGUACAGAGAAAGAGGAGCAGAGGCAAUCAACUAGCUAGGAAAUAAGUGUGGGAUGCCCAUUAUAGGUUGCUGUGUGAAAAUAGCCUUUUUACUUUCUUCUCCUUGGCCUCCUUUACUUCAUCUCUGAAUUUAUUAAAUUUGGGGCUGUGGUAGGUUCCCAGGGCUAGUGGGGGGAGCUACUGCAGAUGCUUAAAGGACUGAUGCAAUUGUGGGGAAGAGUCUGACAGGGCUAUGACAGGAGUCAUAGUUUUUCUAGUCAGAAUGCUACCAUCCCUUAAUGUUCUUUCUAUUCCAUACCCAUUCCCCUGAUUCAGGUUUUAUGAUAAUAGCUUGCUGACUGCCUCCUGCUUCUUGGCUCCCUGUUUUAUAUGCUGAGCUCCAUCUAGGAGCUCAUUUAGGGUUAUGCAUUUGCUUGCCUGAAAGUGAUGUCUGGACUUGGAAUUUUAAGUGUCUUUACUCUUCUCCUCUAAUUACUUCCUACUCCUUAAUGACCAGGAUUGAUCUUGUUCAUGGUGAUAUCCAUUUGUCCCUGUGCUGCACAGUAGAAAGAAUACCUAGAAAAGAGCAAGCUCUUGUCUAGUCUUCAGUAAGUGCUUGUUGACCAGCCAGUUGUGGAAAGAGGCUCAACAUGUCCUAGAUAUGCUUACUAGGAACCUUGUCCUGAUAACUCUUCAGGGAACCUCUUCCACUGUAAUAGGAAAUCUUCUGAGUAGCAUCAAUAGUCCUUGUCCUUGGAGAGCAGAGUCCUUGUCCUGGUGAAAUCUGUUUAUAGAAUUUUGUGGACAGCUAUUUUCUUUCUGCCUUUAUGAUUGGAAAGACAGUAGUUAGGUUGUAGCAGAUGAGUUGUUUGAGAGUAGUUCUGAGGGGACAGUGGGAGAUGUGAGGGUAGCUGUUCUGAGGGUCUUGAUUGCAGUUUAGGGAUUUCUGCCCUUGCUUGGAAGCUAUGUCAAAAAAUUCUUCUAAGUCCCUACCCAGAUUCUAGAUUUUAUGACUCAGAGUAAAAAUGGUUUUCAUUAUUUAUUCCUUUAUUUUAAAAUGCACAAAUAUAACUACAAUCCAGAAUGGCUCAAUUGAUUAAAAAAUUUUAAAAGAUCUUCAUUUGCAAUCCCCCCACCCCCCAAAAAAGGGCAACGUUAAGCAUUGGUUCAGGGUUCAGCACCCUGGAGAGGUUUGUGCACAUUUUUCUGUUACUUGUUCAGUUCAAGUCCUGCCUUAGAGACAGGAUAGAUGCUUAUUUGUGUGAGGCAGGGAUCUUGCCAGGACUUGUUUGGGGGUUUUGAAUAAAAAGGCAGGAGGAUAGGGCUGUGGUAGUCAUGGCAACCAGGCCUGUAAUGUCUCAGCUAUGACCAGCCCUAGUUAGAUUGGCUGCCCCAGUGAGGGGCCUGGCAUUCUUCCUGUGGCAUAUUCUUCUUAUUCCUUUCUAUCUGGGGAAGGGGGAGCUGGCAUUGAAGCUGACCUUUCUGGAGGCCUACUGUGUGCCCAGAGCUGAGCCUGAGCUGGGGGUACAAAUAAUUGGUCCCUGCCCUUCUGAAACUUGGCAUAAUAAGGAGAUUUUAUUCUUAACACAUACCUGGAAGACUUGACAAAUAAAAUGUCUUUGUUUCAUCUGGGUUGACAUUUACCUUUCGGGGUCUGCUUUUCCUGAAGCAGUUUUUACUUCUGAGCACUGAAACAGUUCUUUUCUCAUUUGUUCCUCGCAGUAGUGAAGCACAUUAGGAAAAGCAGACAUGGUAAAUUCUUUUCAUUUGACAGAUAAGAGUAUGAAGAUUUGGAAAGACAAAGAAAUUGGGCUAAAUUCACCUGGUUGUCAAAGACUGGCUUGACUGGGUAGCAAAAUUCUAGGGCUCAUGUCUAGCUGGCACAGCCUUUCACUUUCUGCCAUUUUGUCUGGUAGUUCCUGGAGUGAUAAGUCCCAGGCAGGAGCCUCCAGAGGCACGUCAUCUACCCCUGCUCUUGAAAUCACAAAACUGCAGAAGCAUCUAAUACCAAGGCAGACAUGAGAGCAAUGUGGAAUUCGUCUCAGUUGGCCCUGUUUUUACUGAAGCAGGGCAGCCUGUCUCAGCAUAGCCUCACCACAGGAGGACUCUUCCUCUGUGAGGAAGGGUCCACCAGGAGGUGGGAAGAGUUGGGACAAAGACUGCAUCAGACAAAAUUUGUUAAUAGAUGAAAUGUAUCUUUUUCCAGCAGUGAUAAAUUGACUCUGUGGCCUGAAUUCUAUUUAUAGGUAUGUUUUGUUUGGCUUUUAGGUGUAAAAUUUGAAUGCUUUCUGAAGGGGUACUUUUCACAGCCCUCAUCAUUCCUGUUUGUUUUUUUGGAGGGCGGGGGGCAGAUGACCCUUACUCAUCUCCCUACCUUCUUCCUUCCUGUUGGUAUUUGAGUUGGCUCUUGUCUCUUGGAUCACUAUUUCUUUUUUUUUUUUUUUUUUUAAGAGAGAGAGAGAGAGGCUUUUUUUUUUAAUAUUUAUUUUUUAGUUUUCGGCAGACACAACAUCUUUCUUUGUAUGUGGUGCUGAGGAUUGAACCUGGGCUGCAGGCAUGCCAGGUGAGUGCGUUACCACUUGAGCCACAUCCCCAGCCCGGAUCACUAUUUCUUACCUGCCUAUCUACCAAGGUCCCUUUGCCUAGCUGCUUCUUGGCAUCAGACUUCCUAGGCUCAUUUUCUUCUUCCUGUCUUUCCCAGAACAGCCAAUCUGGGGCUGUGUCUAGGCUCUGAGCUUAGCUUUCUAUGCUGGCCCCUAGGAUUACUUACUGUCACAUUGGACUGCAUCUAAUAGAUUAUUGCACAUGGGGUUUAAAAGGAGAUAAUACUGCUUUAUUUGAAAGAAUACAUUUUUAAAACAAAUGUAUUGAGAUACAACUUAUAUAUACAUCAUCAGGUUCUCUCAUUUAAACUGUUAAGUGGGAAUAAUUCUCAAAUGUCCUAGGUAGAAUAGAGCAGUAGUUUCCAGAAUAUGGUAUUUUAUGGACCAAAAAAACUUCAAAAGAAAAUUUUGGGAACUAAAGCCAACUUUUUACUGUGCUGAGUUAAAGGCCUUAGCAUAGAAACCACCAACUACCAUCCAUCAUCAUCAUUACCUCAUUUUAUAAAAGGACAUUUUAACACUAGAAAGAGAGAAACUAUAUAAUUUUAGAUAAGAGAACUAUUAUUUUAUUGAAUCCUCUUAACUUCCUAUUUUAGGACCAUUGGAUUGAAUUGCUACCAUAAACAAAAUACCUCAAAGCUUGGUGGUUUAAAACAAUAGUAAUUUCUUUUUGUAUGUAUCUGACUUUUAGAAUCAUAGUAAUAGUUUACAUACCCUUUGCAUGCUUUCAAGUAAAUAGUUGAGGACAUGGAGGAGUGGGACCUACAAAAUGAACAAAUACUAACAAAUGAACCACAUAUUACAAAUUAAUAGGAUAGCCAUGCUAAAGGGAAUGGGGGAGAAAAGAACAACCUAGGUGAUUUUAUGAAAACAAUAUCUUCAUUAGAUACUAUAAAGUCAGAGAUAAAAGAACUAUACACAAAUGUGAUCUAGUUUUGUGAAUGUGUUUCUCAAAGGGGUAUGUAUGUGUUGGCAGUAUUGAAACUAUUUUAUACUAGAAUUGAGCAAUAAAUAAAAAUAUAGUGGAUAAUAAGAGCCAGGUUUCUCACUAUUGAAGAAAGAUGAUUUAAAUAAGUGGGAAGACGGAUGACUUUAUGGUGUUAGUUUGGAAUCCAUGAUAUCAAUAAAACUUGUGGUUUUAAAAAUACACACAGCCAGGUGAGGUAUGCAAGCCUGUAAUGCCAGCAACUUGGGAGGCUAAGGCAGGAGGAUCCCAAGUUCAAUGCCAGCCUCAGCAACUUAGCAAGCAGGCCCUAAGCAACUCAGUAAGACCCUGUCUAAAUAAAAUAUCAAAAAGGGCUGGGGAUAUGGCUCAGUGGUUUAGUACCCCUGGGUUCAAUUCCUGGUACCAAAAAUAAAUAGAAAAAUAUAUAGAUAAAUAGAAAAAUGUGUAUAUAUUUAUAUAUAUGUGUACUGUCUCAUAUAUGUUUGAAGAAUCUAAGUCCAUUGACUAAGAGAUCUUAGAAGCAAUGACACCCCAGUAGUAAUGAACACAACCUACCACUCAGAUCUUGAUUUUUAAACAUUGUUCUCCAGACAUCCCCCGCCCCGGGAUUGAACCCGGGGUUUCACAAUACUAGGCAAGCACUCUCUCACUGAACUACAUCCCUAAUUCUAACAUUAUUCUGGGGGAAAGAAAAACAAACAAACACAAAAAAUAAAUCAAAAGACCCUAGGGCUCUUGAAAAGUGGCUGAUUCCAGGGUUAGGGAAAGGAGAGUACAAGAUGAACCUGGAACUUCUUAUAGAACCAAAAAGUAUUAAAAAAUAAAAUACUUUUAGAAAGAAAAUGAUGGAGAAGGAGAAGGGACUUAUCAAAAAAAUACGAAUAGUGAGAUCCUAAUUGCCAAAGUUGAAAUAAUUUGAUCAACAAAAUAAGUAAUAGUGUUGGAUCAUAACCCAGAGAAAAAAAUGAGUCUAUUCUGCAUUGAUGUACAUAAAUAAUUAAAUAGAUGCAAAAGUCACCAUUUUUUAAUUGGUUGCUCAAAAUAUUACAGUGAUCUUGACAUAUUUCAUACAUUUGAUUCAAGUGGGGUAUGAAUUCUUAUUUUUACCACGUGUACAGAUUGCAGGAUCACAUUGGUUAUACAUCUAUGUGUAUAUAUACNNNNNNNNNNNNNNNNNNNNNNNNNNNNNNNNNNNNNNNNNNNNNNNNNNNNNNNNNNNNNNNNNNNNNNNNNNNNNNNNNNNNNNNNNNNNNNNNNNNNNNNNNNNNNNNNNNNNNNNNNNNNNNNNNNNNNNNNNNNNNNNNNNNNNNNNNNNNNNNNNNNNNNNNNNNNNNNNNNNGUCUCUGAUUUGAUAUCAAGCUCCUUGAUCCAUUUUGAAUUAACUUUUGUGCAUGGCGAGAGAAAGGGAUUCAGUUUCAUUUUGUUGCAUAUGGAUUUCCAGUUUUCCCAGCACCAUUUGUUGAAGAUGCUAUCCUUCCUCCAUUGCAUGCUUUUAGCCCCUUUAUCAAAUAUAAGAUAGUUGUAGUUUUGUGGAUUGGUUUCUGUGUCCUCUAUUCUGUACCAUUGGUCCACCCGCCUGUUUUGGUACCAGUACCAUGCUGUUUUUGUUACUAUUGCUCUGUAGUAUAGUUUGAAGUCUGGUAUCGCUAUACCGCCUGAUUCACACUUCCUGCUUAGCAUUGUUUUUGCUAUUCUGGGUCUUUUAUUUUUCCAUAUGAAUUUCAUGAUUGCUUUCUCUAUUUCUACAAGAAAUGCCGUUGGGAUUUUGAUUGGCAUUGCAUUAAACCUAUAGAGAACUUUUGGUAAUAUCGCCAUUUUGAUGAUGUUAGUUCUGCCUAUCCAUGAACAGGGUAUAUUUUUCCAUCUUCUAAGAUCUUCUUCUAUUUCUCUCUUUAGGGUUCUGUAGUUUUCAUUGUAUAAAUCUUUCACCUCUUUUGUUAGGUUGAUUCCCAAGUAUUUUAUUUUUUUUGAAGAUAUUGUGAAUGGAGUGGUUGUCCUCAUUUCCAUUUCAGAGGAUUUGUCGCUGAUAUACAGGAAUGCCUUUGAUUUAUGCGUGUUGAUUUUAUAUCCUGCCACUUUGCUGAAUUCAUUUAUUAGCUCUAAUAGUUUCUUUGUAGAGCCUUUUGGGUCUGCUAGGUAUAGAAUCAUAUCAUCUGCAAAUAGUGAUAAUUUAAGUUCUUCUUUUCCUAUUUUUAUGCCUUUAAUUUCUUUCGUCUGUCUAAUUGCUCUGGCCAGUGUUUCGAGAACUAUGUUGAACAGAAGUGGUGAGAGAGGGCAUCCCUGUCUUGUUCCAGAUUUUAGAGGGAAUGCCUUCAAUUUUUCUCCAUUCAGAAUGAUGCUAGCCUGAGGCUUAGCAUAGAUAGCUUUUACAAUGUUGAGGUAAGUUCCUGUUAUCCCCAGUUUUUCUAGUGUUUUGAACAUAAAGGGAUGCUGUACUUUGUCGAAUGCUUUUUCUGCGUCUAUCGAGAUGAUCAUAUGGUUCUUAUUUUUAAGUCUAUUGAUGUGGUGAAUGACAUUUAUUGAUUUCUGUAUAUUGAACCAGCCUUGCAUCCCAGGGAUGAAUCCUACUUGAUCAUGGUGCACAAUCUUUUUGAUAUGUUUUUGUAUCCAAUUUGCCAGAAUUUUAUUGAGGAUUUUUGUAUCUAAGUUCAUUAGAGAUAUUGGUCUGUAGUUUUCUUUCUUUGAAGUGUCUUUGUCUGGUUUUGGAAUCAGGGUGAUGUUGGCCUCAUAGAAUGAAUUUGGAAGAGCUCCCUCUUUUUCUAUUUCCUGAAAUAACUUGAAAAGUAUUGGUAUUAAUUGUUCUUUAAAAGUUUUGUAAAACUCUGCUGUAUACCCAUCCGGUCCUGGGCUUUUCUUGGUUGGUAGUCUUUUGAUGGCUUCUUCUAUUUCCUCCAUUGAUAUUGGUCUGUUUAAGUUGUGUGUAUCCUCCUGACUCAAUCUGGGCAAAUCAUAUUACUUAAGAAAUUUAUCGAUGUCUUCACUAUCUUCUAUUUUAUUGGAAUAUUAGGUUUGAAAAUAAUUUCUAAUUAUCUUCAGUAUUUUUGUGGUGUCUGUUGUGAUAUUGCCUUUUUCAUCCCUUAUGCUACUAAUUUGAGUACUCUAUCUUCUCUUUGUUAGCAUGGCUAAGGAUCUGUUGAUCUAUUUAUUUUUUUUCAAAGAACCACUUUUAGUUUUGUCAAUUUUUUCACUUGUUUCUUUUGUUUCAAUUUCAUUGAUUUCAGCUCUGAUUUUAAUUAUUUCUUGCCUUCUACUACAUUUGCUGUUGUUUUGCUCUUCUUUUUCUAGGGUUUUGAGAUGAAGUGUGAGAUCAUUUAUUUGUUGGUUUUUUCUUUUUUUGAGGAAUGAACUCCAAGCAAUGAAUUUUCCUCUUAGAACUGCUUUCAAUGUGUCCCAUAGAUUCUGAUAUGUUGUGUCUGUAUUUUCAUUUAUCUCUAAGAAUUUUUUGAUUUCCUCCUUUAUGUCUUCUGUAACCCAUUGAUCAUUCAGUAACAUAUUGUUCAUUCUCCAAGUAAUGUAAGAUUUUUCCUUCCUUCCUUUUAUCGUUGAUUUCCAGUUUCAUUCCAUUAUGAUCAGAUAAGAUGUAUGGUAUUAUCUCCACACCUUCAUAAUUUCUAAGAGUUGCCCUAUGGCAUAAUAUAUGGUCUGUUUUUGAGAAGGAUCCAUGUGCUGCUGAGAAAAAAGUAUAUCCGCUUGAUGAUGGUUGAUAUAUUCUAUAUAUGUCAGUUAAGUCUAGGUUAUUAAUUGUGUUAUUGAGUUCUUUAGUUUCUUUAUUCAACUUUUGUUUGGAAGAUCUGUCCAAUGGUGAGAGAGGUGUGUUGAAGUCACCGAUAAUUAUUGUGUUGUGGUCUAUUUGACUCUGUAACUUGAGGAGAGUUUGUUUUAUGAAUGUAGCAGCACCAUUGUUUGGUGCAUAAAUAUUGAUAAUUGUUAUGUCUUGGUGGUGAAUGGUUCCCUUUAACAGUAUAUAGUGUCCUUCUUUAUCCCUUUUGAUUAACUUAGGCUUGAAGUCGAUUUUAUUUGAUAAUGAGGAUGGCCAUCCCUGCUUGCUUCUGAGGACCAUGUGAGUGGUAUGAUUUUUCCCAACCUUUCACCUUCAGCCAGUGCAUGUCUUUUCCUAUCAGAUGAGUCUCCUGGAGGCAGCAUAUUGUUGGAUCUGUUUUUUUUAAUCCAGGUUACCAGCCUAUGUUGCUUUAUUGGUGAGUUUAAACCAUUAACGUUUAGGGUUACUAUUGAUAUAUGGUUUGUACUUCCGGUCAUGUUUGUUUGCUUAUUUAUUCAUUUAUUUUUAAUUGGUUUGUUUUUCCCUCUUUAAUUAGUCCCCCCCCCCACUUUACUGAGGUACUUCCCACUGUUGGUUUUGUUUAUUGUUUUUCAUUUCCUCUUCGUGUAUUGUUUUGCCCAAAAUGCUUUGCAGUGCUGGUUUUCUGGCUGUGAAUUCUUUUAACUUUUGUUUAUCGUGAAAGAUUUUUAUUUCGUUGUCAAAUGUGACAGCUUAAUUUUGCUGGAUACAAUAUUCUUGGUUGACACCCAUUAUCUUUCAGCAUUUGAAAUAUGUUGUUCCAGGAUCUUCUCACUUUCAGUGUCUCUGAUGAGAAAUCAGCUGUUAACCUAAUUGGUUUACCCCUGAAUGUAAUCUGCCUCCAUUCUCUUGUAGCUUUUAAUAUUCUCUCCUUGUUCUGUAUGUUGGAUAUCUUCAUAAUAAUGUGUCUUGGAGUUGGUCUAUUGUGGUUCUGUGUGUUCGGCGUUGUAGGCUUCUAGGAUUUGGACAUCCGUUUCAUUUUCAUGUAUGGAAAGUUUUCUAAAAUUAUUUCAUUCAACAGAUUGCUCAUUCUUUUGGUUUGGACUAUACCUUUCUCUAUCCCAAUGACUCUUUUUUUAAAAAAAUAUUUAUUUUUUAGUUUUCGGCGGACACAGCAUCUUUGUUUGUAUGUGGUGCUGAGGAUCGAACCCGGGCCGCGCGCAUCCCAGGCGAGCGUGCUACCGCUUGAGCCACAUCCCCAGCCCCCCAAUGACUCUUAAGUUUAGUUUUUUUUAUGAUAUCCCAUAUCUCUUGGAUGUUUUGCUUGUGAUUUCUUACCAGCCUUUCUGAGUUGACUAGACUCUUAUUGAGAUGAUAUAUUUUGUCUUCAUUGUCUGAUGUUUUGACUUCUAUUUGAUCUACUCUACUAUAAUACUCUCAUUUGAGUUUUUAAUUUGGUUUAUAUUUUCCUUCAUUUCUAGGAUUGUUGUUUGAUUUUUUUUAAUAACCUCUAUCUCCCAGUAGAAUUGUUGAUUUGCUUCUUGAAUUUGUUUGUGUAGUUUGUUGUUGAGGUGUUCUUUCAUUGUUUGCAUUUGCUGUCUAAUGACUUCUUUAAGAUUCCAUUCCAUCUGAGUCAGGUAUGCCUUGAGUUCUUUAUCUGACCAUUUUCCUGAUGCCUUUAGGUUCUCCUGUAGAUUUAGGCUGUCUUGCAUUGUUUGUAAUCCUUUUUUUCCUUGUUUUUUGUUUUGUUUUGUUUUUUUUUUUAGGAUGCUCGAGUUACUUUCCGGCUCUGUUUGACUGCUGUGUUACUAUUUACUCCUAUAAAUUUGUUUUGGUUUUGUAUAUCUUCGGGAUCUCUCCUUUGUGAUGGGAGACUAUGUCUAGAGAUGUUGGGUUUUAUUGUACUUUAAAGCAAAUUCAUUCGUUUCAUAAAUGACAUGUGGAUUCUGAUGGCAUAUAGCGACUUGCGGUUUGGUCUUAGGACUUUAUGUUUGGGUUGGGUGAUGUGAUGGUAUGGGGGUUGGUAUAUCUUAGCAACCUUGGAAGAUUGCUCUACUGAAGGGGGGAUAUUAACAGGAGAAUAGAACAGAGUAUUUGCUGGUAGCUAGGGACUUGGGAUUAUCGUAGACCGCCUCGGAACCUUCACCUAUAUGCAUUUAGUAAAUUACACAUAGUUGAAGUCAUAAUGCUUGGGAGAAAAGGUAGGGGAAGGGGAAGGAAGAAGUCACUAAAGAGAGAGAGAAAGAAAAAUAGGAAGAAUAAAAGAAAAGGGGAAAAAAUUGAAAAAAAAUGCAGUCUUAAGAGUUCGAUUAUCUUCUCUUCCAGUAGGUGGAGCUGUGCCCUCCGGGCCAAGCUUCUGCCCUCAAGACGCAGGAAACAAUCCCUGUGAUACCGCUCCUCCUCCCCAGCCGGGCGGCUCACCAAUCCUGGUCAUUGGCCCAGGGACCCCCACUUCUCCUGCUAGCCAGGUCCCACUCACCGGUGGCAUUCUCCACAGAUCUAGCUACACUCCAGGCCUAUAGCCCCCUGGGUUCCCUGUUCUCUUAAACAACUGUGCACUCUCUCUGUUUGCCAUUCACCCAGACCCCGAUGUUGUGGAGCAUGGGGGCUGGGGGCCAUCAGCUUAUUUUGCCUGAUUCCCUCCGGUAGCCACGCCCCCGGGAACUGGCGGAAAAAGGCCUGGGCUGACACUGCUGGUGGGAGGGGGAGAUGGAGGUCAUGUGCCCCUCCUGAUUCCCUCUGCUCUGAUUAUUAUGCCCACAGAGAGCUGGGGAGAGAUUUUUGAGAUUUCCCAGCUGUAUGGGGAGGGAGGGCUCAGGGUCACACACCUGUGGUCGCCAAUUUCGCUGUGGAGGGUUCCAUCUGCGGAACUCUGAUGGCGUCAGUUAUCUGCCAUGGUGGAGGCCCGUUUCCUUGCGGGAUGUGCAAUGGGAAGGGUGGGUCUGGAUGUCUCUCCUAAAUCCUACCUCGGCUCUCGGUCCACUGGCCCAUGGAAGUUUGGUUGGCACCACCUCAAAAGAUCCUCCAAAGUUCCAAAGUUUUGUUUCUCUACUCUGCUCUAGGGUCUCUGUAGCGCCGAGUCACUGCGGGUCGGAGGUGUGUGGCAAAUCAACCAGCCAGUAACUCCGCGUGGAGUGGUCUGGAUUUACCCGCACCCGAGUGUGCUGCUGCUUCUUAGAAGCUCAAACUGCUCGCUUAGGUACCACCUCAGCCCAGCGUUGCUGGACGUUCCUGAGCAGACAGCAUCCAGUUGUUCUGAAGUCUCUCUUCGCCAGCAUAGCUGAGGAGGUCAAGAGAUUGCUCCCUCCGCCUGCCAUGUUCCAACUCCUAUUUAUUCCACCACCGUUUGUUUUUUACAAAGUGAUAUUUUUUUCUUAAAUUAUUUUUAAUUGAUUUUUUUUAAAAAAUAAAUGACAGUGGAAUGCAUUACAAUUCUUAUUACACAUAUACAGCAAAAUUUUUUCAUAUCUCUGGUUGUAUAUAAAGUAUGUUGACACCAACAUGUACUUUGGAUAAUGAUGUCCAUCAAAUUCCACCAUCCUUGCUAACCCCCUGCCCCUUCCCUUUUCCUCCCACCCCUCUGCCCUAUCUAGAGUUUGCCUAUUCCUCCCAAGCUCCCUCUCCCUACCCCACUAUGAAUCAGCCUCCUUGUAUCAGAGAAAACACUUGGCAUUUGUUUUUUGGGACUGGCUAAUUUCACUUAGCAUAUCUUCUCCAACACCAUCCAUUUACCUGCAAAUGCCAUGAUUUUAUUCUUUUAUUGCUGAGUAAAAUUCCAUUGUGUAUAUAUGCCACAUUUUUUUAAUCCAUUCAUAUACUGAAGGGCAUCUAAGUUGGUUCCACUGUUUAAAGUUACCAUUUUUCCUUUCAGUGAAAAUCCCAUAAAUAAAUGUCUAAGGAAGGAGGGGAAUAGGAAGUAAAAGAUCACCAUUAAGUAAUUACUCUAAUAGUAAUUGCAGAUGAUCUCCCCUAACAUUAUAUAACGAUUUGUAGGGAUUUGUGUAAUCAAAGUAUUCCCCCAAUUUUUAAAAAUAAUUCAGUGUUUUGUUUUGUUUUUAGUAACUUCACCUUGUGGUACACCAAUAUCUGAUUCUAGAACAUUUUAUCAUCCCCCAAAUAUACCCAUAACCCUAAUACUCCCCAUUCCUUUCUUCCCCUUUCCCUUCCCCUUGAUGGUCACUAAUCUGUCGCUAUGGAUUUGCUAUGUUGGAAAAGGCAUAUAAAAGGAACUAUAUGAAUGUGGCUUUUUGGUGUGUCUUUCACUUAGCCUAAUAUUUUUAAGGUUCAUCUGUGUUAUAGGAUGUGUCAGUAUUUUUUCACUUCUUUAAAUGGUGACAUAGUAUUUCAUUGUGUGGACAGAUCACAUUUUAUUUAUUUGUUUAUAAAUUGAUGGAUAUUUAGGUCAUUUCUAUAUUUUAACAGAUUAUAAUGUUCACAGCAGUAUUAUUUAUAAGUUUUUGUGUGAACAUGUUUUUGGUUUUUUUGGAUAUACAUCUACGUAUAGAAUUUCUGUGUUCACAUACUAACUCUAUGUUCAUGUUUAACUUUUUAAUUUUUUCACAGUUUGACAGUUUCCUGUGAUUUUUGUUUACAACAGUAGAAAAGCAUAGUAGAGAUUACUUUGAUUUGUCAGUCUAGGCUGGAAUCAUCAGUAAUAAGACAUAUUGAAAUCACAAAUCCUGUGAUAUGAUGCAUUGAGAAGGACAUGGCAUCUUUGUGGUGCCUCUGACAGGGGUUUAUGACCUUAGUUUGAUCAUGAAAAGAUAUCAGACAAUCCUGAAUAAACUGAUCAGUAUUCCUCAGGGGUGCCAAGGUAAUAGAUGAUAAGUAAAGACUGAAAAACUGUUGCAGCAUAUAGGAGACCAGGAGAAUAGGCCAUGUGGGAUCUGGGAACUAAAAAAGGACAGUGGAAACACUGGUAAGGUUUGAAAAGGACCUUUCAAAAGGCUAUAGAUAUUGUUCAUUAUACAAUAGUUAUGUAAGAUGUUAACAUUAGGAAGGGGUGUUUGGAAACUCUACCAUUUCUGCAAACUUGGUGUAAGUUCAAACAUAGUUCAAAGUGAAAAAUUUAAAAAGAAAUCCAUUUAUUCUUAUUCAUGUAUCUGCAGAUCAGCUAAACUUGGCCUGAUCAUGGUUGGGCUUAGUGGGGCUUAGCUUUAAUCUGUAGUUUAGGUCCAGGUCUGCUUCAUGAGUCUCCCAUUCUUCUUGGACCAGAAGUCUAGCAACUUUUUCUCAUGAUGAUGACAGAAUCCCAAGACACAAAUCAACUACAAAAGCACAUUUCAAAAACCUCUUUGUGGCACUUUUGCUAGUAUCCCACUGGCCAAAAUACCUCACAAGCCAAAUCUAAAGUCAAGAGGUAGGAAAGUACCCUGUACCACUAGUAUGAGGAACUUCAAGGGCAUGUAGCAAACAGUAUGAUAAGUAGAGAAUAAGAAAUUUGGAGACAAGCACAAUUCACAAUAGCUAGACUAUGGAACCAACCUAGAUGCCCUUUAAUAGAUGAAUGGAUAAAAAAAAAUGUGGCAUUUAUACACAAUGGAGUAUUACUCUGCAUUAAAAAAUGACAAAAUCAUGGCAUUUGCAGGGAAAUGGAUGGCAUUAGAGCAGAUUAUGCUAAGUGAAGCUAGCCAAUCCCUAAAAAACAAAUGCCAAAUGUCUUCUUUGAUAUAAGGAGGGCAACUCAGAACAGAGCAGGGAGGAAGAGCAUGAGAAGAAGAUUACCAUUAAACUGGGAUGAGAGGUGGGAGGGAAAGGGAGAGAGAAGGGAAAUUGCAUGGAAAUGGAAGGAUACCCUCAUUGUUAUACAAAAUUACAUAUAAGAGGAAGUGAGGGGAAAGGGAAAACAAAACAAAAGAAAUUUGGAGACAGUGAUGCAAUCUGCCACCAAUUUUUCUUCCCCUGGAAAAGCAGUUGUUAUCUGGGUCCUGGCCUGUGAUUGACACCAGUAGGUGUCAAAACUCAAGCAUCAGGUAGCCUUAUUUAUUGUGGACAGAAUGUCAGCAGGAUGGGAUACUCAGCCAUAGGAUCUGCUCUCAAAAGAGUCAGUAGUCAGGCUCUGAGGGUUUCUCUGGCAUCCUAACUCCUUUCAUUUAGCUUCUACCUCACUUUUGGCAAAAGUCAUCUACCUCAUGUUAGCAAAUGAUGGUUUUGGAAAGAAGAGUAUUAUUAAUCCAGUGGGGAGUGGGUGGAAGUGGGAAGCUACCUACCUCUGUAAGAAAUGUUUUCAUAAAUCUAGACCUGGAUUCUUCAGGAGAAACGCCAGAUUGACCUUUAAAAGAAAGAGACGUCAGGUAAAUGCAGUCAUAAACCCAAGUAGUUCUCACCAAUCAGACUUUCCCCCCUCUGAAAAAGAAUAAAUUAUAUAUAUAUAUAUGUGUGUGUGUGUGUGUGUAUGUGUGUGUAUAUAUAUAUACACACACAUACAUACAUAUACUUUUACCAUGUUGUUUAGUAUUAUGAAACUACUGGUUAAUCUGAUCUACUGGAGGAUUUAGGAGGAAUUAGAAAUAAAGACCUUAGGUCUCUCUUUCUCUUCAAGAGAAAAAAUGUUUUAUAUCUGUAUUCCAAUGUCUGUAGAUAUACCCUUUUAGGGGGAAAUUUGAAGUCUAGUUGGAAACAUCACACAUUUGAAGGGAAUGAAAAUCCUUUUGACUUCAUGAUUGUAACUGUACCUUUCUGAACCCAGCAGGAUGUCCAUGGCCAUGACCUCUCAGCAAUCACUGUUGCUUUUGAGCAGUGACAGGCGAAGUGUGUGUUGCCCUUUUGUUUUGUGUUUUAAUUUUUUUUUCCUACCAAAGGUAAACAUGUGGACGGGUCCCCCCUCCCCCUUUACUUGUUUGUUAAAUACUUAAUAAAUUUGAGAAGCACAUUAUCAGGAUAUACUGUAUUGACCUUCUGCCCCUCCUCUUCCCUGUUUGAUUUUUGGUUCAGUGGGAAGAGAGAGUCCUGAUACCACUGUAAUAAUGAGAGUUGGGUUUGUAAAUGUCACGGUGAAGAAAUACCUCAAUAAUGUCUAUUUAAAAAACAAACAAACUGAUCUUAUGGGUUAACAAGCCAGCCUGGUGGGAUGUUCUCCAUCAUCAUUUAACCAGCAGUGGUUCUAAAAGUUUUGUGUAUCCACAUGGUCUUAGACCUCCUUUUAAUGAUUGUGUUAACUUACAGCUCAGGUAGUAUUUUUUUCUUAAGGCUAUCUCAGAGCACACUGGCUGAAUGUUGUUGUGUGUAGCAAAGUGUUUACUUUCUUUAAAUAACCAGCUCUGUAAUAGUUCUUUGUUUUUAGCAGUUUGUGUAGUUGUUUUCAGAGGAAGAGUUUUUCACAUUUAGGGGGUUUUCUUGUGUUUAGGGUGUAAGAUAUCUCUUUUCCCCUAAAGUCAAUGCAGAUGAGGGUGGGUGGGUAAAGGGAUGCUUUAAAUUAGCAUGAUAGGUAUAGUCUGUUGGGUGGGAGGGUUGUUAGUAUUUUUUUUUAAUAAAUCUUAUUUAAUACUGUUCAUUAGAUAUCAUGCCUGGUCAGCAAAAUGCUUUAAUUUUUUUUUUUUUUGUAUAGAAUAUGUGUCUCAGUUGAGUUUUUUAUUUUAUUUUUAUUUUAUUUUUUUUAAAGGAAAAGUAAAUGCAGGAUUGGGGGAUUCUAACACAGAUCUUAUGCCCGGUGUUAGUCAUACUGACUACAUUAAACCUCUAAUUUUUAUUAUUUGUUCCAGGCAAACUGAUAGGAGAAAUACGCACCACCACAAUAACUUCUCUGGCUACACAAAGCAGACUGUUGGCCCUUGUGGGGUGCCAACUGCCUUUUGUCUCUUUUUAAGUGGUUUUGGCCUUGGGAAUGCUGACUCCAUCAUUUUGGUGGAUGGGUGGGGAAAUCAAGAUUUUCCCCAAAACCUUUAGUAGGCAAAAGUGGGUUUUUCUUUGUUUGUAUUUCCCCCUCUUCCCCUCUUUGGUUUUUACUUUUAAAUCUUAAAUGUUAAUGUUGCAGGCCGCAGGCAUGACAGGCAAUGAGCAGAUGAAGAACCAAUGGAAUAGUGUUCAAAAACUCCUAUAUUAGCUCACAGGCUUCUGAAUGUAUCGCUUUGGUCCACAGAGAAGGCCGGAGAAGGUAGCAAGGAGAUGCGGUAUUAGCUGCUACAGCCUUAAAACAAAGUUGGUGUCCCUUUGGACUUUAAAAUUGUUCCUAUGCAGCUUAUUUUAUUUUUGUUUAAUCAAAUAAACAAGAGGGUUUUCCAUGGGGGGAAAAAAAAAGAGUCAGUAGUCGAGGGACUGCCAGUGUAGGCUUUGCAGGCCUGUCUGCCUUUCUGGAUCCCAAUUUUAUUUUCUGCCUAUUUAUUCCCUUGCCUCCCAUCUCUGGCUCCUGAUACACACACACACACACACACACACACACACACACACACUCUCUCUCUCUCUCACACGCACACACACACACACACACACACACACACGAUUUCUCUAUGCCUCUGUUUUACUCUUUCUCAAUAUUCUUUCUGGUACUUUUUUCUUCUGCCAUAGAAGUUAAAUGAUGCAGAUCAGAUAACACUCUCUAACUUGGCCUUUUUCCCAAUGGGGUAGAAACCUUUAAAUACUAUAUUUUCUGUUGCUUCUGCCAUGACUGGUUUUACAUUUUAAAUGAGCAUAACCAGUGUUUUGAGUUAAUGUUACUGUGCUUGCUCCUGGGGUGGCUUUUGUGAAAAGUGCAAUUUUGGAAAUUCUCUCCAAAUAAAAUAGAUUUACAUAAGAUUUUCCUGUCUUCCUUGGCCAUCUUAGCAAGGUCUAACCUGUCAUAUCUGAAGCUUCUAUACUCAUGUUCUCUAUUAUUUCUGUGUAUUCAUCUAUUUGUAUUCUUGAUCAAAAUCAGAAAAUUCAAGACACUGCAUUUAUUGUUAUUAUUUUUACUAGACAGCCCAGCAUAACUAUUAAACUUUUUAUUUCCUUUUUUUCCCACAUUUUUUAUUGGUGCAUUAUAGUUGUACAUAAUGGUGGGAUUUGUUGUUACAGAUUUGUACUUGCACACAAUAUAAUAGUUUAAUUUGGCUAAUGUCAUUCCCCAGUAUUUGUUCUUUUCCUGCCCUCCUCCCUCCUGACACUGCUAUUAUUAUUAUUAGAGUAGUAGUAAUAGUAGUAGUAUUAGUACUAUUAACUGCUAAAAAUAGCUGUUAACACAACUAAUUAUUAUGAAUCUACCUGCCCUAGUGAAAAUCCUUAUUGAUCUUUUUAUACACUUGUAGAUCAGCCAGGAUCUACAAGUAUAUAUAUUUUUCAUUUAAAAAUGUUUACUCAAAAAUAUAUUUUUUAUUUAAAAAUGUUUACUCAACAAAUAAUUAUUGACAGUUCACUAUAUAUUAGGCCAUAUGACAAUCCUUACAGGAAAAAUAAUGAGUAUUUAACCUAUAAAAAACUAUAACUAAUGCUUGUACUAAGUGCUAUAAAGAAGAGAGAGGUUCAUGGUGCUGCACAAGCCUUUGGGGCAGAUAGAUCUGAUCCCAGGGAACAGAAGAUGCUUCUCAGAGGAAGUGACCCUUAGUUGAUAUUAGAGAUAGUGAGGAGAUGGAGGCUGAGGUUAGAAAGAAUAUUCUGGGCAAAAGAAACAGCUGGUGAAAUGGCCCUCUUGUAGGAGUGUUUUAGUCAACUGUUUCACCAUGGUGACUAAAGGACCCAACCAGAACAAUUAUAGAGGAGAAAAAGGUUAUUUGGGGGCUCCUGGUCUUGUUCCAUAGAAGGCCGGCUUCAUUACUCUGGGCUCAAGGUGAGGCAGAACAUCAUGGCAAAAGGACAUGGUGGAGUAAAGCUGCUCAGUUCAUGACAGCCAAGAAGCAAAGAGAAAGCUUGAGUUCAGGAACCAGGGUUGAUAUAAACCCCAAGGGCAUGCUCCCAAGUUCCUCCAGCCACCCCCCACUUGUCUAUAGUUAUUACCCAGCAGUCCAUUCAAAUUAUUAAUCCAUCAAAUGGAUUAAUGAGAACCAUUGUCCUCAAACAUUAGUUUUAUUUUCCCAUCCCAGGAAAGAAGCCUAGGAUUCCUGACGGUAUACUAAGCCAGAAGCCCCCACAGUCCUGCCAGCCUGGUCUGCUCCUCCAUUCUAGUAGCCUACAGGUUUCUGUGUCAGAACUUUUACACUUGUUGCUCCCUCCAUUUGAAAUUCCCUUUUCCCCCAGUCUAGGUCUUUUUGCCUCAUUUGACCCCCAACUUAACCUUAUCAGAAAGCCACCCCAGAGAAUGGUUCUCUCACUGUACUACGAACACGUUUUGUGUUUGUUUUUGUUUUUGAAUUCUUAAAAUACUUUGGCUGAGGUUAGAGGGAGAUCAUUAUGCAUAAACCCUUAGGAACUAUAGGUUGCUGUGUACUUUAGCCAAAGACACAGCAGCUCCCUACUGAAGUGGGGCAGCAGAAGAGAAGCAGUAUGUCUUGGCGUGCUUUUUCCUUGGCUCCUUGUUUGGCAGCAGAGUGGCUGGAGUAAUUCAGAGUUCAAUAUGAUCCUGCCAGAAUUGCGAAAAGGAAUUCUUGCUACUUCCUUGCCCUCUUAUACUCAGGGUUUACCUGAUCAUUCUGAGACAACUUGUACUAUGAGUUUCCCUUGAAUUAGGCAAGGCAAUACCAUCUGGGACGAGAAAGCAGAGUCAAAGUCCAGGUGAGAGAAGCACCAUCUUUGCUUCACAUUUCUUGUCUCCUGAAAAGCCCUUUCCUUGAAAUGCUCUGUCCUGGUAGACAUUAACAUUCAUCUUUGUAUUCCUAAAACCCACCACAAGUAGCCUGGUGUAUAGUAGUUACCUGGUAAAUAUCCUUUACUCUGGUAGUUUUGUGCAGUGCAUGUGAAUAGUCCAUUCAUUCUCAUAAAACUUGUUUUCCCAGCUAAUGGAUCAGCUGCUCUGAGAUAGGUGGGAGUGGGUUUUUCAAUUCUCUUGGUUCUACUCCCUGAUUCCUUGGCUUGCUGUGUUUUCCUGCAUUCCCAGUUGCUUUCUUCUUCCAUCUCAUAGAUGUUAUGAGCCACAAAUUUUAUGUGCCAAGCUUGGCAUAAGGACUGGGGAAAUCCAAAAGGAGGAGAUACAGUCCCCGUGCUCAUAAGAAGGAGCCUAGUUAAAUGGAUGAGGGUGGUGAGGUGGAAAGCUUGCUGGGAUGGCAGGCUGUCUGGGGCUCUUUGGGACUUUUGGGGGAGGGGCAGGAAGACUGUCUUGGAGAAAACAAUUAUGUAGCCAUGUCCUCAGGGUUGAAUAGAUAUCUACCAUUCAUUCACCUGCUGCAUGUAACAAAAAAGCUUAUUAAUCCAAUUUGAAGAAAACAUAGAGUAGCUCAAAUAGGCAGUUCUAAUGAGAAAAUAUUGGCCUUUAGAUUAAAGUGUAUAAACCUCUGGCUCUCCUUGCCUCGGCCGGAUUCCUUUAUAGAUUAGCAAAAGGAGUACAUGUGGGGUGGGUGGGUUAGAGGGAAAGAGAAGGCUUUCUGAAAGAGGUUACUGAACAUAACAGUAUGGUCUUUAUAAACUAGUAAGUUCUAUUGGCUUGUUAGCUAGCCAGUCUAUCCUGGAGUCCCUCCUUGGACUCUAGACCUUAAAAACCUUUUCUCUUCUUGGCUUUUAGGUCAGGCUGUUCCUGCAGGAUCCCAUGUGCGGCUGAAUCUUCAAACUGGGGCAAGAGAAGUGAAACUCCAGUAUGAAGACAAGUUCCGAAAUAAUUUGAAAAGGUUGAAAAGAGGCAGAAGGUACAGUGUUGACCCUAAAAUUUGAGAGGCUAAAUGAUAGUAUUGAUUUUGAAAUAUGGAAAGUGUUGCCCAAAUUCGUGUGGCAUUUAUUUAUUUAUUUAUAUAGAAUUUGUGACGUUUACCAGUACAGUCUUUGGAAGGAUACAGUUUGCAAAGCAAAUUGUUACUUUGAAAAAGGCUAUAGACGGAAUGCUUAACCUGCUUAAAAAGAAAACUUUUUUUCCCAGUACUUUAAGAGCACCCAUUUGAAUCCCAACAAUUAAUGUGCUGAUUACAGAUGAGUCAUCUAUUCAUUAAAACAGGCCUGUUAGGCCUUCUGCUUUGCAGUAAUACUUCCUUGGUGAACAAUAAAAUUGCAUUUUAAAUAGUCUUUAAUUCAGACUAACUUUUCCUCUUGUUAGUCAGUAUUAAAAUAGGCUUUCUAAUAGUAUACAAGUAGAAGCUACUAUAUUCUUCAGUGGUUAGAGAUUGCCUUACUUUUUAAUAACCAGUUCAGGUUAUUUGAUUUUAGAGAAUUAAAUAGUCUCUAUUUGUCUCCUCAUUGCCUUGAAUUAACAAGUUUUCUUUGCUUGAUAUUUCCUGAAUGAGGGAGAAGGAGGUUAAGGCAUGGGAUGACAGCCAUUGCCAGAAUUAUGCAGUUCAGAAGCUCAGUGUAAACACCAGCCAUGAAGUCUCAAAUGUAGGGACCAGCAAAUUAUGGCCUUUGGGUCUAAUUAGGACUGCUGUCUGUUUUGGUAUGGUCUAUACGCUAAGUUAGCUUUUAUAUAUUUUAAUUGUUGAGAAAACAUCAAAAGAAGAAUAAUAUUUCACGACUCAUGAAAAUUAUGUGAAAUUCAGAUUUCAGUGUCCAUAAGUAUUGGAAUAUAGCCAUACUCAUUCAUUUACAUGUAGUCUGCUAUUUUCUUGCUACAGUGACAGUUGAGCAGUUGGGACAGACAGCUUACAAAGCCUACAGUAUUACCUGGUUGUUACAAAUAGUUUGUGGACCCCUGUUCUGAAACACUGUAAAUAGUGGGAAUUAAUCAUGGAUUACGUGGGCUCAACUCAUUCCUGAGAUUUUUAUUAUUUAAACAAAUUUUACAGUUAAAUGUGAAUCAGAAAGGGACCUUAGAGGCCCAAUUCUUACCUGAGUCUUUUCUUUGACAUACCUGACAAAAAGGUCAUUCAGGCAGUCCAUUUGUAUUAAUGAGAUUUGGGCAGUUUUCACUGUUGGAAAAUUCUGCUUUUUGUUGAGAUAGAGGUAUUUGUUUUCCUUCUAGUUCACCCCAAACUAGGAAGGGUCUUUCCUUUUUCCCAGUCUCUGAAAAUGGGUCCAUACCUGGUGUUUUAGUCAGUUUUGUGACUAAGUUUGUUCUGAUAAGAACAAAUUAGAGGAAUGUUUUAGUCAGCUUUUUCACUACUGUGACUGAAAGACCUGACCAGAACAACUGUAGAGGAGAAAAAGUUUAUUUAGGGUCUCAUAGUUUCAGAGGUCUCAGUUCAUGGACAGGCAUGGUUUUAUUCCUUGGGGCCUGCAGCGAGGCUGAACAACAUGGCAGAAGAGUGUGGCAUAGGGAAGCAACACACAUGAUGAUCAAAGAGCAGAGAGAGAGAGAGAGACUCCACUCUCCAGAUACAAAAUAUGUAUCCCAUAGCCAUGCCCGCAAUGAACCACUUGCUCCAGCUACAACCCACCUGCUUCUAGUUACCACUUAGUUAAUCCCAUUAGGGAUUAAUUCACUGGUUAUGUUAAGGCUAUAGCCUAAUAAUUUCUCCUCCAAACCUUGCAUUGUCUCACAGGUGAACUUUUGGGGGACAUCACAUCUGAACAAUAACAAGGAGAAAAAGUUUAUUUUGGCUCAUGGUUUCAUACUUUCAGUCCAUGGUCUGUUGACUUCAUAGCUCUGGGCCAGAAGUGAGGCAAAAUAUCAUGGUGGAAGGGUGUGGUGGAGGAAAGCAGUUCAGUUCUUGACAGCCAGGAAACAGGGUCCUGGUGUUUUAGUCAGUUUUGUGACUAAGUUUGUUCUGAUAAGAACAAAUUAGAAGAAUGUUUUAGUCAGCACUUUUUAAGUGCAAGGAGCCAGGGGUAAUAUAAUCCCCAAGGCAUGCCCCCAGUGACUACUUCCUUUCUCUAGCCAUAUCCUACCUGCCUAUAGUUAAUACCCAGUAAUCCAUUCAGAUUAUUAGUCCAACAAAUGGAUUAGUCCUCUGGUUAAGUCAUAGUUUUCAUAAUCUAAUCAUUUAUAUCUGGACAUACCUUUAUUUUCUCACACAUGAGCUUUUAUUUUCUCUCACACACCCAUCAUUGGGAUGUGGUAGUCACAAAUCAGACAAGAUGCCAGCCUUAUGGAAACCUCAUCUAAAUCAUAACACCUGGAGUGACCCAGGUCACUGUCAUACAAUUACUUCUUUCUCACAACUGUAUAAAAAUAAUCAAAUAUUAUUGUGGUCCCUGCCAACCUUUCUUCAUUCCCUACACACAUAUAUUUCAACAUCUAAUAGUACUUUUAAGAAAGUCUUUUCUCACAUCUAAUAUAAGUGGGUUUUUUUUUCUUAUUUUUUCCUUGUUUUAAUUAUACUGAGUUUGGAACUUGAUGCAUAUGGAGCUUUUUACUUGUUGAUUUUUCUGCCAUGGGAAGUUAGUUUUCCACUACCUGACCGUAGAUCAUCAGUAUGGACAAUGGUUGCUUUAUCUGUUGUUCAAUUUUUUUAGACUAGAAAGUACAGCUGGGUGGAAUGGUGGGUGCAUGCCUAUAAUCCCAGCUGCUUGGGAAGCUAAGGCAGGAAGAUAGCCAAAACAAGGCCAGACUGGACAAUUUAGGGAGAACUGUUUCAAAAUUAAAAAAAUGGCUGAGAUGUAGCUCAGUGGUAGAGUGCUGGUAGAGUACCCUUGGGUUCAGUCCCAGUACCUUCUUUAAAAAAAAUUUUUUGUUGUUGUAGGUGGGCACAACACCUUUAUUUUAUUUUUAUGUGGUGCUGAGGAUUGAUUGAACCCAGUGCCUCACGUGUGCUAUGCAAGCACUCUACUACUGAGCCACAACUCCAGUCCCCAUUCCCAGUGCUUACAAAAAAAAAAAAAAGUGGAUGAGGAGAAAGCACAGCCAUCCAUGUGAUCCAUAGAGACACAGCAUAAGAGAGAAAUAUUUAUUCCCAUUUCUACCUCUUAAUUUUUCUCCUUUGGAAUGUUUCUGAAGGCUCUGCCCUAGAAUGACCUUCAGGAUAUGCUGGAUAUUUCUUCUUUCUUCUCAGCAGUUAUAGCCAGUGGCAAACCUGUCUGAACAGAAGCCCAAAGGCAUUGACAAGGUAGUGUGGUGUGGACGUUUGGUGCUGUGCGUUCAGUGACUCUGUUUGCAUGUGGUGAUGACUUCUUCCUUCUGGAUGAGUCUCAUCCUGUGUUCUUCCAGUUCCACUUCAUAGUGUCUUCCUGGCUCUUGAACACUGGGACAGGAACAGAGGCUCAGAGGUGGAGGCCAGUAUCCUGAAUUGGUAUAGUAUUUUGCUUACCUGCUUGUUCUGUUUUGGAGAAGUUUCCAUCAGAUUGAUGUUGGUAAACCCAGAGUUAAGCACGAUUGGCCUGGAGGUAAAUGGACUUGUUCAGCACUACUGGAUUGGAGGGAGAUAGGGAGGUCUGUUAAGCCUAAUUCAUUGUAUCUGCACUAUGAUGCCUGUGGGCUGUAAGGCCUGGAGAGACUCUGGAUUCUCUUGGUCCUGCCUGACUUCUGUGCAUAUUUGGCUCCUAUUGCUUUUUAUACUUUAAGCUGGUUUUUGUACAUAUCCCUGCUGAUAUCUUUAUAGAAUAUCUUCUUGCCCUGGAAAAAAUAGCUUCUUUGAAUCUUCCUCCUGUGUUAGAAGGCUGAGGGACAAACUACAUUCAUGUUGUACUAUCUUGGGUUGACUAUAUGUCACGGAGAGUAUGGUAUCGUGGUUAAAGGGGUGGGCCAAAGACAGAGCUAUUUAUUUCCUUCCUUCAUUCUUUUCACAAAAGACCUACGGAGUACCUGUGCACCCAUCAUUGGGGAUGUGGUAGUCACAAAACAGACAAGAUGCCAGCCUUAUGGAAACUGGCAGGCAAAAAACCCAGGUAAAUACACACACAAGUAAGAUAAUUAGAGAUUGAAAAAAGAAAAAAAAAGUGCUAGGGAAGAAAUGGAGAAGGUGAUGAGUUCCUGGGGGAGAGCACUUUAGACAGGAAGAUUGAAAAGCCCUCAUCAAGCUAUUUGAACUGAGAUACAAAGGAUGAGGAGGAUUUACCCCUGCAGAGGGUUAAGUUUAUAAGUUUAGGGGUCAGAACACUUCAAGAACAUGGAACAAUAAGAAUAACUCUGGCUUUGUCAAGGAGAAGGCAUUAUCAAAUUGGAGAAAAAGGAAAAUGAUGCAGGAGAAGAAAGGACACUACUAGGAAAUGAGAAUAAGAGGGAUGUGGGAGCCAGAUCUUGAGGGUUUUUUUAAAAAUAAUAUUUAAUUUUUAGCUGUAGUUGAACACAACAUCUUUAUUUUAUUUAUUUGUUUUUAUGUGGUGGUGAGGAUUGAACCCAGGGCCUCAUGCGUGCUAGGUGAGCACUCUACCACUGCACUACAACCCCAGCGCCCAGAUCUUGGAGUGUUAAGGAACAUUUGAGUAUUCUUCAUUCACCUUUAAUGGUAGUAGAAAACUAUGGAUGAUUUUAGACAUGAGAGUGAUUUAAUGUGGUAUUAUUUAGCAGGAUAACUCUAGUUACUUUGUGUCUGGAGAAGAGAUUGAAGGUGGAGAAAAGAAGAAGCACAGAGACAAUGAGGACACUAUUUCAGUAAAUCAGACAAGGCAUAGUGAUGCUUAGCCUAAGGUAUCUUAAUGGAGAGUGGGCGAGCUUGGAGAUUUAAUUUGGAGGUAAAGCCAACAGGACUUGCUUGUGAUUUAGAUGUAGAGGUUGAGGGAAGGAAGGAAGGAAGUUCAGAAUAUUCAAAAUAAAGUCUCAUUUGGGGGUUUGAGCAACUGGGUGCUUGGAGGUGCUAUUUAUUGAAAUAGAAAAGUUGAAAGAGGGAAAGAAUCAAGAACUAUGUUUUAUAUUCAAUAAAUUUGAGGUAUUUGUUAAACAUCUGAGACCUAAGAUACAUCAGUUGUGAGAGGGGAGAAGUUCAGGUCAAAGAUGUAUUGGCAUUACUGAUAGAUCAAUAUUUAAAAUCUCAUGUUGGAGAUGAAGAAGAGAAUUUGUUCAGGACUGAACUCUGGGGCAUUCCCGUAUGUAGGGUUUAGGAGAGAGAAGAGGAACAAUAAGAAGAGUUGGAGAAAAGAGUAAGGAACAAGGAGAGUGGGAUAAGAGAAGCCAGGAAAGAAGAGUGCUUUAAGAAGGGAAAGAUGCACUGUGCAAAUGCUGCUGAGUGGUUGAGGAAUGUGAAGUUAGUGAAGGGACCAUUGGAUUGGUCAUCGAUUAUUGGUAAUUUUUUUUUAGAGAGAGAGAGAGAAUUUUUUAAUAUUUAUUUUUAGUUUUCGGUGGACACAACAUCUUUUAUUUUUAUUUUAUUUUUUUGUGGUGCUGAGGAUCGGACCCAGGUCCCGCCUGUGCUAGGCGAGCACUCUACCACUGAGCCACAAUCCCAGCCCCAAUUAUUAGUAAUUUUGCUGAACAGUGUUAGUGGUGUGGUGGAGACAGAAUCCAGGUCAGAGCAAAUGGCAAUGUAAAUACAAAUCAGGAAGAUAGGGAUAGUGAGUAUAGACAAUGUGUUCAUUAAGUUUUUCCCUGUAAGAAUAGGGAAAUGGCAUGAAGAUAUGAAGAGAUUAUGUGGGUCAAAGAGUGCUGUAUGCUGAUGAGAAUAAUCCAGUUGAGGGGUGAAAUUGCUGAUAGUCAUGAGGGUUAAACCUUUUGUGAAGGCACAUGGGAUCUAAAACAUGUUUAAUAGGUGCAGGGACGCUGUCAUCCAUUGUAAUUUAAGGAUAGUAGAGAGCAUAGAUCUAGGUGCAUGUUGGUUUGCAGAGCUGAUGAUGGAAAGAUGAGGAAAUUUUUGAUAACUUUCAUUUUUCUCAGUGAAGAAUGAAGUGAGAGUAAUGAUGCAGUAGUGUGUGAAUGUAUGUAGUUGGGGAUGAGUUUGUAUGUCUGAGGAUAGAGAUAAUGCAUGGCCUGGGAGAGGGGCACUAAAGGCAGCAGAGAUACAAGGCAAGAUAGGAUUAGUUCUGACCAAAUCUUGGAAGAGGCAGAAGAGAUAAUCUGUUCAAGUUGUGGCUCCUGAAUCCUUAGCUCCUGGUAGGGAGCUGGGUAGGACAGUGGUAUCCUCAUACAGUUGACAGUGGAUGUUGCUCUGUGGAGAGAGGGAUUCGGGAUUCUCUUACCUUCUUUGUGAGGUUGUGCUGUUUGAAUGAAAUACUACUUUUUAAACUAACAAACUACUGACCCACAGUAAAGUAUUAAAUAAAUAGGAGUGAUUAACUAUAAUUAAUGAGAUUAGAAGGACUGAGGUUUAGAGAACAAGUUUUUCUCAGAACCUAAAGAAUCUUUAGGAUGAAUCAGAAACUGAAUGAGGGGCUGGAGUUGUGGAUCAGUGGUAGAGUGCUUGCCUAGCAUGUGUGAGGCACUGGGUUCUAUCCUCAGCACUGCAUAUAAAUAAAUAAAAUAAAGGUCCAUUGACAACUAAAAAAUAUUAAAAACAAAACAAAACAAAAACAAAACUGAAUGAGCAGAGCCCUGACUGAUUACACGUUUUUCUCUUGAAAGCUGAGAACUGUUAGGAUUUUGGACUAUGAGACUGACUUGCUGUGCCCUUGAAGUAGAAUAAGAGAGCAACCCUUUCCUCCCCCACUCUGAAAUCUCCAGGGUUAUCCUUAACCAAGCCAUAGCCAGACAUGUCCAAGCACAUUCCAUAUGUACACUUCCAUUUGUCCACAUUACCAUUGUUAACUGACUUGAGUGCUGGUGGUGAAAACUUUCCCCAUUCCUCCCACUGAUGCCUUCUCUCCAAUCAAGGUAAAUGGUUGUGGCUUGGAUCAACUCCAGGGGUCUUUGUUAGGAUACCACUCUAGUCUCUUAAAAUAUUGAGAUUGCUGCCAUGUUGAGAUUACUCUCUCCCCUUGAAGGCAGGCUAUGGAAAGUGGCUGACCUUGAUUCUUCUACUCAUCAGUAUCUCAAAUCCAUUCCUCUGUGAGAUUAAUAUAUACCCCCUGCUUUUCCUCAUGGCUCAAAGAUUAUUCUUUUUGGGGGGGGGGGGUACUAGGGAUUGAACUCAGGGACACUCAACCACUGAGCCACAUCCCCAGCCCUAUUUUGUAUUUUAUUUAGAGAUGGGGUCUCACUGAGUUGCUUAGCACCUCACCGUUGCUGAGGCUGGCUUUGAACCUGAAAUCCACCUGUCUCAGCCUCCAGAGCUGCUGGGAUUACAGGUGUACGCCACCAUGCCUGGCCUCAAAGGUUAUUUUUAAGGUGUGAAUCUAUCCAGUCAUUUUUGUAAAAUCAAACUGCCUUGUCAGCAUACUCUGAGGAAUUUGGGUCCCUGUUGCCCUCCUUCCCUUUCUCUCUAUCCUCUGCCUACCACGAGGCCCUGCUGUGGCCUGUGCUCAGAGAGCAGCAUCACAGACAUUCUAGGAUCAUUUCUGCCUACCAGCUGUAACCUCUUUGUCAAAGGUGGGCUUCUCUCUGCCCUGUGCCUUUUCCUUUGUCUUCAAGAAAUAACCCCGUCUUUAGCUGUGUGUUUCCUCCUCUAGCCUCAAGGAAAGUCACCCUCUUGGGCCUCUGGCUGUCUGAAGGCAAAGGUAUAAGAAUAUACUAGAUAUUGGCUUGGUCUAAAUAACCUUGGAAUGCCCAGACAGCCAGGGGCUUUUUCUUUAUUGGGGAAUGUGGUACCUUUCUCCUGACUCUCAGCUUCUCUUUGGACAGACUGGACAUCAAUACCAAUACCUAUACAUCUCAGGACCUCAAGAGUGCCCUGGCCAAAUUCAAGGAGGGAGCAGAGGUGGAGAGUUCAAAGGAAGACAAGGUAUGUGAUCUUCUUUUCAGUUAGUGUAAGCCUGCAGCAUUGCCUAGAGUUUUUGCACAGGAGAGAAACAUGUUUUCUAAAGUUUUUGCACUAAACACGGACUAAUCAUGUUGUAAAAAUAAUAGGAAGAGUGCCGGGCGUGGUGGCACACACCUGUAAUCCCAUUGACUCAGGAGGCUGAGAAAAGAAAAUCCCGAGUUCAGAGACAGCCUCAGCAAAAGUGAGGCCCUAAGCAACAUAGUGAGACCCUUUCUCUAAAUAAAACACAAAAUAGGGCUGGGGAUGUGGCUCAGUGGCUGAGUGCCCCUGAGUUCAACCCUACUACCAAAAAAACAAACAAACAAACAAAAAAAAACUGUUAAUGACAAAUAAGAAACUCAUUAUUUAAAACAAAAACAGAUUCCUUGGAAAGCUGGGAAUGGAACCACCAUUUGACCCAGCUAUUCCCCUUCUCGGACUAUAUCCAAAAGACCUAAAAAGAGCAUACUACAGGGACACAGCCACAUCAAUGUUUAUAGCAGCACAAUUCACAGUAGCUAGACUGUGGAACCAACCUAGAUGCCCUUCAAUAGAUGAAUGGAUAAAAAAAAUGUGGCAUUUAUACACAAUGGAAUAUUGCACAGCACUAAAAAAUAGCAUGAUCAUGGCAUUUGCAGGGAAAUGGAUGGCAUUAGAGCAGAGUAUACUAAGUGAAGUUAGCCAAUCCCUAAAAAACAAAUGCUGAAUGUCUUCUCUGAUAUAAGGGGGGGUGACUCGAAAUGGAGUAGGGAGGAAGAGCAUGAGAAGAAGAUUACCACUAAAUAGUGGAGAGAGGUGGGAGGGAAUGGGAGGGAGAAGGGGAAUUGCAUGGAAGAUGGAAAGAGACCCUCAUCAUUAUACAAAAUACAUGUAUGAUGAUGUGAGGGAAAAAAAAAAAGAAAUGUGUCACAUUAAAUUGGGUAGAGAGAAGUGAGGGGAGGGGUGGGGAAGGGGGGACAGGAAGGGCAGCAGAAUAAAAUAAACACUAGUAUUACUGUAUGUAUAUACGUGUCUGUAUAACCAAUGUGAUUCUACAACCUGUUCACUUGAAAAAAUGAGAAAUUAUACCCCAUUUGAUUCAGAUGUAUGAUAUGUCAAGAUCAUUGUAUUGUCAUGCGCAACUAAUAAAAAAAAUACAAAAAAUAUAUAUAUAAAAAAAUAAAACCAAAACAGACCAAAACCAAAAACAGUGCUGGGAGCAUUUCAGUCUAGUUAGUUUAGGAUCCAACUUUCUACAACAUGUUUGGAGAAAUUGUUGCACAGAGCAGAGGUGUCCAUAUUCUCCAUUGUCGUAGGCAUGAGUCCGGUGAAAGGAGAUUACAACCCAGAACCCUUCCCUUGCAUUGGGAUUCGACACAAAUGUGUUCCAAAAGAACAGAAGAGCUGAAACAUGGAAGGGAAAAGUCUGGAUUUUUGUCUUUGUCCUUUGAAUAUAUAAUGUAGCAAAUGUAUUUUUUUUCAGGCCUCAGGUUCCUUAAAUAUAAAACGUGACUCAGUCCAGGAUAACUGAAGUUUUCCCCAGCUCUAAAAUUCUCUACAAGGUCUGUUUGUGGUGACACAUGCCUAUAAGCCUAGUGACUCAGGAAGCUGAGGCAGGAAGAUCACAAAUUUGAGGCCAGCCUCAGCAACUUAGAUCGCAGGCAACUUAGUGAGACACUCUCAAAAUAAAAAAGGCUGGUGAUGUAGCUCAGUGAUAAAGUGCCAAUAAUAAUAAUAAUAAUAAUAAUAAUUAUUAUUAUUAUUAUUAUUAUUACUAUUACUACUACUAUUAUUAUUUUUCUCUACAAGCUAAAGGAAUGAGAAGAGACAGAAUUGCUUUUAGAUGGAUCAUAAGGGAGUGUCACAAAUAAUUUAUUUACAUUUCCAGUCUGUUAAUUCUUUGUUUCCCACUGCAAAUCAUCUUUAUUUAAUUUUAUUUUUAUUGGUUCUUUUUAGAUGUACUUGACAGACUCCAUUUUGAUAUAAUUAUACAAGGAUGGAAUAUGUCUUAUUCUAAUGAGGACCACAUACUUGUGGAUAUACAUGAUGAUGGGAUUCACUCUCAUGUAUUCAUAUAUGUACAUAUAUAAAAACUAUGUCUGAUUUAUUCCACUGCUCUUCCCUUCAUUCCUCAUUGUCUAAUCUACUGAAUUUCUGUUCUUCGCCUUCCUCCCUUAUUUUGGGUUAGCUUCCAUAUAUUAGUGAAUGCAUUUGACUUUUGGCUUUUGGGGACUGGCUUUUUUCACUUAGCAUGAUAGUCUCCAGAUCCAUCCAUUUAUUGGCAAAUGUCAUAAAGUCAUUUUCUUAAUUGCUGAGCAAUACUCAAUUAUGUAUAUAUACCACAUUUCCUUCCUUCCUUCCUUCCUCCCUCCCUCCCUCCCUCCCUCCCUCCCUUCCUUCCGAACUCAGGAACACUUGGCCACUGAGCCACAUCCCCAGCCCUUUUUAUUUAGAGACAAGGUCCCACUGAGUUACUUAGCUCCUUGCUUUUGCUUAGGCUUGAACUUGAGAUCCUCUUGUCUUAGCCUCCCAAGCUGCUGGGAUUAAAGGCAUGUGCUACCGUGCCCAGCUCACGUUUUAUUUAUCCACUUUUCUGCUGAAGGACACCUGGGUUGGCUCCAUAGCUUAGAUAUUGUGAAUUGAGCUGUAAUAAACAUUGGUGUGGCUGCAUCACUGUAGUAUGUUGAUUUGGGGAAAACUGGGUCAAAUGGUGAUUCUAUUCCUAGUUUUAUGAGGAAACUUCACACUGCAGAAACCUGUUAAUUCUUGAAAAAAUCUCUUCUGGCCACUUUGAAGACUGCUCAAAGAUUUCCCUCCUUCUUUUCCUCCUCACAGUCUCUUUUUCUUUUGUCUACCUCUCUGCUCUCUCCCCUAAACCCUUGGCAACUUGUACAUUAAUGGAUCUUAGAUCCUCUGGAUCCUUUAAAACUAAGUAUUUCUGAGACAGAAAAACCUUUGUGGGUGGGCUGAUACUAACCUGUUUAAGAUGUGUUCGUUUGCACGCCAAGUCUCCAUGUCUUUACUCAUCUUAUCCAAGUCACAUGUCCUGCAUGGAUAGUGCAUAUGGUGUGGGAAGGUGAGGAGCAGGGUGGUGGCAGUGGCAGCAGAGGGUGAAGGAAAGUGAUGCAUGACAUUCUGUCCUACCACAGAUGUAUUAGCUGGUGUGGGAGUGGGGGCCAGAAAAAAAACAUAUCUGCCACCUGGUGCUGGUGAGGCCAGUUGAGAAGAGUAUGUGUGCCUAGGUACCUAUGGUAGUGACUUUGGCUCCUUCCCCUGCAUCGCUCCUUCACUAGGGCCACCAUGCAGAGCUGAUGGGAACAUAAAAAUCACUUUCUUGGUUCUAUGUCUUCAAUGCAGGUGGAAGACCCACUUAACACCUUUCACUUUUUUCACCUGUCUUGGUGAGAGCAAUUGGAUUUUCUUUCCUCUGGUAAUGGCAUUUUCCUUUUAUAGUUCAGUUUCUAUAGUAAAAUAUUAAUAGUUAUGCAAAGAUUUUAAAAGUGUGAAAACAAAAAAUGACUUGAAAGUUUUCUGCUAUGGUUUUUGCAAUAAAAACUUUUCCCCUUGCAGUGGGAUCCCAAUAACAGCACCCAAGUACAACAUCUCAGUACCUGCCAAUUUGGAUAAGUUGCCCACUUCUGAGCUAUGACUGUCACACUCUUUCUGGAGCCUAAGUUGUUAGCUCCUUCAUUGAGUUUGCUGGGUUCUGGGGUCCUCCUGCUUUCAUUUAGAGCCUGCCUGGACUGACUCAACUCACUGUUACGGGCUAUUUGUUAAUACUGGCUCUGGGACUGACAAAUAAUUUCUUUACAUAUUCAUUAGAAACCUAUCUUGACUUGAAAUAGGUACAGGAGUUUUGAAGAAAGCUCCUGGCUACAGAUGUCUUCAUACUUUUAGCUUAUUAACUUUUAAACCCAUUCUUUGUGGUAUCUUUAAGUACAGGAUGGCACUUUUGCUGUUAAUAAAGACAAUAUUGACAGAUAGUUAUAGGCCAUAUCCUCAAUUUUGUAUUUGUAUGAAUUUGAUUUUGGGGAAUAGGGUAUCAGUUUCAUUCUAGCAGUGGUGGUACCUUAGUUGGUUUAGGUGAAGAGUUCCUUGUUUCAGAAAAGCUCUGUCUUAAAGGUUUGGAUUGUUAGUAUUAAAUAUUUUCUUGAAUUUUGUCCAUUUAUCCCUCUAUUACCAUAUAUAUUGCUUGAUACUUUGUCUUUUUUUGGCGGGGGGAGUCCUGGGGAUUUAACCCAGGGGCGCUUUAUUCUAGCGCUGUGCCCCACCCCACCCUUUUUUCUUUUAAGAUGGGAUCUCACUAAGUUGCCAGGGCUUUGCUGAAUUGCCAAGGCAGGCCUUGAACUCACAAUCCUCUUGCCUUAGCCUCCCAAGUCAUGAGGAUUACAGGUGUGUGCCAACACACCCAGCUGAUGUUUUUUUUUUUUUUUAAAUUGAAUUUUUUUUUUUAGUUGUAGAUGGACACAAUACCUUUAUUUUAUUUAUUUUUAUGUGGUGCUGAGGAUCGAACCUAGUGCCUUACACAUGCUAGGCAAAUGUUCUACCAUUUGAGCUAUACCCCAGCCCCUUAAGCUUUUGAUUUUGGGAAAGAAGUAGAUGAUUUAUUUUUCCCUAUUCCUCCCUCUAAAAGAUAACUAAAAACCCUGGACAUAUUACUAAAAGCAAAUAUAGAAAAUCUACAUAAGAUGGUGAGAAGGUGGCAGAUUAGGAGCUUGAGGAAUGACAUGGCAGUGAAUUGGAUUUUCAUUUUUCCCUUGAUAUCCCAGACUUGGCACUGGAGAAUCCUAUAUUCUGGAAAUGGUAGCAGGUACAGAUUUUAAAAAGGUCUAAGAAAAGCCAGCUCUUUCUAGAUAAAGGCCCAGAAAAAGGGUAAUAUAGCAGGAUAAAAACCUUUUUGCUGAUACCUGUCCUAAUUCAGCCAAAGACGUUGGAAAUCUCUCUCUCUCUCUCUCUCUCACACACACACACACACACACACACACACACACACACACACCGCAGUGCCCAUAGAAAUUGAGUGGGGAGUACUUCCUCCUCUUGCAUGUUGGUUUAGCAAGCUGAAGCCGAGUGGAAGCCUGAACUUGUACUUCAUCCCAGUGGCAAUAAAUUACUCUGCUGCUUCCACCGAGGUGGUGUCAGUGGGAGCUGAGUAGAGUCUUCUGUUCUCUGCCCAAUGGCUACUGUCUGCUUCUCUUGAUGGUAUGGUUUAAGCAGAGACCAAAUAUGGAUACUGAUUUUCUAUCCUUGAGUAGCAGACUAUUUAUCCUGUUGUUGUGUCAGUAGAGACCAGGCAAAGGAUGCCUGUCCUCUGCUUGACAGCACCAAGAUGUCUCUUCACUUUUCCCUUAUGAGGUGGUAUCAGUAGGGGUGCAGGAGAGUCUACCUACCUCCAUCCUGGUGGCAACAGGCAGUGUAAGGCAGCAUUCUGUUUCCCUCUUAGGAGUAGAGUCAGUGGGGUAAGUGAGGAACAUGAACUAUUACCUUCAGAUAAGCAUCAACUACAGGCAGUGCUUUGAUUCCCCCAUGGGGUGGUAUCAUUUGGGGGUCAAGGGAGGAGCUUACACUUCUACACCUAGUAUCCAACAUUCAGUGAUGGCAGGAACUUUACUAUCCCGAUUAGAGACUGAGGGUAGGAUUUUGGAGAGAAGGAGCAAAAGAAACUGACCAGAAUUAACAGAAAGACCUGAGAACUGAACUAUAGUGUGGAACACUGCCCAGGUUUUUAGAUUAGCCUCUGUAUAACAUACAAAGGAAGCAGACCAGAAGAGCACUAUGAAGGCCUUGUAAAUUAAAUUGUUAUUGGAGCCAGAGCCCACAUAGGUAAGCCACAACCAUCAUACUAAACCCAAGCAGGUGACUACCUACUGAAAGAGAAGAUUAAAUAGGAUCUAGAGUCUCACAAAUUAAUACCCCAAAUAUCCAGGAUAUAAUUGAAAUUCACUCAUCUUCCCAAGAACCAAGAAAAAUCACAACUUGAAUUAGGAAAGAAAAUUAGUAGGUGCUAUUGUGGAUUGAAUGUGUUUCCUCUAAAUUCAUAUGAUAUGAUAAAGUAGAACAAUUAUAUACUAUAAUAAAAUUUAUUUGACUAACACGUGGAUGGUGUAUGCAGUAUAGAUAUGCUGGACAAAAGGAUGAUUCAUGUUUGAGGCAGGUCAGAGUGGGACAACAAAAAUAAUUUAUGAAUUGUUAUUUCUGGAAUUUUCCAUUUGAUAUUUUUGUACCAUGGUUGACUGUGUGACUAACUGAAGGCAUGGGAAGUGAAAUCAUGGAUAAGUGGGGAUACAGAAUAAAACUGAAAAAUACAAUAACUGAGAUUGAAAAGUCACUGAGUGGGCUCAGUAACAGAAAAAGAUGACCGGGAAAAGAAUUAGUGAACUUGAAGACAUAAGUAUAUGUUAAGUAUACUUAUGCUAUAAGUAUAUUACAAAAUCUAAAUAGACAAAAAAUGGGAAAAAAAUAAACAGAGCCUUAGAGACCUUUAGGAUUACAAUAAAAAUUCUAACAUUUGUGUCAUUAGAAUUCCAGAUAGAGGAGAAAGAACAUGGAACUGAAAAAUAAACAGUUUCUAACAAAUUCCCAAAUUUGAUGAAAGGUAUAAUAAGCCCACAGAUUCACAAAGCUAAGUGGUCUCCAUAGGAUAAACUGAAAGAAGUCAAUCCCAAGGUGCAUCAUAAAUUUCUGAAAACUAAAAACAGAAAAUAGAAGCAACUAGAAGAACAAUAUAGGAGAGCAAUUAUUGAGUGAUAGUGAAUUUAUCAUCUGCCGCAGUCUGGCUGGGCACAAAAUCACGAGCCACCACACAGCUUGUAGAUUCAAACAGCAACUCUUUAUUCCCGAACUCACACCAGCACUCUAUAAUCACGUUCUGGGGAAAUCCACGUUCUCUGCCCAAAUCCACCCCCACUGGGCUUCUGUCUCCCAAAAAACACUGUCUGAAUCCCGUGAAAACUCAAGGGGAACUCAGGCAGCAGGAUACGCCCUAUUCCCAGCAGGAAUAACCUUAAACCUGGAAACACCCUAAACCCGGAUAGUCCUAAACCGGGAACGCCCUAAACCCGGAUCAUCCUAAACCGGGAACACCCUAAACCCGGAUCUGCCCUGGUCCUUGAGCAAGGUCACCUUAGAUGCAAUGUCAUUGCAAAAUGUCCUAUUUCCACGAGUCCUUCCACUAAGCAACAUGGGGUACGCUGGCAAGGAAAUUGUCAUACCUACUUGGCUAAUGGCUCCCAGCAUCUCCCCCCUUAUGAUUAAUUAAACAACAAGCAAUGUGGCUUAAGGACCGUGCCUGGUAGGUUGUCCAAUUCAACAUAUGGUUCUUACCUGUUAUUGGAAAACUGACCUUUAGGCGUCAGCCUCCUGUCUUAGGUUGAUACCACUGCAAUUGGAUCAUACCCGUCACUGACUACCGGUCCAGCAUACAGCCAUACUUGUGGAUAGGUCUAUGCACCAGUGGGGGGGUGAGGUUCUUUGCCUCACCUCUGUUGGCCCCCAAAUUUGGCCUUGGUGCCAGUGGGGGAGUGAGGUUAAUGUGGCUUAUGGACCGUGCCUGGUAGGUUGUCCAAUUCAACAUAUGGUUCUUACCCGUCAUCGGAAAACUGACCUUUAGGCGUCAGCCUCCUGUCUUAGGUUGAUACCACUGCAAUUGGAUCAUACCCGUCACUGACUACCGGUCCAGCAUAAGCCAUUGGCCCCCAAAUUUUAGACCAUCACUAGUGACUUCUCCCUGGUGAGUGUGGCUCAUCUGGAGCUCGUNGCAGCUGCCAAGACUUGCCCUUGUUCAUUAAUAUCUCUACAUAAUUUAAUAUAUGUGUUUAAAUCUUCAUGUCUCCAUGGUCUAAUAACCUCUCUGCAGCAACGAUUUGCUUGGUCAUAAGCCAGUUGUUUUAUUAAUGGCAUUGCUUGUUCUGUAUCCCCAAAAAUUUUGGCAGCCGUUUGAAUUAGCCUAUCUACAAAGUCAGCGUAAGGUUCAUUAGCUCUCUGUAUUACCUUAGAUAGCUGACCUUGUAAAUCUCCAUGUCCUUGUAAAGUCUUCCAUGCCCUAACUGCGUCUGCAGCAAUUUGUGCAUAUAUAGCAGGAUCAUAUUCAAUUUGUUGCCGUUGACCCUCAUAAGGUCCUUUUCCUAACAACAUAUCUAGAUUUCUUUGAGGGUAACCGGCUGCUGCAUUUCGCCUAGCUGUCUCCGCGCAAAAUUCCUCAUUGGCAACCUUCCAUAACAAAUAUUGUCCUCCAUUUAGUACAGAUUUACACAUGCUAGCCCAAUCUGCUGGCGUCAUGUCCAAGUUAGUAAUGGACUCAACCAUGCUUACCGUGAAGGGAGCUUGGGGACCAUAGGUUGUUACAGCCUCCUUUAACUGCUUCACUGUUUUAAAAUCUAAAGCACGGUGAAUUCGCUGCCCUCCUGCCUGUUCAAGUACAGGGCAUGCUAAUCUUUGAGGUCCUGUCUCAGGAUCCCAUUUAUCAACUACGGGGUUUGAGGGCCACUCAGCUGUCUCCAUCGGUGGGGCUGUUGGUUGAAUUACGCCCUCUUGUGAUAAAAUGGAGUUAGUAACAGCCUCCUGUUGUGGCCUUUUUCCUAACAACCCCUUUUCCUUUAAAUUUUCUUCCUCUGUCUGACUAGCUCGAGAGACCUUCUCUUUUGCUUGAUCUAAAAUGUCUUUCUCCAUGGUCUGAACCUCUAACAAUUUACUUAACAUCUUUUCGGUUUGUUUUUUACUAAUUUCUAAUCUACUAUAAAGAUAACGCAACCCAAUAAGAUAGCACAAAACAAAGCCGAAACUGAAUGAAACAAAAACGGAAUAAAAAAUCGUUGUAUCAAUUUUCUCUUCCUCAGGGCCGACAAACUUCAAACCUUUAGUCAACCAUUUUUUCCAGUUUGCCUGAGAAAUUUCUAGGGAUAGGCAGCUUGAAACAAAAACAAGAUAAAUCAAAACAAUAACACAUUGUUUUUUGAGUUGGUCACCCAUUCUUUCGCUCUUCCUCAGGGGUGAGCAAUUUCACUUACCUCCAAGCUUCAGAAGUCCCCCGUACGGGCCACCAAAUGCCGCAGUCUGGCUGGGCACAAAUGCCGCAGUCUGGCUGGGCACACAAUCACGAGCCACCACACAGCUUGUAGAUUCAAACAGCAACUCUUUAUUCCCGAACUCACACCAGCCGUCUACAAUCACGUUCUGGGGAAAUCCACGUUCUCUGCCCAAAUCCACCUCCACUGGGCUUCUAUCUCCAAAAUAUACUGUCUGAAUCCCGUGAGAACUCAAGGGGAACUCAGGCAGCAGGAUACGCCCUAUUCCCAGCAGGAAUAAUCUUAAACCUUAAACCUGGAACCUAAACUGGGAACGCCCUAAACACGAUUAUCUUAAAACCGGGAACACCCUAAUCUGCCUUGGUCCUUGAGCAAGGUCACGUACAUUCAAUGUCACUGCAACAUGGGGUACGCUGGCAAGGAAAUUGUCAUACCUACUUGGCUAAUGGCUCCCAGCAUCUCCCCCCUUCUGAUUAAUUAAACAACAAGCAAUGUGGCUUAAGGACCGUGCCUGGUAGGUUGUCCAAUUCAACAUAUGGUUCUUACCCGUCAUCGGAAAACUGACCUUUAGGCGUCAGCCUCCUGUCUUAGGUUGAUACCACUGCAAUUGAAUCAUACCCGUCACUGACUACCGGUCCAGCAUAAGCCAUUGGCCCCCAAAUUUUAGACCAUCACUAGCAGAAGGGAGGAGGAUACAGAAAUGCCACGACACCAAGCCAAUUGACGGCUCCUUGGGAAAAAUUGCAUCACUGGUGACACCAUCAGCAAAGAUAUGUCAGCACUACCACAAUUAACAUGGGGUGCGCUGGCAAGGAAAUAAAAAUUGCAUCACUAGUGACACCAUCAGCAAAGAUAUGCCAGCAUUACCACAAUUCGCUGCACCAAACGAUAGUUACAUAGUCCAGGCAAGUUCUGCAAGCAGUUCAAAGCAGAGGAAUCUAUCAAUAUGUCCAUUUCCUCCCAAAAUUUCCUCCCCGUACGGGCCACCAAAUGCCACAGUCUGGCUGGGCACAAAUGCCGCAGUCUGGCUGGGCACACAAUCACGAGCCACCACACAGCUUGUAGAUUCAAACAGCAACUCUUUAUUCCCGAACUCACACCAGCACUCUAUAAUCACGUUCUGGGGAAAUCCACGUUCUCUGAAAUUAUAGAGGCCAUAGUAUGUGGCACAUUUUUCAAGUGCCACAAAACAAAAACUGACACUCAAAAUUCUACAUAAUUAGGGCUGCAGUUGUAGUUCAGUGGUAGAGCACUUGCCUAGCAUGUGGGAGGCACGGGGUUCGAUCCUCAGCACCCCAUAAAAAUAAAUAAAUAAAAUAAAGGUAUUGUGUUCAUUUACAACUAAAACAUAUAAAUAAAAAUAUGUUAAACAAAUAAAAAAUUCUACAUAAUUCAUGAAUAACCUUCAGGAUUAAAAGGGUAAUCAAAACAUUCUCAGACAAAGGAAAAUUAAGAAAUUAGAGCAAUCAAUAUAAAAAAAACUAUAUAAACACACUCAAAACGCUAUAGGUAAAUCAAAAUGGUGUCCUAUAAUAUGUACCUUGCCUUGCUACAGUAUGGCAGGAAAAGGAAAAUUAAAAAAACAGGGAACAAACAGAAAACAAAAAAUAAAAAGCCGAACUUGAGAUCUGAAAUAUCAACAAUUAUAUUAAAAUGUAAAGGUCUAAAUAUACCAAUUAAAAACACAUAAUAGAUUUUUAAAAAAUGAUCCAAAUAUUUUCCUUUCUACAAGAAACCCACUCAAAAAAUAUAAUGAUAAAAAGGUAGGUAGAAAGUGAAAGAAAGAAAGCAUAUCAUUCAAGCAUUAAUUUAAAAAAAAAACAAAAGUAGCUAUAUUAACAUCAGCUAAAGCUGACUUUAGAGCAAAGGAAAUGAUUAGUGACAGAAAUAUUACAUAAUGAUAAAAUGGUCAAUCUGCUAAAAUACUUGGUAAUCCUAAUGUGUAUGCACCCGACUUUUAUUUGUAUAGCAAAGUACAUGAAGCAAAACCUGACAGAACUAAAAGGAAGAAAAAGACAGUUUCACAAUUAUAUUUGGGAACUUCAACAUUCAUUUCUCAGAAUUGGUAGAACUACUAGAGGGCAAAUCAGUAAGGAUGUGAAAUAGAUGAAUAAUAUGAACAUUGCAUCCAACAGCAGCAGAAUGCUUUCUUUUCGAGCAUCCAUGGAAUAUUUACCAAAACUGUAUCCUGGGUUAUGAAACAAAUCACAAUAUAUUUAAAUGAAAUGAUAAUAUAGAGUAAAAAUGUAAUUCAGAGGGAGAGUGCUUGCCUAGCAUGCGCAAAGCCCUGAGUUCAAUCUCUAUGGCUUUUUUUUUUUUUUUUUUUUGUAAUCAAAAGCGAAGGGAUAUAUCUGAAACUGAAAGGGAAAUUUGUUGCACCAAAAGCUUAUAUUAGAGAAGAUAUAGACCUCAGCUCUAAAAGCUGAGACAUAAGGUCCCACCUCAAGAAACUAGGAAAAGAUGAUCAAAAUAAGCUCAUAACAAGCAGAAAGGAGGAAAUAAUAAAGAACAGAAAUCAAUGGAAUUGAGAACAUAAAAACACAGAAAAUGAACAAAACCCACGGUGAUAGACUUCCAGAAAGACUGACAAAUAGGUGGGCAUGGUGGCACAUACCUGUAAUCCCAGCUCUCUGGAGCCUGAGGCAGGAGUUAUGUGUUCAAAGACAGUCUCAGCAAUUUAGUGAGGCACUAAACAACUUAGCAAGACCCUGUCUCUAAAUUAAAAAUAUAAAAAGGGCUGGGAUGUGGCUCAGUGUUUAAGCACUCCUGGGUUCAAUCCCUGGUUUGUUUGUUUUAAAAAAAGACUGACAAAGCAAUAAGAUAUGAAUUACCAGUAUCAGAAAUAAGGCCAAGAAUAUCACUAUAGAUCCUAUAGACAUUAAAAGGAAAAUAAGAGAAUGCCAUGAAUAGCUUUAUGCACAUAAAUUUGACAACCAGUCCAGUUCUUUUAAAAGUAUGUACUAUCCAAACUUAUUCAAUGUGAAAUAAUCUGAAACUAUAAUCAUUAAAGAAACUCAACUUACAAUGAAAACCCUUCCAUAAAAAAGUCUCUAAGUUCAGAUAAUUUCACUGGAGAUAUCUGUGAAACAUUUAAAAAUAAUUAACAUCAAUUCUACACCAUCUUUUCCAGAAAAUGGAAGCAAAAGGAAUAUUUUUAGUUGUAGUUGGACAUAAUUCCUUUAUUUUAUUUUUAUGUGGUGCUGAGGAUCGAACCCAGGGCCUCGCUCAUGCUAGGCAAGCACUCUACCACUGAGCCAUAACUCCAGCCCCUGAAACACUUGUUAUUUUAUGAGGCUAAUGUUACACUGAUAACUAAAAUAUAUUUAAAAAAAUCUGAAGACCAAUGUCCCUCAUGAAGAUAUCUGCAAAAAUCCUCAUCAAGACAUUAAUAAAUAUAAAUCUAGCAAUUUAUGAAAACAUUAUACAUUAUAACCAAGUGGGAUUUAUUACAUGAAUGCGUGACUUCAAUGUACAAAAACCAAUCAGUGUAACCCUCUAUAUCAUCAGGCUUAAGAAGAAAAAUCGCCUCAUCAUGUAUCUAUUGAUGCACAGAGAACCUUUGAUAGACUUCAACAGCCAUUCUGAUAAAAAUUCAGUAACCUAGGAAUAGAAACCUUUCUCAACUCGGUUGAGAGCAUCUACAAAAAAAUCUAUAUUCAACAUUGCCACUGAGAUCAGGAACAAAGUAAGAUAGUUCACUCACCACUCAUGCAUCAUAUUCCUAACCAAUGCAGUAAGAUAGGAAAGGAAAGAAAAGGCAUGUAGUUGGAAAGGAAGAGAUAAAACUAUCCCUAUCCCUAUUUUCAGAUGGCAUAGAUUGCCUAUGAAUAAAUCCCGAAGAACCUCUAAAAACACAGAACAAUAUUCUAUAAUUGAUGAGUUCAGUUGGGACACAGGAUACAAAACCAACACAAAUCAGUUGUAUUUCUAUAUACUAGCAGUGAAUAUGUGGAAAUUGAGACAAAAAAUAUAAAUACUAUUUACAAUAGUUUCUCCCAAAAUGAAAUAUUUAGGAAUAAAUGCAACCAGACAUUUAUAGGAUUUAUGUGCUGAAAAUGAAGAGUUGAUGAAAGAUGAUGAAGUUAAAGAAGAUUCUAAGUAAGUAAAGAGAUGUACUGUGUCCAUGUAUUGAAAGACUCAACACAGUAACAAUGUCAGUUCUCCUCAAAUUGAUCUAUAGGUUAAAUGCAAUUUCUAUCAAAAUCCCAGCAAGGUUUUUUAUAUAGAUAGAUAAGUUUAUUCUGAAGUUUAUAUAGAAAGAUGAAGGAAAUAAAAUAGCUAACACAAUUUUGAGAAAGAGUAAGUGAGAGAUAUCACUCUACCUGAUUUUAUACUUACUCUAUAGCUAUGGUAAUUCAGACAAUGUGUGUUGGUAGAGAGAAAAAACAAAAACAAAAAAACCCAUAGAUCAAUGUAACAGAAUAGAGAACCCAGAAAUAGAACCAAACCAAUAUACCCAAUUGAUUUCUGGCAGUGAAAACCUACCCCUUAUUACAAAAUACAUCCAAAAGUAUAGAUUUAAAUGUAAAAUGUAAAACUUUAAAGAAAAAAAAAACACUUUUAAAAUUCAACAUAGGAGAAAUCUUUGGAAAGCAGGACCAGGUAAAGAGAUUUUAAGAAGUGACAAAAAAUGUGCAGACCACAAAAGAAAAAUGAAUAAAUUGGACUUCAAAUUAAAAACUUUUGCUGUGUGAAUGAUCAUAUUAAAUCAUCAGAAAGAUAAGCUGCUGCCUGGCACAGUGGCACAUGCCUAUAAUCCCAGCAACUGAGAGGCUGGGGCACAAAUUCAAGGCCAGCCUCAGCUAAUUAUCAAGGCCUUGUCUCAAAAUAAAAUAUAAAAAGUGUUGGGGAUGUGGCUCAAUGUUUGAGUGUUCCUGGUACAGGGGGUGGGGGGCGGGGUGUCACAAAAGAAAGAAAAAAGAAGCUGCUGGCUAGAAAAUAUUGAGAAAUUGCAUACUAGCUGUCUUCACUUUGUUAUCACAUGGGACUAUCAAAAUGACUGCCAGCUGAAACUCUGUAGAGCAAUCUUAGUAAUCAAUGGAAAAAUUAAUGAUUGUUUGAUGACUUAACAUUUUUUGCCAUACACUAAAAACUAUAUGUCAGUUAUAAACAUAUACAGAAAUGAAGAAGUAGCAAUACUAAUAUUCAUUUAAUGCACUGUGAUUUUAAGCGCUAGAAACAUUGAGAAAGUUUUUAUUUCUUUGUCAAGUUUUUGGGUUGUUUUACAAAGAGCAGUUUGAACAAUGCUUAGCUUUUCCUCAUAUGACAGAGAGCAUCUUUUCUAUGCUUGGUGAAUUAUUAUACUCCUUUCUAAGUAUGGUAGCUUCCAACAUUUUAUCCAUUGUGCUUUCAAUGUUGUGAAAUUUGUGAGUUCCUAUAGUGUGAAGGUUUUUUUUUUUUUUUUUUUUGCCAGUGCCACAUCAUCUUUUUUAUCACUAUUAGUUUUAUUUUUGAAGUUUACCUUUGCUAAGUUCUGGCUACAUAUUUAGAGAUUAUCAAACAACAUCAGUGUCAACAUCCCUCCAUUCUCUUUCUUUUACAACUCCUUGUAUGUUUAAUUUGAAUUUUACUGCCAAAGUUACCACUUUUCAUUUCUUGGCCAGCAAAGAUGAAAGUGCAGCAAACUUUCUUUCAAUUAUCUAUCUUUAUAGAAUGUCACAUGGGUUCAUAAUUGAGAGAUGAGGCCACAUAACUCUGUACUUUGCAUCAGUGUGUGAACUGAGUAACAGAUGUGCAGUGACUAGUCAUUUGCAAUGAAGUCAUGUGAUCAAUCAUUGCUCAUGAUAGACAUUUAAAAAAAACUUAUAUAGUGAUUUUCAAACUGAAAAUCUAGCAGCAAAGUUUGUACUUUAUGUGGUUACUUGUAGUUAAUAUUUUGUGGUAACUGAAAUUUGAGUUAUUUUGGGAUAUUGGUAUUAUUUAAACUUUAUGUUUUGAAAUUGGUGCAUAUGCAUGCAAAGCAAGGACUAUCUGUAUCUGACAAAGAGCUUUAAAAAGAAUUCCUGCUGGGAGCAGUGGCACAUGCCUAUAACCCCAGCAACUGGGAGGAGGGGUGUUGAGGCAGGAGGACCACAAGUUCAAAGCCAGACUCAGCAACUUAGUGAGGACCUAAGCAACUUAGUGAGACUCUUUCUCAAAAUUAAAACACACACACACACUAAAAAGAAGUAGGGAUGUGGCCCAGUGGUUUAGCACUCCAUGGAUUCAAUCUCUAGUUUUUUUAAAAAAAAGAAUAUGUAAAGAACUCUCAAAUAGUAAAACUAAUAACACUUAAGUAAUGUGUAGGCACACAGACAUUUUAACAAAGAGAAUAUAUGGCUGGAAGGAAAGCACAUGGAAAGAUGUUUAACAUCAUUAGCCAUUAAGUUAAAUCUGUAGUGAGUUAUCAGUACAUAUUUAAAUGAAUGUAUAAAAUAAAAAAGUGAUAAUACUAAAUAUUGGUGAGGAUACGGAUAAAUUGGAUCUUUUACACAUUCAUGGUCAGAAUGUAGAAUGGUAUAGCCAUUCUGGAAAACAGUUUGACUUAGACUCUUUCUCAAAAUUUAAAAAAAAAAAAAAAUUGGGGCUGCGGAUGUGGCUCAAGCGAUAGCGUGCUCGCCUGGCAUGUGCGGGGCACUGGGUUCGAUCCUCAACACCACAUAAAAAAUAAAAUAAAGAUGUUGUGUCCACCAAAAACUAAAAAAUAAAUAUUAAAAAAUUCUUUCUCUCUGUCUCUCUCUCAAAAGAAAAAUUAAAAAUUAAAAAAAUAAAAAGGGGUAGGGAUGUGGCCUAGUGGCUAAGCACCCCUGGAGUUAAUCCCUAGUUUUUAAAAAAAGAAUAUAUAAAAAACAAAACAAAACAUGAUUAUCAUAACCCAACAGUUGUACUCUUGGCCGAUUAUCCUAGAGAAAUAAGAACAUAUAUUUAAACAAAAACUUAUAUACAAAUGUGCAUAGCAGUUUUAUUCAUAAUGGCCCAAGUCUAGAAACAACUCAGAUGUUCUUCAGCAGUGAAUGGUUAAACAAACAGCAUCUAUAUGAUGGAAUGCAACUUAAUAAAAAUAGAAAGAAGUAAACUAUUGAUAUGUACAGUAACUUGAAUGAAUCUCAAGAGUAUUGUGCUCAAUGAAAGAAAACAGUCUUAAAAGGUUACAGACUGUAUGGUUCCAUUUAUAUAACAUUCUCCAAAUGUCAGAAUUAUAGAGAUGGAGAACAAAUAGUGGUUGCCAGGACAUGGAGAUGGGAGGGAGUAUAGUGAGAGGACUAGGUACAUCUAUAAAGAGUUUGCACAGCCAGCUACUAUGGUACAUGCCUAUAAUUCCACCGUCUUGGGAGGCUGAGGCAGAAGGAUUGUAAGCUUGAUGCCAGCCUGGGCAGUUUAGUGAGCCCCUGUCUCAAAGGAAGAAAUAAAAAGGGCUAGGGAUAUAGCUCAGUGGUAAAAAUAAUCCUCCCUCUUCAUUCCUCAUACUGCAGAAGGCUGCAGGCAGCAGGGACAAGAGGUUGCACAUUGGAGUUGUGGUGGAACAGUUCCAUAGCUUGGUCAUUCUAUGGGUUCAUAAAUUUGUAGCUUAAAUAAAAGUGUAUAGAAUCACACAUAAACACUUGCAAAUGAGACCAUGUAACAAGUAGUAAAAUCUGACUGAGACCUGUAAUUUAGUUAAUGGCAUUGUACCUAUGUCCUUUUCUUGGUUUUGAUACUGAACUAUCGCUAUAUAAGUGGUACCCCUGGAGAAAGUGGGAUAGAGUACUAUUUUUGUAAUUUCCUGAGUUUAUAAUUACUUCAAAUUAAAAUUUUUCUCCUCCUCCCCCCUCCCCUUCCUCCCCCUCCUCCCCCCCNCCUCCCACCAUCAUCUUAGGAGGUACAGAUCACUAGUUUCUUAUCAUUGCCACCUGCCUAUCAUCCCAUAGCUCUAGAAAAUGAUUCAGCCUUCUCAGACCUGUCUGCCUGGCUUUGGCAGCCAUCCAGAGUCUUCUGUCUGGGUGCAGAGAGAACAUUUCAUGUUGGUUUAACUCAGAGAAUCAGGGUGUGGUGCCCCAUAGAUGUGAUUGCUCUGCUAGGAGAUCAGUCUUUUUUUUUUUUUAAAGAUCAGUGUUUUUAAGAGAGGCUGAUUUAUGUCUUUGGUUGGUAUUUCCAUGGAGUGUUUGUAGCUGGGGAGAGAAACCCAUUGGUAAUAAAUGGGUGAUUUGAGGCUGACAGCUGCUCAUCAUCCUGCUUUUUAUAAAUAUUCGUUCCUUUUAGUUCUUCUUGGAAGAUAGAUACAUAAACCACUGUGACCUUUCAAAAUGUCUUUAUAAAGACUAUCCUCUAAAACUGGUAAGAAAAUGGAGUGCCACAUACAUAAAAUAUCCAAUUAAAGUCUUUUAUUCACCUCUAACAUAAUUUCAUUUAAAAAUUUUGGGGGGUGGGCAAGGAUUGAGAGAAAAUUGAGAUUUGAGCAUAAUACAUUCAGUAAUUUAGCCAUUUCAAACAGUUGAACGAAUUGUACACCUGUGUACAAUUAGGAUUUUUGAAAGUACAGAUUAGAGAAGAUUAUAAAUAUUAGGACAGCAGUUCUGUAAAGGUGGGCAUCCAUAGUAGACCAUAGAAGUCUUUGGGAGGUGUCUCCAAUCAGUUAAAUUGAUCAUCUAUUUGUUGCUGUCCUCAGGCAAGACAGGCUGAGGUAAAGCGAUUCUUCCGCCCCAUUGAGGAACUGAAGAAGGAGUUUGAUGAGCUGAAUAUUGUCAUUGAAACUGACAUGCAGAUCAUGGUCCGUCUGAUCAACAAAUUCAACAGUUCCAGCUCCAGCCUGGAAGAGAAAAUUGCUGCACUCUUUGAUCUUGAGUACUAUGUCCAUCAGGUAUUGUAUUUCCAUGUCCAUAAGUCUAAUUUUUAAU